ACCUUCCCUAUCUAACUUGGGAAAAACAUUUGCAGCACCACUCAGUUCACGCAAGUCUAGAUCUUUUGCUCCUUUCAACAGUAAGCUAAUACCAUCAGCUAGACGAAGGCUUGUAUCAAGCUUAUUAAGCUUCAUUGUUUUUGUGGUAGGACAAUUUUUAUCCCAGCUCCAGACAUCACCUAUAAAUAUUCUAUAUCUUAUCAACUUCUCAAAGAGGACAUCUGUCAGCAACAGUUUGGCAUCUGGUAUUUGUAUCUCUGAAGUAGUUAAAUGGGGCAAAUAUUUUAACUCAGCAAUCGAAGCAUUACUUUUUCCUUCCACCUCCCAUAGAGUAAAACUAUUUUCCAUGCACAGAUUUUCUAAUUUGGACAAGCUUGAUAUGACAUUUGGUCGAAUUUCUCUAAGUUUGGAACAGUCCCGCAAAUCAAACAGCCUUAGAUGGGUCAACUAUGCUAUUUCUCUGGGCAGCUUUUCAAUAUUUGAACCCAUAAAGCUAAGAAAUUCUAGUUUCUUUAGCUCUACAAUUAUCGUGAUGUCUCCUAACUUGCACCAAUUCAGACUCAAUGUUCGAAUAUUUGUAAGGCAAUGGAGUGAUGAAGGUAGUGAUGUAAAAUGCAUAUUAGAAAGGUCUAAAACUUUCAGUUUUUUCAUCCCUUCAAAAAAUGUCUCUGGGAUUUUCAAAUGAUAAUCAAUGGUGUGAUAGAAUAAAAAAAGUUCAAGUUCCGGACAUACCAAUCCUAUAGGAAGCUCACAAAUAUCAUUGUAAGCCAGAGAGAUCUUGGUGCAGGUUUGGAGUUCAUCCAUCUUUGGCCACUCUGCCAAUUCAUCUUCUCGCAAAGAAAAUAUAUGAUGGACCUUGGAUACAAUUGCUAUGGCAACAUCACGAACAACAUCAUGCAUUCUAACAAAUGAAUUGUGGCCAGUGUCUAGUAACAGCUUUGAAGCUUUGAGGCUAUCGACCAAUGUAUCAACACUACAUGGAAAAAGGUAUAUGGUGACAUUUAUAACGAGUCACCAUAAACAUAAGGUGUCACUACAACAUAGCGUCACCUUCUCCACUGACACUAUAGAGGGUACCAAUUGGUGACGUAUUUGGAAGUGACACCAUAAAUUUCUAGUGAUGAUAGGAUGUCACAUUAAAUACAUCAUCUUUGAGUUAUGAUGUCACAUUAAAUGCAUCACCUUUGAGUUAUGGUAUCACAUCAUUGUAAAUUAUUGUGGAAUAUAUGAUUGGUUUUAGUUGUUGAUUUUUGUAAUGCUUAUGAAUUAAUAAGAUUAACCUGUUUAUAUUUUGUCCAUAAAUAUAACAAUCAUAUUAUAUUUAACUCAUUUUUCUGUAAUGUUUCUGGAAUAACUCAUAAUACAUUGAUCAUCUAAUAAUAUUUGUAUAUCAAAUGUUCACAAAAGGAUAGUACAUCCAACAUAUCAAACCCAUCAAAACUAAAAAAGAAGAGUGAAUACAUACCAAAACAUGAUUUAGAAAUGUUAAAGAUCCCAAGAUUCAUGUAUACCUCCAUUUCAUAAGCAUAAAACCGGCUAACCAUAAAAUGACAUAGAAGUCCCAUCUAAAAAUCUAAAUUUCUCAAUUGCAAUUAAAGUAACGUUUAUGUCCUACAACGUAUGACAUAAGAGUUGCAUUUAAAAACCCAAAAUCUUGUUGCCUUAUUCUUUCUUUUUAUUCUCCAUUUCACCCUCCCAAGAGUGUAUACCUGCAUUUCAAAAUUUAAUGAGUUUUAGAGAUUUUUUUUGAAGAAAAUAAAUAUGGAUCUAUGUUAUCAUAAAUGGACAAAUCUAAGAAUUAAUUUUUUUUUUCAAAUAGAAACAUUAUUCAAAGAAUAAGCAUUACUAUACAAUACCUAUGGAAAAAUUCAUGUAGUAGCUAAGGGACUCACCAUGCAUGGUGAUCAUGAUGCAUCAACAUGAUUUAUGAUUAAUUGUAGCACAAAAGUAGCCCAUUCUCCUCUAAUUUCAUCGAAUUCUACUUGAGAAUAUGUUUUUUUUUUAUUACCAAACUGAAAUCAAAUAAGAAAAUAACAUUAAAAUGCAUAACAUUUGGAAGCCUAAAACUAUGUACAAUUCAUUAAAUAAGUAAUACCUUUGAAGCAAUAAUUGUAGGAUAAAAAAUUAUCUCUUUAAUGAAUCUUAUAACAAAGUAGCCACAUUCGAACCCUCCUUCUUGUCUUGGACACUAAUCGAUCAAUUAUAAAAUAACAUUAGUACUCACAUAUAUAAAUGGUGCAAAUGCAUAAGCUAAUGUGUAAAGAAAAAUUUUUGGAUGUCACCUGCACUAGUUGCUAAGAUGGCUUCCUCUUAGAUGUUUUCUUUGCAGAUAUUCGAAGAGCCCUAUGUAAAUAAGUUCAAUGGGUACAUUUUUAAAAUAGGUAAAUGUUAUAUGUUUUAAUAUAUAUAAAUAAUAAAAAAAAUGUGUUUGAGGUGAAUGUAUUUUUUUUAUUUAAAAAUAAUACUAUGAAAAAUAAUAGGAAGAACUUACAUGUUUACGAUAUCCUUUAAGUCCUCACAUGGUUUGUGAUGCAUAGGGUCAAGAUAGUGGACUAUCAUUUUCCUUGGCUCAAGCACUACCUAAAUAUAAACCCUUUAAGUCCUCAUAUCUAUUUCUAUUAACAAAAUAUAAAAACUUUCCAAAACUCAACUACUUAAAUAUAAAAAUAAAAUCAAAUAAAAUAUCUAGCUAAUUGGAUUUUAGAAACUAAAUAAACUAUAAAUAAACUAAAUAAAAUAUCUAUGCCCAUGAAUUAAUUGAAGAGGAUAGAAAGACACAGAGAGAACAUGGCUAUGGUUAUGAUUUUCAUCUUAUCAUUUCCUAUCAAUACCAAACAUGCCCAUUUUAAGGUUGGACACUACUUUUGUUGCUGGACUUGGAAAGGGAACUUCAAAAUUGAAAACAUAAAUAAACCCUUAUGUAAAAAAAAAUAGCAUUAAAAUAUAAUUGAGCAUUAAAAUAUUUACUCUCUUUCAUCACUUUCAUUUGAAUAUUAAUAAUCUCUUAUUGAGAUAGAUACUUACAAUUUAACAAAAUAGAAAUUCCUAAUAAUAAAAAGUAUAAAAUUUAUAUUCCUAUUAACAAAAUAUAAAAACUUUCCAAAACUCAACUACUUAAAUAUAAAAAUAAAAUCAAAUAAAAUAUCUAGCUAAUUGGAUUUUAGAAACUAAAUAAACUAUAAAUAAACUAAAUAUAAAAACUAAAUAAAAUAUCUAUGCCCAUGAAUUAAUUGAAGAUGAUAGAAAGACACAGAGAGAAUAUGGCUAUGGUUAUGAUUUCCAUCUUAUCAUCUCCCGUCAAUACCACACAUGCCCAUUUUAAAGUUGGACACUACUUUUGUUGCUGAACUUGGAAAGGGAACUUCAAAAUUGAAAACAUAAAUAAACCCUUAUGUAAAAAAAAAAAAAAACAUUAAAAUAUAAUUGAGCAUUAAAAUAUUUACUCUCUUUCAUCACUUUCAUUUGAAUAUUAAUAGUCUCUUAUUGAGAUAGAUACUUAUAAUUUAACAAAAUAGAAAUUCCUAAUAAUAAAAAAUAUAAAAAUUUCUAUUUCUAUUAACAAAAUAUAAAAACUUUCCAAAACUCAAAUACUUAAAUAUAAAAACAAAAUCAAAUAAAAUAUCUAACUAAUUGGAUUUUAGAAACUAAAUAAACUAAAUAUAAAAACUAAAUAAAAUAUCUAUGCCCAUGAAUUAAUUGAAGAGGAUAGAAAGACACAGAGAGAACAUGGCUAUGGUUAUGAUUUCCAUCUUAUCAUCUCCCGUCAAUACCACACAUGCCUUCCCGGAUUGGUCCUUUUGAGGUUGGAUACUCUCAACGAAAUUCUAUAUCUCAUUCCCACUUAGAUACAAACAGAAAAAUCAUUCUUUUUUUUUUCCUCUCUCGUUUUUUAGAAAGGAUGAAGAUUAUAUGAUAGUAUAUCUUAAAAAAAUUCUACACCUGUCAUUCUCACACAAAUACAUAUUAAAAAUCAUUCAUUUUUUCCUAUUUUUCACUUUUUUUUUAAGGACAUGAUCAUGUGUUUGGUUUAGAUUAAAAAAAAUCAAUUAAUCUAUAGUUUUUUCUUCCAUGCUAGAAGAUUAAACCUAAAUUUUUCUUCCCUACAACUCAAGAAAACACAAUUCACAAAAACCAUAAUACAAAGAUGUUGAAACAAUUAAUAUAAUGACAUUAAUAAAAGAAAAAAAAAUGAUAGAUCCAAGAGAUUUUGGAUUACCUGGGAGUCCACAAAGUGAAGAAUGUCGGUUUUGAGCGUGUUGACUAUGGAUGGGUGAGAGAAAAGGUUGAAGAAGAUCAUGAUUUUAUAUAUAGGAUUUAUAUAUUGAGAUUUUUUGGAUUGUGGGUGAGAUAUGGAAACAAUGGGAUUUUUAUAUAGUAUCCAUCAUUAUUAAUUCUAAAAGUGGGCUCAUUAAGUUAUAAUACUUAAAAAAAUUUAUUUUAUAUGAUGUCACUUCCCAAAAAAUGAUCCUAUAAAUAAAAAAUUAAUAUCAUCUAACUACCUCAAUUGAAGAUUUUUUAUAUGAUGUGUCACCUUUAUUAAUUAUAAACCCUAUGGUGUCAUUAUCUUAAAAGUGACACCGUAAAUAGUGACACCAUAAACUAUUUUUGUAGUAGUGCAAUUCUAUUUUUUGCCUCUUCCAAUGUAUUUGUUCCUUGAAACAAUCGCAGACCCAUACCAUAUUUCAAUAAAUCAUCAAUAUAAAUCUUAUUAGACAUUAAACCACAAAGUAAGAACAAGAAGGACUUAACUUCAUCACCCUCCAAGUGUUUGUAACUCAACUCCAGAGUUGAGUAUACCAUUGCAUCCAUUCCUUUAAUGUUUGUUGGAAUAGACCUCUUUAGUUGUCGCAAGGCAUAUAGACAAACCCUUGUUUUUUAAUGCAUUUGCCACUAUUACGAUUGCAAUUGGAAAACCCGCACCUUCUUUUGCUACAUCAAUUGCUAUGGAUUGCAAAUCUGGCUCCUCAAUGGAAUCACCGGCCAUCUUCUUAAAUAAAAUCAAUGCUUCUUCCUCUUGUAAAUGUUCAACAGGGAAAUCCUUUUGAGUACCCAUCUCAUUGGACAAUACAUGUUUAUUUCUAGAGGUGAGCACCAUUUUACAUCCCUUAUGAUCAUCUCCAAAAGGAAUUCCCACUUUCUCCAGAUCGAGUUCAGUCCAAAUAUCAUCCAAAAUGAUGAGGAUCUUCUUCACUUUCUUCAACCUCUCACAUAGUCGAGCUGGUCUUCCCAUUUCACUCUCCUCCUCGAAUUUCAAACCAAGCAUGUCUGCAAGUUCACCUUGAAUUUUUUUCAACUCAGGAGUGGAAGAUAUAUAAGCCAUAAGUACCUUAUCAAAUAACUUCUCUUCUUCAGCUUGUUUAGCUACUUGUUUGAUCAGUGUGGUCUUCCCCACACCAGCCAUUCCCCAUACCCUAAUGAUAUUGACAUGAGUAUCCCUCAAGGCCUCCAUAAUUUCAUCCAAAGUAGUCAUUCUUGAUUCUAAAGCUUCAUGACCUUUGAAAUGCGCAGAUCCUAUCCCUGGCAGAGGAGCACGAUAUGAUACCCUCUCAAAUUUUCCAUCUCCUUGGAUUUCAGCAACAACCCUUGCCCUCUUCUUCGCUUCCCUGCUCAGCUGGUAUUGCGACUUCAAAUUUGGACAGGACCCAUUGAAACAACUCUGGUUUGCUUUCUUCUCAACCUCAAAAAAAUUGCCAGCCUCUUCCAUGAACCCACUAACACGCAAAAGCCACUUGUCAACAUCAGCUUCAAUUUCAUCCCCAUUCCUAAUAGCUUCAUCUACAGAUUGCUCCAACCUAGCCCUGGCAUCCCCAAGCUUCUCAACUUGUUGCCUGAGAUCAUCAAUGUUGUUGCGGUAGUUAAACAGAUAGCCAAAUGAACGUCCAAUUGGAGCAACUACGUACUCUGCAACUUCUGCUGCAAUCGUAACAACAAUUUCCUCCAUUUCCUAUUUGGGAUUUCCCACUUUUUCUCCUCCAGGAAACCAGAUGACAAAAAAUACCAGCAGUGCGGAUUCAAUGAAAGGGUUUUUACUUUUAGCAAGCAAAGGGCCUCAAAGGACUAUGGGUCAAGAGAGAACUUAUGCAAUUGGAUUCAAUGUGACAAAAGGAUAAAAGGAAAAGGAAAUGAAAGGUUUUAGAAAGCAAAGAAGGAGAUGGAGGCACUAACCAGCAGAAUAGAAAUGAAAAUGAAAAUUAUGCAAGUUCCAACCAUAUCCAUCAUGGGUUCUCAGUGGGUCAAGUUAUCAUUACAAUUUCUGAGUUUUUUAUUACUGUCUUUAAUGUUAUUAUCUAUUUUCUCACAGUAGUUGAGAUUUUGAUUUCACUCUUCUUGGAAAGCUUACCAUGCUGUGCUUUGGUGGCAUUUUUCAACCACAAGCCACUGUCUUCACAACUCUACUUGGAUUAAGGAAAGUGAAGAAAAAUGAAAAUAAAAGUAGAACCUUCUACCAGGCUGCUGCUAUGAAUUAUAGUCAAGGAAGACAACAAAGGAAAAACAAAAUUGGAAGGAGAAGCAUCUUGGUCAAUUCUGGCUUCUUGUUUGCUCCUACCACAUCAAAUAAGACAACACUCAACUAAUUAAAAUUAAUUUGCCUACUAAAAUUUUCCUGUUGUAAAACAAGGACAAAUAUAAUGCAAAUCAAAGUAGUAGAGAUAAAAUAUAUCUUACUUUGAUAUAUAAUAUGGAAGAAGGAAUCAAAGAAGAGAAUUGAGAAAGUUAAAGAAAGAGAGAGAGAGAGAGAAUGAAAGGAAGAACUUUCUUCUUUUUCUCAGGAUGCUUUUACAUGGGGGGGUAAGAAGCCUUUUAUAGGCUUCAUAAUAUGAACUCCCAUUACUCAUCUUAAAGAUGAGUAAAUGGAGUUCAUAAUGGCCAUCAAUGUGGUCAUUCAUUACUUUUCAUUUACAACACUCCCCCUUGGAUGACCACCAUAUUAAAAGAAUAUGCCUCAUUAAAACCUUACUAGUAAAAAACCCUAUAGGAAAAACCUAGCGAAGGAAAAAGAGUACAAUAUUCUUUUCUUGGUAUAUUAGGACUGCCUCGUUAAAAACCUUGUCAGUAAAACCCAGUAGGACAAAACCUGGACGAAGGAAAAAAGAGUACAGUACACUAACACCCUUUUACAAACAUACUCCCCCUCAUAUCGAUAUCCUUGAGUUGACGCAUUCCAAUCCUGUGUACUAACUUCUUGAAUGUUGAGGUUGGCAAUGAUUUUGUGAAUAAAUCUGCUAGAUUAUCACUUGAGCGUAUUUGUUGCACAUCAAUUUCACCACUCUUCUGGAGUUCAUGUGUAUAAAAGAAUUUUGGUGAAAUGUGUUUAGUUCUAUCUCCUUUAAUAUAACCCCCUGUUAUUUGUGCAAUGCAUGCAGCAUUAUCUUCAAAUAAUGUUAUCGGGCCACCUUUGAUAGAGGAGAGUCCACAUGAUUCCCGAAUAUGCUGGAUCAUAGAUCUUAGCCAUAUACAUUCACGACUUGCUUCAUGAAUUGCCAGUAUUUCUGAAUGAUUUGAUGAUGUGGCUACCAUUGUUUGUUUGACAGAUCUCCAUGAAAUAGCAGUACCAUUGCAAUUAAACACAUACCCUGUUUGUGACCUGCCUUUAUGUGGAUCUGAAAGUUAUCCUGCAUCUGCAUAUCCAAGCAAUUGUUGCUUUGAUUCCCUUGAGUAAAAUAAACCCAUAUCAGUAGUUCCGCGAAGAUAACGCAAUAUAUGUUUAAUACCAUUCCAAUGUCUUCGAGUUGGAGCGGAACUGUAUCUUGCUAAUAAAUUGACAGAAAAAGCAAUGUCUGGACGUGUACAAUUAGCAAGAUACAUAAGUGCACCAAUAGCACUAAGAUAUGGUACUUCAGGACCAAGUAACUCUUCAUCCUUUUCGCAAGGACGAAAUGGGUCCUUUUUCACAUCAAGUGAUUGGACAACCAUUGGAGAACUUAAAGGAUGCGCUUUAUCCAUAUAAAAACGCUUCAAAACUUUCUUAAUGUAUGUUGAUUGAUGUACUAAAACUCCAUUUGGAAAAUGCUCGAUCUGCAGGCCGAGACAAAAUUUUGUUUUUCCAAGAUCUUUCAUCUCAAAUUCCUUUUUCAAGUAAUUUGUUGUUCUUGUGAGCUCUUCAGGAGUUCCAACAAGAUUUAAGUCAUCAACAUACACUGCAAUAAUUGCAAAUCCGGUUUCUGAUUUCUUAAUGAAGAUGCAUGGGCAUAUAGGGUUAUUCACAUACCCUUCUUUUAGCAAGUAUUCGCUAAGGCGAUUGUACCACAUGCGUCCAGAUUGCUUUAAUCCAUACAAGGAUCGUUGUAACUUAAUUGAGUACAUACUACGAGGCUUUGUAUUAUUUGCUUCAAGCAAUUUAAAUCCUUCAGGGAUUUUCAUGUAUAUAUCAUUAUCCAUGGAUCCGUAUAAAUAUGUUGUAAUAACAUCCAUGAGACGCAUAUCCAGUCCUUCUGAGACUGCCAAACUAAUUAAGAAACGAAAUGUGAUUGCGUCCAUGACGGGAGAAUAUGUUUCCUCGUAGUCAAUACCAGGUCUCUACGAGAAACCUUGUGCUACUAAUCGCGCUUUAUAUCUUAUGAUCUCAUUAUUCUCAUUGCGCUUUCGUACAAAUACUCAUUUGUACCCAACAGGCUUUACAUCUUCAAGUGUUUGGACUACAGGUCCAAAAACUUCUCGUUUUGUUAAUGAGUUUAAUUUUGCCUGUAUAGCUUCUUUCCAUUUUGGCCAAUCAUUUCUAUGUCGACAUUCUUCCACAUUUCGUGGUUCGGGAUCUUCAUCAUUUCUUAUGAUAUCAGAGGCCACUUGGAAAGCAAAAAUAUUGUUAAUAGCAAUAUUAUUUCGAUCCCAUUUUUCUCCCGUUUGUACAUAACUUACUGAGAUCUCACAAUUUUCAGGUACAUGUGCCUCUUCAGGGGCUUCUUGUUCAAUAUGUGCCUCUUCAGGGGUUUUCUGCAUUAUUUGUGCCUCUUCUAGGGCUAUAGAUUUAUCAAUUUUAAAUUGAUCAGUCAUUUUGAUGGUCUCUUCUAGAGUGCCAAGUUUUUCUUGGGUUCUCCUCUUCCUGGGAGUUACAUCCUUUGAGCCGACAGGUCUACCACGCUUCAGGCGUAUCUUAGAUUCAUUUGUUAACUGUCCUACAGGGACAUCAAUUCGUGCUAGAGUAUUUGCAGCCGGGAUAUGUGACUUUGUCACUUUCUUUGUAUCAAUGAAUGCAUCUGGUAAUUGAUUUGCAAUAUUUUGCAAAUGAAUGAUCCUUUGAACUUCUAGUUCACAUUGAUUUGUACGAGGAUCAAGAUGGGUCAUAGUAGAUGUCUUCCAACUAAUUUCUCGUCGUUCUUUAGGAAUCGACUUUUCUCUCCCUAAUGAUGGGAAAACACUCUCAUUAAAAUGACAAUCCGCAAAGCGGGCUGUAAAAACAUCGCCUGUCAAAGGUUCAAGAUAUCUUAUGAUAGAUGGAGAAUCAAAACCUACAUAAACCCCAAGUCUUCGUUGGGGACCCAUUUUAGUGCUUUGUGUAGGUGCAAUUGGUACAUAUACUGCACAACCAAAGAUUCAUAAGUGAGAGAUAAUUGGUUGUUUUCCAAGCACAAGUUGUGAAGGGGAGUAUUCAUGGUAAGUUGUAGGUCGAAUACGGACUAAAGCUGCAGCAUGCAUAAUAGCAUGACCCCAGGCGGAAGUAGGUAAUUUGGUUUUCAUUAGUAAUGGUCAAGCUAUUAAUUGGAGACGUUUGAUGAAGGAUUCUGCUAAACCAUUCUGGGUAUGAGUAUGAGCAACAGGAUGCUCAAUAUUUAUCCCUACUGACAUGCAAUAGUCAAUGAAUGUUUGAGAAGUAAAUUCGCCAGCAUUAUCAAGACGUAUUGUCUUAAUUGGAUAAUCUGGAAAUUGUGCUUGUAAUCUGAUUAUUUGUGCAAGGAGUCUAGCAAAGGCUACGUUACGUGUAGAAAUGAGACAAACAUGUGACCACCUAGUAGAAGCAUCUAUUAAGAUCAUAAAAUAACGGAAUGGUCCACAUGGUGGAUGGAUAGGCCCACAUAUGUCCCCAUGUAUUCUUUCUAAAAAGAUUGGUGACUCAGAUAUGACUUUAGUAAAAGAUGGUCUGAUUAUCAAUUUACCUUGUGAGCAGGCAGCACAUGAGUAUUCAUUGGGCGAAAGAAUCUUUUGGUUCUUUAGUGGAUGCUCAUUUGAGUGUUCGAUUAUUCGACGCAUCAUUGAAGACCCUGGGUGACCUAGCCUGUCAUGCCAAAGGAUAAAAACUUUUGGGUCGUUGAACUUCUGGUUCACGACAACAUAUGAUUCAAUAGGCUUUAUAGUUGUAUGAUACAACCCAGAGGAGAAAGCCGGGAGUUUUUCCAUUAUAAGCUUCUGGCCAGAUAUAAUGGAAGUAAUGUAAAGAUAUUCUACAUUGUCUUCAUUCAUAGUUUCAAUAUGAUAUCCAUUUCUACGGAUAUCUUUAAAACUGAGCAAAUUUCUUUUGGAUUUGCUAGAAUAUAACGCGUUAUUUAUAUGGAAUCUAGUUCCAUUUGGCAAUGUUAUGUUUGCUCUUCCAGAGCCUUCAACUAAGUUUGUAGUACCAGAUAUGGUACUUACAUUAGCUUUUAUUAAUGUCAAUUCGAGGAAAUAUCUUUUAUCUCGAAGAAUUGUGUGCGUGGUCGCACAGUCUGCGAGACAUACAUCAUCCUCAUUCAUCUUGAGACCAAAUAACACAUGGAUUUCAGAUAUAACAAAAAAAAACAAGGCAUAAUGUAAAUAACAAAGUAAAUCAGAUGUAAAUAUAAGACAUAGUAAUAUAUUAUUUUAUAUAUUGAGUAACAUCAAUCAAUGUUAAUUUUUUCAUCAUUUAUCAAAUGGUCUGUUUUUUCAUUGGGACCUCCGAAGAAAUCAAUGUCAUAGUAGGUUAGGUCCAAUCCAUCACCAUCGGUAAAGUUCAUCUCUUUCUCUUUUCCUUUAGCUUUUAUUGAUGCUUGGUAAAGGUCGACCAAAUGUUUGGGCAUACGACAGGUAUGCGACCAAUGCCCCUUCAUACCACAUCUAUAACAAUUAUUCUCAUGGUUCUUAGGAGGUUUAUCUUGUAAACGCUUCCCAUUUUCUUGUAUUGUCUCAGUAUUGUUCCACUUCUGGUGGUGCAAUGAGGCUUUCAUUUUCUGAGAAUUAUUACUAUAAGAACCAUGGUAUCGGGGAUUUCUUCCAUGACCACGACCACGUCCUCGUCCUCGUCCACGUCCAUGAGUUUGGGACGAUAUUGCAUUCACUUCAGGGAAUGGUUCAGAUCCAGUUGGAUGAGACAGGUGAUUUCUCAUCAAAAGCUCAUUAUUUUGUUAAGCAACAAGAAGACAUGAUAUUAAUUCAGAAUAUUUUGUAAAUCUACGCUCUCGAUAUUGCUGCUGCAAGAGCACAUUCGAGGCAUGAAACGUAGUAAAAGUUUUCUCUAACAUGUCUUCCUCUGUGAUUUUUUCUCCACACAGCUUUAAUUGAGAGCUGAUUUUGAAAAGUGCAGAGUUGUAUUCACUAACAGUUUUAAAAUCUUGCAACCUUAGGUGCAUCCAAUCAUAUCGAGCUUUUGGGAGAAUCACAGUUUUCUGGUGGUCAUAUCUUUCCUUCAAAUUACUCCAUAGAGUAAAAGGGUCCUUUACCGUAAGAUACACAUUUUUUAAAUCUUCAUGGAGGUGAUGGCGAAGGAAAAUCAAUGCUUUUGCGCGAUCCUACAGGGAUGCUUGAUUUCCUUGUUUGAUCGUAGCUCCAAGGUUCAUUGCAUCAAGAUGUAAUUCAGCAUCAAUGAUCCAAGAUAGAUAGUUCUUUCCCGAAAUGUCAAGUGCCACAAAUUCGAGUUUUGUGAUAUUCGACAUUGUCAAAUAACUUCAUAUAUAUGACAAAACAAUAUUAUUAAAAUCAGUUAUAAUAACUUGAUAGCAUUAGUAUAACUUUGAUUAUAAACAAAAUCAAAUAAUUUGUUUAUAACUUUUAACAAUAUGUAACAAAACAAAUCAACAAUAAUAUAAAUAUGUAAAAUUUUAUUCUAUAUAAAUAACUUCAAGUUUAAGAUACGAGAAUUACCUUCAGAGCAAUUCGUGCUGAUAACGUGUUGUAAAACAAGGACAAAUAUAAUGCAAAUCAAAGUAGUAGAGAUAAAAUAUAUCUUACUUUGAUAUAUAAUAUGGAAGAAGGAAUCAAAGAAGAGAAUUGAGAAAGUGAAAGAAAGAGAUAGAGAGAGAAUGAGAGGAAGAACUUUCUUCUUUUUCUCAGGAUGCUUUUACAUGGGGGGUAAGAAGCCUUUUAUAGGCUUCAUAAUAUGAACUCCCAUUACUCAUCUUAAAGAUGAGUAAAUGGAGUUCAUAAUGGCCAUCAAUGUGGUCAUUCAUUACUUUUCAUUUACAACAUUUCCAACUUUAUUAGCAAUGAAGCCAUCUCAUUUGACCAAAAUAAAAAUAAAAAUUGGAAUCUCUUAUCCUUUGUGUAUAAACCAUUUGUGAGCCCAUCAUUAUGUAUUUUUCAAUUUUUAUUAAUUUAUUCAGAUUUUGUAUCGUCUUUUUAUUAUUUAUUUUUUCCAAACGAAAUGAGCUAAUAAUUUAUCUAUGAACUCGAUACAUGUAUGGUAUUAAAAACUUUUUUUUUCUUAUUUGAUGUAAAAUAUCAUACUAAUUGGAAGUCGAUUAUUUUAUAAUAUUUAUGAUAUAUAUUAUACGAUAUAAUAAUAUUUAUUUCAUUUAUUCUUUUUUUAUUAAUUUUAAAGAAAAAGUAAAAUUAAAACUAUUAAAGGGUAUGAUAAGUCAAUUUAUUGAUUUAAUAUGAUUUAAUGACUUAAUUUAAAUCAUUAAUUAAAUAUUUUAAAUAUGUUUGAUAAAGUAAUUUAAUAUAUUACAACUUAAAAUUAUAAUUGAAUGAGUAAUUCAACUUAACCAAUUAAUAUAAUUUAAUAACUUAAAAAUAGUUUAAUUCAAAGACAAUUUUAAGUAAUUAAAUAAUAAAUAUUAAAUUUUAACCAAAUAAAAUUUUGUUUCAUUUACUAUUUAAAUUUAAGUAUAAAUAUAUAGAAAAAGUUUGAAAAAAAUAUUAUGGAUAGAUAUGGAAUAAUAUAAUCUGAUCAACCUAACGAAUUCAAAUCUAAUUCAACCAACUUAAACUCGGAAUAAUCUUAGAAACAAAAGAAGUUGAAUUGAUUUUGAGAUAAGUACUCAGGGUUAGAGUUAGGUGGUGUUUGUUUUUUUACUUAAUUCUAAAUAGAACCUUAAUGUUUAAUAGCGUUAAAUAUUAGGUUAUUUGUUUUUGUAGUAUUUUAUUUCUAUUAAGUAUUAAAAAGUAAAAACAAAUCAAUAUGUUAUUUUUUCUAUUUAAAAAAAACUACAUAUUUUGGUUUUUUCUAUUUAGUAAAAAGUUUAUAAUAAGUCAUAAAAAAGUAGAAAAACAAACAACCUAAAUUCUAAAACUAAAUUACUUUUAGUAAAAAGCCAAAAAACAAACACCAUCUUAGACUCCGAAUCGGGUUGAAUUUAAGUUAAUUAUUUUUUAAUUGAACCACCAACCUAAUCCAACCCUGUCCUGAUUUCAGCCCUAAUUGUAAUUGGUUCCUAUUUUAAUCUUAAUUAGUAAUUCAAACCAAGUAAUGAAUACUGAGACAUAGGAUGUGUUCCAAUCCAGAAACAUGCCCUAACGGUGUAACAAUGAGGACCUCUCUCAACAGGUUGAGAUGCUGAGGGAUGCCAGAGCUAGGCAGCAGCAGCAGCAGCAGCCUGUGGAUGGGGCUCUUAGGAAUGGACAUAGAAUCAGACUGAUGGUUGCAAGUGGUUGACACAUGCAGGCUGAUGGGUUCAUACGAGGUGGGGUGCUUGCAAUUUCCUAGAAGACGAGAAAGAAGCACAGAAGAGUCGUUUCAAUGGGUUGUGUCCUAGUUUGAAGUCCCGGCAGCUAUGAGCCUAUGAGCUAAACAGGGAAGCAAGGAAGAAGGCAGGGGUUGCUGUUCAAAUCCAUGGAGAUGGCCAUUCUGAGAGUGUAUCGUUUUGUCUUCCGAGGAAAAGUUAUUUCCUUGUCUACCGAUCACUUGUAUACAGUAAGGAAAAAAAUGGCAUUUUCUACUUGUUCUUAUCAAGUUCCUUGGAAAUUCAUUUUCCAAGUUCUCUUGCUGACAUGUUUGAUACGUGGGGAUGGAGACCCUAAACGGACACAUCUAUUUUCCUUUUUUUGUCAUUUUUCUUUAUAUUUGGAUGACUGGAGUGAUUAUAAGAAUGUAAAGAAAAAUAAUUUCCAUUAGGAGAGAUUUUAAUUUAUUUGAUGCAAUUUAUUUUUAAAAAUAUUUUUGUAUUUGAUUUUAUAAAAAACUUUACAAAUUUAAUUUAUAUAAUAUAAACUAAAUUUCAUUGAAAUCUUAUUAAAAAUAAUUUUUCAAUUACAAAUAAAUUAAAAAAUCAAUAGUUUUUAAUAAAAUAUGAAUAGUAAUACUAUAAUAAAAUAAUACAUUAUAUUUUUUUUAUAAAUAUUCUAAAAAUAUGAAUAUUAACAUUUAUCAAUUUUGUUAAAAAUGAAUAAUAAUAAAUUAAAAAUAAUUAUUAUUAAUACUAUUUUAUUUGAAAUGAAUUUUAAAAUAAAUAAGCUUUUUAAGAUAUAAAUGAUUCAAGUUGUUUAUUACAUGUACAAAUCUAGUAAUUAAUUAAGAAUAAAGUGUUUGAACAUUUUUAUUUAGUCUAUAAUUAAUUAAUUAAUUUUUUUGAAUUCUAAAUAACUCAAAGCAUUAAUUAUUCCUCAUUCAAUUUAAAAUUUAUUUACCUAACUAGAAAACUCAAAAAACAUAAUUGUAUGUAAAAAAGAACAAUAAAGUCACAAUUCAUAUAUAUAUAUAAGUUUUUAUCUAUUAUUUUUUUAGCAAGUACAUAUAUUUUUGGGAGAAUUAUGUUUUGAGGGUAGAUGGGCCCCCAAAUUAACAAAAGGUUCAUAUAACUCUUCAAAUUGAGUUAAAGGAUAUGAAAUGGUAACGGACAAAUAUACCUUUUAAGAACACAUAUAAAAUAUUUUAUAAAAUUAAGUUAAAUAAUUUUUUUUCAAUAAUUUUUUUUUCAAAAAUAAUAAAUUAAAUAAAAGUAGUUUUCAAAAAUAUUAAAUUAAAUAAUUUUUUUUUCAAAAAUAUUAAAUUAAAUAAUUUUUUUUUCAAAAAUAUUAAAUUAAAUAAAUUUAUUUUUAAAAAAAUAUUAAAUUAAAUAUUUUUUUAAAUAUUAAAUUAAAUAAAUUUAUUUUUAAAAAAUAUUAAAUUAAAUAAAUUUAUUUUUAAAAAAUAUUAAAUUAAAUAAAUUUAUUUUUAAAAAAUAUUAAAUUAAAUAAAUUUAUUUUAAAAAAUAUUAAAUUAAAUAAAUUUAUUUUUAAAAAAUAUUAAAUUAAAUAAAUUUAUGUUUUAAAAAUAUUAAAUUAAAUAAAUUUAUUUUUAAAAAAUAUUAAAUUAAAUAAAAGUAUUUUAAAAAAUAUUAAAUUACAUAAAAGUAUUUUUUAAAAAUAUUAAAUUAAAUCAAAAAUAUUAAAUUAAAUAAAAGUAUUUUUCAAAAAUAUUAUUUUUUUUUCUCAAAAUCAACAAAGGGCAUUUUGGGAAAUACUGAAGGAUGAUAUCCUUCAACUCAAUUUUCAUACUUUCAUUGGGUCUUGGGCUCAAUUUGAAGAGUUACAUGGACCUUUUGUUAAUUUGGGGGUCCAUCUACCCCCAAAACAUAAUUCUCCCUAUAUUUUUUAAGUUUUAAAUUAUUUUUAAAAAUUAUUAAACUCAUUAAUAAAUUCAAUAUAAAGUAUCGCUUAAUUUGAAAUUCAUUUAUCUAGAGAGAGAAAGUAAAAAAAAUUGAUUCUCUAUAGAAGAAAAAUAAUAGAGUUAUUUUAUACUAAUUUUUAUUUAUAAAUUUCUAAUAUAUUGUUAUAUCACUAUUUGAUUUUUAAAUUAUUUUUCAAAAUUACUAGAUUUAUUAGUAAAUCCUAUUAGAAUAAAUAUGGAUCCACAUCAUAUUAACCAUUGUUCGGGAUUUAGCUAUAUAUAUAUAUAUGAUUUCUAUUCGAUCUAGAGUAUGGGCCACCUCAUGUGUAGAGCCCAGAGCCAUAACGGGUCUUAGAUGAUGGGCCUAAGACUCAUGAGACCCAAUAGUCCAAAGGGUAUGGUCCCUAAGGCAUAGAGGGUAUAAAUAUAAGGCUAAGUGUCUAUUCUUGAUAUCACAUUUUUUGAAUAAGAACAUAACUCGUUAUCUCCUGUUUCCCAUUGCCAGAGAGAGUACAGAGAAAAGUGGCGUCCUCUACAGCCUUAGAAGAUCCGUACAUUUUCAUCAAAAGCAAAAAUGGACUCAGGUUCGUUCGUUUCCAUAAUGAUGUCUGGCAUAAGUUUUCAUAUGAUUUAGACAUGCGAUCCCGGUAUGUUAUUGGAUGCAAAACGGAGUCCUCAUAAAUUGGUAUCAGAGCAGACAUGUUUAAUCAUUGUGAAAUUGCCAUCUUUAAUUCUUAAUACAUGUUUCUUUGUAAAAUACGAUGCAACCCAAUUCAUCAAAGCCUUUGAUAUCUCCAAACGCUGGAUCCCUACGAUGCUGCCUAGAGGAGGGUUGGGAACACCGCUGUAGCGCUGUUUCAAGCGAGUGACGCCGUUAUGGCGUCAUUCCCAGUCAGGCGACGCCAUCCAGCGUCGUUUUGACGUUGCGACAAGUGAUCUAGAUAGUUGGCGUCCUCCAUUCAGGGCGCCAUUACAGGCGUUCAAAAGACUUCAUUCAAGCGUUCAAAAGACUUCAUUCAGGCGUUUAGAAAAACGUCAUUCAGGCGUUCAGAAAAUCCAUUAUAGGCCUUCAAAAGGGGCGCCGUUCAAGCGUCGUUAUAGGCGUCGUUCCAGAUGGCAUUGCAAGCACUGUUCAAGCGUCGUUAAGGUGCCAUUUUAAGGCACUCCAUCGACGUCGUUCAGGCGUCGUUUUCAGGCGCUCUAAAAACGUUGUUAUAGGUGUUAUUACAGACACCGUUCAGGCACCAUUUAGACGCCGGUGAGAAGUGCAAUCUCCAUGCGUUGUUGCAUCAUUUCCAAACCUCGGAGUUGAAGAUGCCAUUUGGCGUCAUUUCAAUCGAAGACCCCAUUUUGGCGUCGUCCCCCAUCGGCGACGUCGUUUGGCGGUGUUGUCUCAUUGCCCACGUGCUGCCGGCGUCGCUUGAGGAUUGGUUAGGCGCCAUUUUGGCGUUGUAGAUGAUUCGGCUGCAGGGGACCUUGGGUCUUUUGGGUUGUAGUAUAUAUAUGAAUUAAAAAAAAAGGGCCAACGCCCAAUAGUACAUGACCAUUCCUUUUAAAAAUAUUGGGCCAAAAAAUAUCCCUAAACUGUACCACGGGGGGCACCCCCCCCCCCCCCGCUACCAAUAACAUUUGGAAUUUAGAUAAAGACUAACCAUUCCAUUUCUAAAUGAACAAUAAUAUCCACAUUUGUCCAGACAUGAAACAGAAAUUAAAUUACGUCUAAAUGACGGAACUACAAAAGUCUCUUCUAAAUCCAAAGUACAUCUAGAGUCUAAUUAUAACCUAAAAAGGCCAAUAGCCUUCACUGCAACCUNNUGUCAUUUCCACAUAGAUGUAUCUUUNNNNNNNNNNNNNNNNNNNNNNNNNNNNNNNNNNNNNNNNNNNNNNNNNNNNNNNNNNNNNNNNNNNNNNNNNNNNNNNNNNNNNNNNNNNNNNNNNNNNUUUAAAAAUUUUUUUUUUGGUUUUUUUAAAACCCCCUUUUCGGCCCCUUUUUAGCCCCGGGGAAAAGGCCAUUUCCCCGGGGUUUUUUCCUUUUUUCCAAACCUUGGGUUUAAAAAUCCCUUUUGGGUUUUUUUAAUAGAAAACCCCCUUUUUGGUUUUUUCCCCCUUUGGGGGUUUUUUUUGGGGGUUUUUUUUUUUUCCCCCCGGCCCCCCGGUUUUCUUUGGAGUUUUUUUUGGCCCCUUUUUGGUUUUUUAAAUUUUUCGGCCCCGGGGGCCCCUGGUUUUUUUGGGUUUUUUUUUUUUUUAAAAUUAAAAAAAAAGGCCCCACCCCCAAAUAACACGGCCCUUUUUUUUUAAAAAUUUUGGCCCAAAAAAUUUCCCUAAAUUUUCCCCGGGGGGCCCCCCCCCCCCCCCCCCCCCCCCACCCAACCUAUCGUUCACCCACAAAAGGUACAAGCCUGAAUGACAAAUGUCGUUGCUCCGCUCCAUUCCACUUCGCUUCGUUUCGGCAUUUGCCCAUUUUUCUCCCAUCAAUUAGUAUCAAGGCUUGUAUAUAUAUAUAUAUAUAUACAUGGUUUUAUGCAUCAAUUGAUAUACAUAUAUACAUGGGUUUAUGCAUAAAUAAAUAAUUUUAAUUGAAAUAUUUCUUGCUAUAUUUAUGUUUAAUAUUUUAAAAUAAAUGAAUUAUGUAUAUUUUUUGCCAAAGUAACUUAUAUUAUAUAAUUUAUUUAUUUUAUAAUAUGUAAAUAUGUUAUUAUUAUUUAAAAUAAUCAGCCCAAAGGAAGAUUAUUUUAAUAUAGUAAUAAAUAAAGUAGUCAUAAAUAUGUGAUAAAUAAAGUUUAUCUUGCAUGUUAUAUGUCAGUCCAAAGACAGGCAUAUUGUUUCGGUUUUAUUGUCAAUAUUUAUGAAUUAAUUUCGAAAAGGAUACUAAUUACAAGUUGACAUUUUUGUCCAAAGACUGAAUAUUAAUGCUAGGUAUCUUGUAAUAGGCCCACAUGCAUAUACAUAUAUAUGUUAAAUUUUUAUUUAUUCAUGUAUGUAUGAUGUUUAUGUGACUGAUUGUGAGCUUUAUUAUUAUGAAUUCAACAUCUUCUAUAUCUGCAAAUGUUAAUAACAUUCCUGUACUUAAUGGCACAAACUUCAAGAAAUGGAAGGAGCACGUUAUAAUUGUGCUCGGGUGCAUGGAUUUGGACUAUGCAUUAAGAGAGGAUCGCCCUCUAGACCUUACUAGUGCCAGCACUGUUGAGCAAAGGGCUGUUAUGGAAAAAUGGGAGUGAUCCAACCGCAUGAGUCUAAUGAUAAUGAAGAACUCAAUUCCAGAAGCUAUAAGGGGUGCAAUACCUAAGGAAACCCGAGCCAAGACAUUCUUGGACCAAAUUGCAAACUGAUUCACUGCAAACGAAAAGGUUGAGACAAACACUAUUAUUAGUAAGCUUGUCUCCAUGCGAUACAAAGGGAAAGAGAAUAUAAGGGAGUACAUAAUGGAAAUGUCCAAUCUUGUGACUAGACUAAAGGCACUAAAUUUAGAGUUGUCAGAAGUCAUACUCGUGCACUUGGUCUUGAUCUCUCUGCCUACACAAUUUAGUCCAUUCAAGAUCAGUUACAACACACAAAAGGAAAAAUGGAUUCUAAAUGAGCUUAUUGCUUAGUGUGUACAAGAAAAAAAGAUAUUGAAACAAGAAAAAUUGGAAAGUGCUCACUUGGCUUCCACAUCUCAGGGAUUUGGUACCAACAAGAAAAGAAAGAGGGAUAAUAAAGGAAAACAAACUACAAUUUCUGGGACAUCAAAGCAAAAGGUGCAGAAGAAACAAGAUAAGAAGAUCACUUGUUUCUUUUGCAAGAAGGUCGGUCACAUGAAGAAGACAUGUACCAAAUAUGCUACUUGGCGUGAAAAGAAAGGUACACUUCUCAACUUUGUUUGUUCAUAAAUUAAUUUAGCUAUAGUGCCUACUAACACUUGGUGGAUAGAUACGGGUGCAACUACUCACAUAAGUGUCACAAUGCAGGGUUGCCUAAGGAGUCGAAUGCCAACUAAUGGUGAAAGAUACAUCUAUGUGGGAAAUGACAACAAGGUUGCAGUGAAGGCUAUUGGCCUUUUUAGGUUAUAAUUAGACUCUAGAUGUACUUUGGAUUUAGAAGAGACUUUUGUAGUUCCGUCAUUUAGACGUAAUUUAAUUUCUGUUUCAUGUCUGGACAAAUGUGGAUAUUAUUGUUCAUUUAGAAAUGGAAUGGUUAGUCUUUAUCUAAAUUCAAAUGUUAUUGGUACAGGUAGUCUAACAAACAAAUUAUACAAAUUGAAUUUAAAGGCCUCUAAUUGAAAUGUAACCUUUCAUUCAAGUAAUUAUGGCAUUAAGCGAAAAUUAAUAAAUGAGAAUUCAUCAAUGUUAUGGCACAAACAUUUGGGUCAUAUUUCAAAUCAACGAAUUCAAAGGCUUGUGUCAGAAGGAAUUCUUGAUCCACUUGAUUUCUCAGACUUUCAAGUCUGUAUAGAGUGCAUUAAGGGUAAACAAACAAAUAUAAGGAAAAAUGAUGUCAAUAGGUGCAGUGACAUCUUGGAAUUGAUACAUACGAACAUUUGUGGUCCAUUUCCUACUCCUUCUUGGAAUGGACAACAAUAUUUUAUCACUUUCAUUGACAAUUACUCAUGCUAUGGCUAUUUUUAUUUGAUUCAUGAGAAGUCUCAGUCAUUGGAUGUGUUCAAGAAUUUUAAAGCUGAAGUUGAGAACCAACUAAGCAAGAAAAUAAAGAACGUCAGAUCUGACCGUGGAAGUGAAUAUUAUGGUAGAUAUGACGGAUCCGGUGAACAACGUCCAAGGCCAUUCGCCAAUUAUUUGAUGGAGUGUGGUAUCGUUCCUCAAUACACCAUGUCAGGGACUCCAAGCCAAAAUGGUGUAGUAGAGAGGCGAAACCGUACUCUUAAAGAUAUGGUGAGAAGUAUGAUCAGUCAUUCCACCUUACCAGAAUCACUUUGGGGUGAAGUUGUCAAAAUUGCAGUUUACAUUUUGAAUAGAGUCCCAAGCAAGGUAGUAGCCAAAACCCCAUAUGAGUUAUGGACUAGUAAGAAACCUAGUAUUUGGCACUUGCAUGUCUGGGGUUGUCUAGCUGAAGCUACGCCUUACAAGCUAAAUGAAAAGAAAUUGGACUCUAGAACAGUGAGUUGCUACUUUGUAGGGUAUCCUGAAAGGUUGAGAGGUUUCAAGUUUUAUGACCCCUCAAUUAGAUCCUUCUUUGAAACGGGCAAUGCUAAAUUUAUUGAGGAUGUUGAGUUAAGUGGGAGAGAACCAUUAAGAAAUAUGGUAUUUGAAGAGGAAUCUAUUAGUAUUCCUAUUAUUACAACUGGACAUGGUCAUAUUAUAUUUGAUGACACUAUUCAGAAUGUAUAGUCAAUAACAGAAAUUGAAGACACACCUAACAUUCCUUCUACUCAAGUUAUGGAACUAGUUCAAGUUCAUGAAGAGGUAACUCAACAACCUCAAGUACAAGUGCCACUAAGGAGAUCCACUAAAUGAGGAGUACAAUUUCAGAUGAUUAUAUUGUAUAUCUCCAAGAACAUGAGUUUGACAUGGGUUUGGAAGACAAUCCAAUUUCAAUUAGUCAAGUCAAACAAAGUUCUAACUCUGAAAAGAGGAUAGAAGCCAUGAAGGAUGAGAUGAAAUCAAUGAUAGACAAUGGUGUUUGGGACCUAGUAGAGUUGCCUAAAGGUGUAAAAUCAAUUGGUUGUAAAUGGAUUUUUAAUACCAAGUGGGAUUUAAAAGGUAAAAUUGUUAGGUAUAAGGCACUCCUAUUCGCAAAAGGUUUCACUCAAAAGGAAGGCCUUGAUUAUAAGGAGACCUUUUCACCGGUUUCAUCAAAUGACUCUUUUAGAAUCAUCAUGACAUUUGUAGCUCAUUAUGAUUUAGAGCUACAUCAAAAGGACGUUAAAAAUGCGUUUCUUAAUGGUAACAUUGAUGAGACAAUAUACAUGGUGCAACCAGAGAACUUUGAGUCUAAUGAUUCAAAGCAACUUGUAUGCAGAUUAAAAGGGUCCAUAUAUGGUUUAAAGCAAGCAUCCCAACAAUGGUACCAAAAGUUUGAUCAGGUGAUUACUUCAUUUGGUUCUAAGGAGAACACCGUUGAUCAAUGCAUAUACCUCAAGUUCAGUGGGAGCAAAUUCAUUAUCUUGGUGCUAUAUGUUGAUGAUAUUUUACUUGCAAAUAGUGAUGUGGAACUCUUGCAUGAAACCAAGCGAUUUCUAUCCAGUAAAUUUGACAUGAAGGAUCUUGGUAAUGCAUCUUUUGUGCUGGGUAUACAGAUCUAUAAGGAUAGUUCAAAAGGUAUACUUGGGAUAUCACAAAAGGCCUACAUCGAUAAGGUGUUGAGUAGAUUUGGCAUGAGCAAUUGUGCACCAGGAGACACGCUUGUGGCAAAAGGUGAUAAAUUUAGUUUGCACCAAUGUCCGAAAAAUGAACUUGAGAAGAAGGAUAUGGAAUGGUUUCCCUAUGCCUCGGUAGUAGGAAGUCUCAUGUAUGCACAAGUUUGUACGGGUCCGGAUAUUGCGUACAUUGUUGGAAUGUUAGGAAGAUAUUUGAGUAACCCAGGUAUGGAUCAUUGGAAAAAGGUAAAAUGAGUUAUGCGGUAUUUACAAAGAACUAAAGAUUAUAUGCUGACAUAUCGUAGAUCCAGUCAUUUAGAGAUCGUGGGAUAUUCGGACUCCGAUUUCACAAGAUGUUUUGACAACAGGAGAUCCACUCUAGGCUACAUCUUCAUGUUGACUGGAGGAGUAGUUUCAUGGAAAAGUUUUAAACAAACACUUAUUGCUUCUUCCACCAUGGAGGCAGAAUUCAUAGCCUGCUACGAGGCAUCAAACCAUGGGAUAUGGUUGCGGAAUUUUAUCACUCAGUUGCGGAUUGUUGAUGGGAUUGAGAAACCAUUGAGAAUCAACUAUGAUAAUAAGGUCGCAGAAUUAUAUUCUAAGAACAACCGAAGUUCGUCAAAGUCCAAACACAUUGACAUCAAGUUAUUGGUUGUAAAAGAAAGAGUUCAGAGUCUUCAAGUAUCAAUUGAACACAUAAGCACAAACUCCAUGACUGUGGAUCCGCUCACUUAGGGUUUGCCACCCAAAGUAUUGUAGACCCUCAAUUUUGUUCCUUUAGCACAUGUCUUUAAACUCACUUUCGGUACUCCACAAUAGUUCCUUGGUGGCCUAUUACUACUCGUACAACUUACCUUUUUUGAGUCACCUCGGAGAUUUUGGUUGAGAGAUUAUCUAACCCUUUAUUGUGACCCUUGGCAGCCCUAAUUUAGACUUAAGCUCUUCAUUCCUUUUUAGGAUAGUUCUUAGGCAUGUUUAGGUCACUUAGACAAUAUCCCGAUCACUUUAAGACACCUAGUUCAUUAGGCACCCACUUAGGCCCAUUUAAGCCCACUUAGUCCACUUCGUUUGCCUUAGCGCACUAGGACACACCCUAGGUCACCUUUAGAUGUUUUUGCAUGGUUUGCAUGGUUGCAUGGCUCGUGUUUUUGGGUGGUUACAUAGCUUGUAUGGCUUGCAUGUGGUUGAUUUUUUUUUAUUUUUUGUCUUUAAUUAUUUUUAUUUUAUUUUAUUUUUUAUUUUUUAUUUUUUUGUUUAUUUAUUUUAUUUUUUAGAUGUGUGAUUUAAAUUUCUUUUGAUUUUCAAUUUCAUGAUAUUUAUUGAUUUUAAUCUUUAUUCUAUUUUGUCUUUAUUUUAUUCCUAUUUGUAUUUGUAUCUUUAUUUAUUUAUUUAUUUAUUUAUUUAUUGGGCAUGAGGAAACGGGCUGCCAUUUAUUUGGAAGGAAAAUCAACAGAAUUUUGAAAAGAGGAGAUUGUGUUUUUAGAAGGAUAGCACGUAUAUUAUUUCCAUGAGGGAAUCGGUUACAAAAGGGAAGAAAAUAUGAAAGGAAAGUGGAUUUUCCUCCAGCAAAUAUGGGGGGUUCUUUGAGGGAGGCGGAUAUAUACUAGAGAGAGAAAAACAGGGGCAUGAGAGGAAAAAAGGGGAAAGCUUGAAGGGAGUUUUUCCAUGCAAGAGAGAAAGAGGUGGUCCGGGGGGGCUGCCGUUAGAGAGAUUUUUAGAGAGAAUGUGAGAAAAACGGAGAGGAGUUUUGACAAAGAGGUUGAUGGAGGAUUUUUGUGGCUAUUUAGUUUGAGAGAAAACUAAGAGGCAAAGAGCUGAGCGUUUGGUGAGAGAAGAGGUUCGGCUGUUUCAGGAGUUUCGUUGAUUUUAGAGGGGAACUUGGGGUGUUUGCAGGGGAACAAAACCUCACUGGAGAAGGACAUUCUCAGGUAUGAAGGCAGCAGGUUUAUUGUUUUAUUUUAGUUUCUCAUUAUUCCCCUAUAUUUCCUGUUGAUAUCUGCAUGUUGUUUGGUUUGCUUGGGGUGGAUGAUGAAGGCCACUUGUUGCUUGUUGAUAUAUAAUCUUGAACUCGUGUUUGCCCUUGUUGAUCUUAAUGUACCUUGACUCGGUUAUGAAAUACCCAAAAAUCCUUCCAAUAUUUGCAUUUGGUGCCAUAUUUCUCACCUAAGGAGGUUCACUGAUGAUUCAUGAUGUGAAGCCCCUUUUAAGGACAUUUUUACUUGUUUCUUCUAUGCUCUGUUUUCAUUGCAUUUUUCAUUAUCGAGGCCACUUCUAUUCCUGGAUCUUGUUCAUUAUAUGGACUGAGAGGGGGGCAGAGAAGAAAGUUUUGGAGAGCUUAGGGAGACAUUCUUGAGGAGCAAGCUGGAUAUUUAGAAGUUGGAGAGCAGACUGAUUUUCUGAGGUAGCUGGGUGAAGUGCAGACUGACAAGCAUAUUAGUUCAUGUCAAAGAUGAUCAUCAUGGCUGCGUUUCAUGAACCUCCAUGUAAAUAUCAAAGUUUUGGGUGUUUGAAUAUGUAUUCCCGUUACAGCAAGCUGAAGUGUGAAUUGCAGUGAGCCUAUAGACCCUAUUGCUAGCAGAAUGACACACUAAAUGAGUGCUCCAUUACGCUUGAUGCUUCAAAGUUUGGUUGAUUGAGGAAUUGAGAAAGAAAUAAAACAAACAAAGCUGCCCUCGAACAACCCGCCGGUGGCGAAACGCCUCUGUCAUCACCGGAACGCCAAGCAACCACAGCCAUGGACUCAUGAUCAGUGAGGGUCCCAGCUUCGUGGCUCUCUCACCAUCAAGCUUUGCAAUUGUUCUCGAUGGUUCUUCCCCUCUAUGUACCGCGACAUCAAUAGAUGCUGAGGGAACUGUCGAGCUUCACGUUCAGGUUGAUUGACUACAUGCUGAAGAUGUGUUGGCGUUUCCAUAUUCGGAUAUAAUGUGAAGAGUUAGAGGUUGAAGAAGUCGGUGUGUUUAUGGCAUCUCAAACUGUUGUGGAGCAGUUCUUGACUCUGCAUGUAAGCUUGAAUAAUGCUCACCUCGUUGCUGAUUCGCUAUCGCCUCAAACCUUACCUGCAUAUUUACACAUCUAAUGGGGGCGUCUCUCCACAUUAAAGCUUUACAAAGUUAUGAGAGACCCUUAUGGCUAUAGCUGCAAAUUGACUAUCCCAGGAUAUCGGCAUGAUUUUGUCUCACUUCUUCAACCACUGGAACUGUGACAAUUCCAACAUUAUCGGCCCUUGUUGGUCCUUUUGGCACUGAAAUACUAAUGCAACCUGCACCAUUGUCACAACCAGGUCCCAUGCUUACAGGUAUGGGAGUUGUGUCUGGACCCAUCCCAGAGGACUUCUUCCAGAAUACAAUUCCAUCUCUUUAGGUUUCAGCUGUACUGUAUUUUCCUGGGAGUUAUCUUGCACAAUAUCAAGGGAUUGAAGGCAACAAGGUUACACCUAACCAGGUUAAUGCACCUGUAGCUGAUGUUGGCCUUCCUGAUGGUGAUGCCUCACCACAAGCCACUCAACAACCUGUUAUUCCUCUGGAAUCCAUUGGACUGCCAGAUGGUGGUGUCCCACCACAAGCCAUGGGUCAGGCUGCUGACCUGCCACAAUCCAUGAGUCAGGCUACUGUCCCACCACAAUCUGCAAGUCUGCUAGGCUGUGAGAAACGUACCUGUUGUCGCCAUCUAUAGUUCAAGUGAGGGAACUAAUCCUUUUGGUGACACCGGUGAGCUUGUUUCACCUGUGCAAGAUGCUCUUUUCAGGGUGCACGAUGGGAUUGCUGCCGGUGAGUUGCCUGCUGAUGAGGAACCUGAAGAGGCCCAGCAAGUUAAUGUUCGGAUGUUUAUGCCUCCCGAUCGAAUUGGUUGUGUUAUUGGGAAAGUUGGGCAAGUGAUCCAGAACAUACAUAGUGAAACGCAUGCUCAGAUUCACAUGCUAAAAGAUGAACAUCUGCCACCUUGAGCCUUUAGUUCUGAUGAGUUUCUGCAGACAAUUGGGAAUGGCGCAAGAAAGGCUCUGAGGUUGCAAUUGCCCCAUGCUGGUUUAGAAUGCAGUCAUUGGUGACCUUUCUCGUCUGGUGGCUCACCCAAAAUAUGAUCAUAAAAGUUGACAUGAACCACGACAGCACUAUCAACCAAUCGCUAUGCUGAAUCAAAUCCUUAUGAAGUUGAAAGUGUUACAUGGAUGCUAAUGAAUCUCAGUUGCUUUAGUCAAAUACUUCUGCCUGCAUUUUGAGACCUUCCAGCUUGGAAUGGUUUUAGUCUACAUGACAGCCUUGAGGUUCAGGGGUGAUAACAGCGAGGUACGAUAUUAUAGUCUGUCUUGAAGUUGUGGAGUUUCACAGAAGACGACCUCAGUGAGAAGUUUGCAGCAUGCCACUCCUUGGCUGCCUCAAUUUCAUUGGCUAUCUCAUAGCCAAUCCCAUCAUUCCACCCUGGUCCCAUGCAUGCACGUAUCCUAUUGCAUAGCCACUUUUAGGCCACAUGUCUUUCUGCCUUUGUUUCAUCUUUGUUUUUUUAAAAUAAUCUUUCAAAUUCCAGUUUUCAAAUAGUUUUCCAAUUUCUAGAUUUUCAAAUAAUUUUAACUUUUCAAAUCUUCAUCCUUAGUUUUUUUUAGGCUUCAAAAUACCAAUUUUAAUAAAAUUUGCUUCCACUUUCUAUUCGGCAAGCAAUUUUCAAAUAUUUCAUGAUUUUUUAAAAUGUUUUAAAAAUAAGCAAGAAUUAAACUUCAUAAUUCCAAAUCAUGGAAUUUAUGGAAUCAAUUCAUGCAAAAUUAAUUAGGGCUUUGGUGGGGGCCCGACAUUCAUGAUACCUUCUUCAAUAUUGUUUGCUUGAUAUGUUGAUUUUUGAUUCUCCUUGAUGAUAUAUAUGAAUUUGUUUCGUAUUUAUUGUUGAGAUGCUCUUGAUUUCCCAUAGAGGAGUACUAGCUUGCUAUCCAGGUACGCUCUCUUCUCAUCCAUUUUUUAGAACUCUAUAGACUUGUAUGUCAUUGAUGACUAUAUCCAUAUUUGACGUGAUUCUUGGAUGUCUUGAUAUAUGCUUGAUUUGCUUGAACAAAACAAAUGUUGUGUGCUACAAUUCUACACUAACUUUUAUGUUUUAUGAUAGCGCUUGAGAAGCCAUUCAGGUACGCACUUCGACUCUCUCUUAUGGUUGGUUUUCUUGUUAGACAUGCAAUAUUUGAAAUCACCUAACCUACUUAGGUAUCCAUAAUUAACUGAUUAAUGGCCACACUUCCCUUAACUUUGUCACUAGAGACCUCUUUAGGGCUUAGAGGGGUGCUACCUCUUAGAGGUACCUUCCCAAUAAGUAACCUGAUCCCCGAACCUAGACUCAGGUUUCUCAAAGACAUGCUUUUUCCAAAACUAUGGAGUCACUUUUUAGGGUUUUUCUUUCUUGUUUUAUUUUCCCUUUAAAAUAAAAAUAAAAUAGGUGGCGACUCCAACUUUUUUUUAAAAUUAAUUUUUCACAAAUAAGAAGCGAGUCUCGCCGAUCGAGUGGGGGCGCACGUGAAAAAUGCGGGUCCACAAGUAUAUCAUGAGCAUGUCACACAUAUGGGUGCUAUACACAUUGAUGAUGUGCUAGUAUAGUAGGAAUUUGUAUUUAGAUUUUGUGUUUGUUUUCUUAAUGUGAUAUUAUGUUUGUGUUAUCUGUACAGACUUUGAUUUUAAAAGACUAUUGUAUUUGAAUACUCUGAAUUGAAAUGAUGACUUUCAAAAACAGUUUAGCAUCAAGUGUUGAAAGUAGAAUUUGACUAUUUUUAGUCAUAAAGUAGGACCAAUUGGAAAUAGACAUAUUAAAGAUCACAUUCUAUGUAAUUUUCAUGCUACACAUCCAUACUUGAUCCAUGUUGCUAAUUUUGUGAUCAUUGAUGGGUCUAGUUAUAAUUAUGAUUAACGAAGGCCGCUUUGAUCCUAUGUUAGCAUAAUUAGUAGACCAUAUUGUUUAAGGAUAUUUGAAUAGGAUAGCAAAGAUGAACUCAAUGAAGUAUUAUCAUGAACAUUGUUGGCUAAUAUAUGUGGUCCAAGUGGGAGAUUGUUAGAAUAAACGUGGACCCACAUCAUAUUAACCAUUGUUCAGGAUUUAGCUAUCCAUAUAUAUAUAUAUAUAAUUUCUAUUUAAUAUAGAGUAUGGGCCACCUCAUGUGUAGAGCCCAGAGCCAUAACGGGUCUUAGAUGAUGGGCUUAAGACUUGUGAGGCCCAAUAGUCCAAAAGAUAUGGUCCUUAAGGCAUAGAGGGUAUAAAUAUAAGGCUAAGUGUCUGUUCUCUGUUCUUGAUAUCACAUUUUUUGAAUAAGAACAGAACCUGUUCUCUCCCGCUUCCCAUCGUUAGAGAGAGUACAAAGAAAGGUGGUGCCCUCUACAACCUUAGAAGAUCUGUACCUUUUCAUCAAAAGCAAAAAUGGACUCAGGUUCGUUUGUUUCCAUAAUGAUGUCUGGCAUAAGUUUUCAUAUGAUUUAAACAUACGAUCCCAAUAUGUUAUUGGGUGCAAAAUAGAGUCCCCAUAAAAUCCAACGUUUGUUUUACUUAAUUUAGAAUAUAUUUAGUUAAUAAAAAAAUUUACAAAAUUAUAAUUAUAUAUAAAGAAAAAAUUAGUAAAAUCAUUCAAAAUGAAUUUGGGUUUGUGAAUUUUUAGUGUUUAUUUAAUUAAUUUUGAGUUUUCUGACUUUCUAAUACUAAUUCAAUUAGUUUUUGAGUAACUAAUUGUUUUUAAAAAUGAAUAUUUUUUGCAUUAAGAGUUGAUUAAUUUGGAGCUUAUUUGUUUCAUAAAUUUUUUUAGAGAAAUUAAAAGAAAAUUCAUAAAAAUGGAUAUAAUUUAAAGGAAGAUACGUAUUUUAAGAUUUUUUUUUGAUAUGGGGUGAUAGAGAGGAUGAAAAAAAAAAAAAAAAAACAAAGACAUCAUGUUUUACUCUUUCUAAUUUUGUUGUUUUUAUUUAUUUUUCUUAUUACUUUGUAUAUUUCUUUUAAAUUAAUAAAAAUAACUUUUACUUGUUUUCUAAUUUUUUUUCUAUUUCAUUUUAUUUUUAAAAAUUAUUACUAAAAGAUAAUAACCAAACCGUGUUAUAAAUUUUAAAAAUAAUUUGUUGUUUUUAAAAAUAGAACGUUGUUUUUAAAUUACAUCCUCAAAUAAGAUUUUAUCAUUUAGCGAAAAAGAAAAGAAAAAAAAACUCUGAAAAGAUGUUUUUAUAAAAUGAAAAAAAAAAAAUAAAAUAUGUGUAAUUUGAGAAUUUUUUUAGAAAUGAAAAUAAAAAAUAUUUUAAAUCAUAUGUAUGUAUAUUAUUGUCAAUUUAUUUUUGUAUUCUCAUUUCCAUUAUUGUUAACAUUAAAAUUGAAACAAAUAGUCAUUCUAAUAUUAUAUUCUUCAAUGCAUUUAAAUACAAAAAAUUAAAAUCAUCAAAUUUAUUUCUAUUUAAAGAGAUAUAUGAAUGAAAACAAAAUGGAAAUAUCCAUUUCCAUUCUUCAUUCCCAUAUACCAAAUAUGAUCUUAAUGUGCAUAAAUCGGUUCCCCAUUAGAGCUUGAAAAGGAAUUCACAAAAAAAAAUUAUCAUUUUCACUCUCAUAUUAAAAAUAAUUGUUAAAUAUUUGAUUAUUUAAAAAUAAAUAUUCUAAUUAAAUAAUUUUACAUUUGAAUAUGUAUCCUUGAUAAAAAUAUCUAAAUGUACAAUAAAUAUUUUCAAUUUUUAAAAUAAUUUCAUAAUUAAAAUUAAUAAAUUUUCUUUAAUACAAGCUCCUCAUAUUCACUUUUCAAGGGAUUUUGUUUCUCGUCAAGUUUAGAACGGAUUUGAUAAUAAUUUUAAGAAGUAUUUCAUAUUUAAAAAACAAAAUUUUGAAGUGAUUCCUAAAAUCACAAUCAACUCUUACAAAACACAUCUUAUUGGUAUCAAGAUGAUACUUUUAUUUUAAUGGUGAUUCAGACUGCUAUAACAACAAUCCGAAAGGGCCUAAAGAGCAAAAGAAGAACGAAAAAGCCGAGGAAUGAAAAAUCAAUGUUUAUUUGAUAAAAUAAAGCCCUUGGGGUGGGAAUGGUUGCGGAGUCCAUCUGUACUGUGUUGAACCAAAUCAAGUCUCGUAAGCCCAUUAUCAGUCUGAACUCCGGCUUCCUCUGUGUUUCCUUUGUCUCAUUUGACGACAAGCCACCAACAAAGUCAUGUAUUAAAGUACCGGAUUAGCUUAGAAAAUUGGUUUUCAUCGUUGGCCCCUCUUUCCUUCUCUUUUUCUUUACUAACCCAAGUGAGAUUGUGAUUUGCAUUUUCGUUUUGUUGGUAAGUCUCUCUGUAUUCUAUCAUCAUCUGCUUCCUGCAAUAUUUCAUUUUCUUGUUUUCAUUUCUCACCUUCAAUCCAUUGGCUACCACUCUUUUCUUUGUCUGUAGCUGUUGCUGCUACUGCUACUGUUGUUGUUGUUUUCUUUUGUUUUUUUAGUCUCUACUUUUGGUUUGCAUUUAUUAUCCCCACCAAAAAAAAAACCCAAAUUGGAAAUGGCAGAAAUAGCUAUUGCGAUUGCAACAAAAGUUGUUGAAUAUCUGGUUGCUCCAAUUGGACGUCCUUUUGGGUAUCUAUUCAACUACCGUAGCAACAUUGAUAAUCUUGUCCACCAAGUUGAGAAGCUGGGGGAUGUCAGGGCUGGGCUACAGCGUUCCGUGGAUGAAGCUAUCAAGAACGGGGAUGAAAUUGAAGCUGAUGUUGACAAGUGGCUUAUGCCUGCAAAUGGGUUCAUGGAAGAGGCUAGGAAGUUUCUUGAAGAUGGGAAGAAGGCAAACAAGAGUUGUUUCAUGGGGUUAUGUCCUAAUUUGAAGUUGCAUUAUAAGCUAAGCAGGGCAGCAAAGAAGAAGGCAAGGGCGGUUGUUGAAAUUCAAGGAGCUAGGAAAUUUGAGAGGCUGUCAUAUCGUGCUCCUCUGCCAAGGAUAGGCUCUACAACUCUCAGAGGGUACGAAGCUUUAGAAUUAAGAAUGUCAACUUUGAACCAAAUUAUGGAGGCCUUAAGGGAUGGUGAUGACAACAUGAUAGGGGUUUGGGGGAUGGGUGGUGUUGGGACGACAACACUGGUGGAACAAGUAGCUAAGCAUGCCAAGGAACAGAAGCUAUUUGAUGAAGUGGUUAUGGCAUCUGUAUUCCAAAAUCCAGAUUUGAGGAAAAUUCAAGGACAACUGGCAGACAUGAUAGGUUUGAAAUUUGAAGAGAGUGAAUGGGGAAAAGCAGCUCGAUUAAAUGAGGAUAUCAAAAAAGAGAAGAAGAUCCUAAUAAUUUUGGGAAUUCCUUUUGGAGAUAAACAUGUAUUGUCCAAUGAGAUGGGUACCCAGAAGGAUAUACCUGUUUUACAUUUACCGAAAAAAGAAGCAUUAGUUUUAUUUAAGAAGAUAGUGGGUGAUUCCAUUGACAAACAGGAUUUGCAAGCUAUAGUAAUCAAUGUGGCAAAGGACUGUGCAGGUUUGCCAAUUGCACUUGAAACAAUUGCAAAGGCUCUAAAAAAUAAGAAUGUGUCUAUAUGGAAGAAUGCUUUACAACAGUUAAAAAGGUCUAUGCCAACAAACAUAAGAGGAAUGGAUGCGAUGGUGUACUCAAGUCUGGAGUUGAGCUACAAGCAUUUACAUGGUGAUGAAACUAAGUCAUUGUUCUUGCUUUGUGGUUUAAUGGAUAAUGAUAUUUUUAUAGAUGACUUGUUGAAAUAUGUUAUGGCUCUACGAUUGUUUCAAGGAACUGAUACAUUGAAAGAAACAAGAAAUAGAGUUGAGGCAUUGGUUGACAACCUCAAAGCCUCAAAUGUGUUACUAGAAACCGGUGACAAUGCGUUUACGAGAAUGCAUGAUGUUGUUUGUGAUGUUGCCUUAGCAAUUGCAUCCAAGGAUCAUGUGUUUUCAUUGAGAGAAGGUGUUGGAUUGGAAGAAUGGCCAAAGCUGGAUGAACUCCAAAGUUGCAGCAAGAUCUCUUUGGCCUACAAUGAUAUCCGCAAACUUCCUGAAGGAUUGGUAUGUCCAGAACUUGAACCUUUUGUGUUAUAUCACAUCAGUGAUCCCAUUCUGAAAAUCCCAAAUACAAUUUUUGAAGGGAUGAAAAGCUCAAAGUUUUAGAUCUCACUAAUAUGCAUUUUACAUCACUCUCUUCAUCAAUUCGCUGCCUUGCAAAUCUUCGAACACUGAGUUUAGAUUAGUGCAUAUUAGGAGAUAUAGCUAUAAUUUCAGAGCUGAAGAAAUUAGAAUCUCUUAGCCUUAUAGGUUUUAUAUUGAACAGUUGCCCAAAGAAAUAGAGCAACUAAUCCAUCUAAGGUUGUUGGAUUUGAGUAAUUGUUCCAAACUUCAAGUAAUUCCAUCAAAUAUCAUAUCAAGCUUGUCUUAGUUAGAGUAUUUGAGAAUGGAAAAUAGCUUUACAGGAUGGGAGGUUGAAGGAUCCAAUGAUAAAAAAACUAAUGCUAGCCUUGCUGAGCUUAAAUAUUUGUCUCACUUGGGCACUUUAGAUAUGGAAGUACCAGAUGCCAAGUUACUGCCAAAAGGCAUACUCUUUGAGAACUUGAUAAGAUUUAAAAUACUUAUCGGUGAUGUCUGAAGUUGGUGUGAAAAUUGUGAAACCUCAUAAUCACUGAAGCUUAAUAAGCUCAACACAAGCCUCCAUUCGAUGGAUGGUAGUAGUAAAUUGUUGAAAAGAGCAAAAGAUCUAUACUUGCGUGAACUUAGUGGUGGUAAUCAUGUUCUUUCCGAAGUAGAUAAGGAAGGUUUUCCAGCAUUAAAGCAUUUUCAUGUUGAAAAGAGUCCAAAGAUUCAAUAUAUCAUGCAUUUAGUGGAACAAGUUCCAGGAAAUCCUGUAUUCCCUACCUUGGAGUCAUUGUAUCUCAUGAAGCUAAUUAACUUGCAAGAAGUGUGCCAUGGACAACUUCCACCAAGGUCCUUUGGACUUAAGAAUUGUAAAAGUUGAUGAUUGUGAUGGAAUUAAAUGUCUCUUUUCAAUAUUUUUGGCUCGAAGCCUUCCACAACUCCAAGAAAUAGAAAUAAAAAGAUGCAGGGUUAUGGAUGAGAUGGUUGAACAAUAUGGCAAAGAAUUAAAAGAUGGGAAUGAUGUAGCCGAUACAAUUUUGUUCCCUCAAUUACCAUCCUUGACAUUACAACAUCUACCAAGGCUGCUAAACUUCUGUUCAGAAGUGAAGGCACUGCCUUCCAUUUAUGUAAGCAUCAAAGAAUUGAGGUCAACUCAAGUAAAGUCUGAAGGAAUUUGUUUGGAGGGUGAACUUGGUACUCACAUACUGCUUUCCAGCAAACAGGUAUUUUAUGCUUAAUAGUCCUUUGUAUGGCAUCUUAUUUUCCCUUGUCAAUUUAGGUAAUGUUAUUCUUCAAUCAGAAAUUCUCAUGAUGUGCUAGUCAAGCAAUUAGGUCAACAAGCCCCCUUUCCACUUCAAGUCCUAAGUGCUAUAAUCUAUAACCCUUAUUCUUACAACCCUUUACCAGCAAAGAUAUUCACCUUUGAUACGAAUGAUUGUCUAUUGUACUAAAUUUCAAUCUUUUAAUGAAAGACAAGGAAAAUAAUGCUUGCCUAAUAGGUAUUUUAUAAAAUACAGAAGAUAAUACUAUUAUUUCAGUCUUUGAAGCUUUUCAUCAAAGAGUUGUACCUUCAUGAAACAAACUUCAAUAAUAUUUGUAUGUUUCUCCUUUAUAUGAUCAUUCAUUGUUAGUAUCUUAUGCUUCAUGCAUUAUACAUGAGGGGCAGUAGGACAAUAUGGUGCAUAUGUUAUGGAUACAUACCUCUAGUUUGCUUAGUCUUUAGCUCAAAUAGCAAUUUUCUUACCAUAACAAAUGGCAUUCGAAAUGAUUAUAGAGAAAGAUGCAAAAAAUAAUCUCAACUUAUUUUUUAUUUCCAUUGUCCACUUAUAAAGUACUUAUAAAAAGUUGCUUAGUUCUAGCUCAAUUCAAUCUUUUUUCAUGGAUGUUUAAUGAGAAAACUGUUGCAAUCCUCACAGAGCCUGUGAGGUUUUUGUUGGUGAUUUAUCCACAUACCACUAGUUAUGGAGAGGCUUGGUGUAAAAUUCUCUUGCCAAUUUAUUCUGGUUUAUCAACAACCCAUUCAGGGCUUACUAUAACAUGAAGGCAAUGUAUGUUGGACAUCCUGACCCAACUCCAACUUAACAUAUAACUAUAUUAGACCUAACAUAUAAUAAUGCUAUUCUUUCAUACUAUUAUCCAUGGAAAUUAAUUAUAUUUUAUAAAAUUUAGCCGUCAAUAUUUUUUUUAAUUAAAAAAUGCAAAUGCCUAAAAUUAUGAGAAAUCAUACCUUAUAUUCAACAUUUUAGCAAUUAUAUAAAUGCAUGACAAGACACUAAUUCCAUUGAGAUCUCAAUUAUCAUUAAUACAUGUUAAAUUAUGAUUAUUGACUAAACAUAUUUAUUGCAGUUCUGUUUCUUGUCCUUGCAAGUUUGAUAUAUGCAAUUACUGCAAUAUAUGGCAUGGUCAAAUUUCCAUGUUGUAGAGAUAUGGCAUGGUCAAAUUCCAUCUGAGUCCUUCGGCAACCUUCACUCACUACAUGUCAAGAAUUGUGCAUCACUAUUAAAAGUCUUGCCAUCCUAUUUGCUACGCAGCUUACAAAAUUUGGAAGUGGUAAUUUUAAAAAAAACUGUGAUCUACUAGAAGAAGUAUUUGAUCUUGAAGGUCUAGAUGUUAAUAAUGAACAUGUUCGGCUGCUCUCUAAGUUGAAAAAAUUAAGCUUAAUUGGUCUUCCUAAGUUGAGGCAUAUAUGCAACAAGGACCCUAGAGACAAUUUGUGCUUCCAAAACCUGAAAUGGCCAAAUGUGGACAACUGUGGCAACUUGAGAAACCUUUUCCCUCCUUCUAUGGCCUCAGAUCCUGUGCCACUUGGAGGUGUAGAAGUGAUGGCUAUAGGCAAUAUCGUAUUUCCUCAAUUAACCCACCUUUCACUGGAAUCUUUGCCCAACCUAACAAGUGUCUAUCCAGGAUGUCAUUCUCUACAACAGCUUGACCAUGUAAACCUAGAAAGGUCAGUUUGGCUCUUAAAAUCCUUUACUUUACCAUCUCGUAAUAUUUCUUUUUAACACUUUGUUUAGGGUAAAAUGGUUUGAAAUUUGCACAUGGAACAUUUUAGAUACUAUACAAUUUUCUAAUUUUAAGUCUUAAAAUGAUCACUCCUCAUCCCCUCCAAAUUCCAUCAUUUUUAGAGUGAAUUUCAUUAGAACUUCUAUUGGUUUCAGGCAACAUAAUUUAUUUAUUUAUUUAUUUUAAUAAAAUCUUCUCCAAAAUUUCCUCAUUCCUAGUGAAUAGUCAUUGUGGCACAUAUCUAUUCCAGUUUUGGGGAAUCUUUGGUGGGCAUUGAUUUGGAGAAAUAUUCAAGUUGUUGCCUAAUACUGAAUAACGGUGAGAUAGGGCUUCAGUUUUCAGGUUUUAAAGAGGGAAUGGUGGAAUUAGGCUUGUAGAUGAUUGACUAUUGUUUAAGGUGCUUUGUGACCUGCUGAUAUUAAAAGAAGCUUCCUGGGAUUGCUUGACAGAAACGGAAUUAUGCCAUUUUUUAGUUUGAGGUUGCAGUGACCAGGUGGAUGUUGUGGAUGCUCUUUAGAUAACUUCUUCUAGUACAACUGCAACUUGGACUGGGUUCCCACUUUUGUUUUUACUAGAUCAUGCUAUGCCCAACUGUAAAGAAUCCAAUUACAAAUAGCAAUAGCUAAUGUGGAAUUUGGUAGGUAAUUCCAAAUUAUUCUACAUCUCUAUAGUCUGUCCAAGCAAUGAAGAUGGUAUUUGGGGUGUUCAAAACACCACUCAGUUGUUAUUGAUAUGCCCUACUAUUCUAUGCAUAAAGGGCUGAGUGAGAGGUACUUAAUCAUUUUGUAGAAUCCAAUUGCUAAUUUAAAGAGAAAAUUCUCUGUAUAAGUUACUUCACAGCUUCUGCAAUAUAUAUAAGAAAAGAGAAAAACUAUAUAGGGAAGAAUAUAAACAAAUCCCCAAAAUCUAUUCCUAACUUGUAGAAAUAAUAAUAAUAAUAAUCAAAUCCUUAAAAUUAAGAAGCUAAAUAUGAUAAUUAGAAAUCUGCUUCUUGCUUAUAGAAAUUAAAAUAGUCAAUCCCUAAAAUAAAAGGUAAACUAAGAUCAAAUAUGAAAGCUAAAAUAGAAAUCGAAACGAUGGAAAUCUUUGAAUAUACAAUUAACACCUGUCAACACUUCCCCUUAAGUAGGAGUGUAGAUGUCUCAAAUGCCCAAUUUGUCAAGUAUUUAUCUAAAAGUCUCGUUUGACACCUUUGUUAAAAUAUCUACAAGCUCAUUCUCUGUCUUUAGAAAAUGAGUGCUAAUCCUCUAGUCAACUUUUCCUUGAUAAAGUAUUUAUCUACUUUAAUAUGUUUUGUAAGAUUAUGUUCAACUAGAUAGUGGGUAAUGCUAAUACAAGCUUUGUUAUCACGGUAAAGCUCCAUUGGAUCCCUAGAACCAAGCCCCAACUCCUUUACUAAGGCCUUCAACCAUAACAUCUAACAUAUAUCAUGAGCCAUAUUUCUAAAUUUGGCUUUAGUGCUUGAUCUAGCCAUAACAGAUUGUUUCUUGCUAUGCCAUGUGAUUGAUUCCCUCCCACAAACAUUUAAUACCUUGAAGUUGAUCUUCUAUCUAUUACAUAAUCUACCCAAUUAGCAUUGAUAUAUCCUUCUACUUUUAAAUGGCCAUGUUUAGAAAAAAUAAAAGCUUGUCCUAAGAGCAGAUUUUAAAUACUUGAGAAUCCUUUGUAGAACCAAAAUUUUUGCUUUGCAAGGAGCAUGCAUGAAUUGAUUUACCAUACUCACCACAAAGGUUAUGUCAAGGUGAGUAUGAGCCACGUAUAUUAGCUUCCCAACUAAUCUCCGAUAUCUCUUUUUGUCUACUGGCGUAUCAUUUGGACCUUCACCUAAUCUGUGGUUUUGUUUAACAAGAGUAUCAAUAGGCUCACAAGCCCACAUUCUGGUUUCAUCAAAUCCAUAAUAUAUCUCUUUCAAGAAACAAGAAUCCCUUACUUUAACCUUGCAACUUCAAUACAAAGAAAAUAUCGUAGAGUACCAAGAUCUUUGAUCUCAAAUUCUACUGCCAAAUAUGUCUUUAGUUUACUCAGCUUCUCACUAUCAUUACUUGUCACCAAAAUAUCAUCCACAUACAUGGUCAAGGUGGUAAUUUCCCUUUGAGUGAAUGUUUGAGUGAAAAAGUAUGAUUAGACAAAUUUUGAUGGUAUCCAUACUUCUUCAUAGCCUAAGUAAAUCCACUAAACCAAGCUCUAGGUGAUUACCUGGGUCCAUACUUCUUUAAUCUACAUAUCUUACCCCCUUUUAUUACAUUAGCAAAGCUAGGAGAAAGUCCAUGCAUACUUCUUCUUAUAGAUCUCAAUAAAGAAAUGCAUUUUUUACAUCAAAUUGUUGAAGUGGCAUGUCUAGGUUUAUAACCAAGGAUAAGAGGACCUGGAUGGUAUUUUUUUUGCCACUGAUGCAAAAGUUUCAUGAUAAUUUACCCUGUACUUUUGUAUGUAACCUUUUGUCACCAAUCUUGCUUCAAACCUCUUCAUAAAACUAUUUGCCUUGUAUACCUACUUACAACCAAUUGUGUUCUUUCCUUUUUGCUAGCUUAACUAGUUUCUAUGUAUCAAUUUUUUUGUAAUGCUUUCAUUUCUUCAAUCAUGACAACUUUUCACUUAGGGUUUUCAAGAGCUUCCUAUAACUUAUUAGGAAUAGACAUAGAGGAAAAUUGUUUUGCAAAUAUUUUACAUGAAAGAGAUAAACAAUGUGAAAGCAUAUGAUGAGAGAUGGGAUAAUUUAUAGUACAACUUGCAAAACCAUAACAAGAGGGUGGUUUUUUUUUAUUUUUAGAAGGAUAACAAGUUUGGUUCUUAAGAGUUAAUUAAGUUGACUCUUCAAUAAAAGUACCAAUAGAGAAUAGCAUUCAAGAGGAGUUACCUUAGGAUUACCUAUUGUAGGAGCAUCUUAUUAGUAUGUGGCUUUAUUCUCUAGAUCUAUGAUUUAUGCGGUAUCCAUAUUGUUUUUGAAUGCCUGUUUAUUCACUGUGAUAGAUUUAGAAGGCUUAGGAUAGAUUUGUAUGCACCCUACGUGAUACAGGGCAUGGAAAUAGAGUUAUCUGGGGUUCCCAACAACAUUUACAUCAAAGGUAUACUUUUUAAGCCUUAGAUCUAUUGUAUGGUUAAUUAAUCAAUUAGCAACCUUUUUGGGCUAAAUUAAGUGACCCAAACCCAUGAUGGGCUUAAGUGACUUAAGCCCAAUAGGAAGCCUAUAAAUACCUCUUUAGGGGUUACGGUUUCCAUAUCUUGCCAUGUUCUCCCUACAAUCUAGAGAGAGGACCCUAGCUUCUACCCUUGAGAUCUCCAUCAUCUCAAUGCCUAGACAUAAGAAAAAGUCAUCGGACGGAAGAUCAUGGUGUUUACGAGAUCCAUGACAACUUUAGAGUUAUCUACAUUAAUUGAAAUCGAUUUCAUUGGGUUGAUCAAAAGGUGGCUAAGUUGCUCGAGUCUUCUAUCUUGUUAAAUAUAUCAAUCUAUAUGACUUAAGAAAUCCUCUUGAAGUCAGUGCAGAAGUUUCAGAUGAUGAUAAACUAGUAAAAGAUAGUGGUAACACAUCCCAAGACUUCUCUUCCCCUUUAAGAGAAGCAUGUAAAUCUCCCCUUAAAUAGUCAACCUAAUGUUCAACAAAAGUAACAUCCUUAGAAACAAGCAUAUUUUCUAAAGGUAGGUGGUAACAUUUAUUUCCCCUUUUUGUAGUAGAGCACCCCAAAAAAAAUUCACUUGAAUGUCCAAGGAUCAAGCUUACUCCUAUUUUGUUUGUGGAUAUGAACGUAACAAACACGAUAAAAAACUCUGGAGGGAUAUGAAGGCAAGUUGGAAUAGGAUGUGUUUUGAUCAAUAACUGAAGAGGGGUUCGAAACUGAAGGACUUUGAAGGCAUUCUGUUAAUGAGAUAUGUUGCAGUAAGAAUUGCAUUACCUUAGAAGGAUUUAGGAACAUUCAUAGCAAAGAGUAAGGAUCCAACAACCUCUAUGAGAUGAUGAUUCUUACACUUGACUAUACCAUUUUGUUAGGAUGUAUUAACACAUGAAGUUUGAUGAAUAAUCACAUGAGACUAAAAAUAAACACUUUGACCCUUAUUGAGGUCCUCUCCUCCAUUAUCAAAUUGUAGAACUUGUGUUUUAUUGUUAAAUUGGGUAAAAACUAUUUGAUUAAGGACUUAAAGGUGGAAAAAAAUAUCACAUUUUUCUUUCAAACUAGAGAUCCAUGAAAUUCGAGUGCAAUCAUCAAUAAAAAAGAAGCAAACCACUUAAAACUUGAAUGAUUAGUAAUAGGGGAUGACUCUCACGCAUCAUUAUGAAUAAUUGAGAAAGACAACGAAAUUUUAUUAAUGCUUGAAGUUAAGCAAGUUCGAUGAUGUUUGAUUAACAUACAACUAUCACAAUGAAAAUUAUAAACAUGAACUUUGGAAAAUAAGGAUGGGAAGAACUUGUGCAAAUAGCUAAAUAAGAUAUGUCUACAUCUUCUAUAUGAUAACCAAAUCUAUUCUUCUGAUGUUGGCCUACCCAUUACUUGAUUCGCUUGUAUAUGUAAAUCUUGCCAAUUUAUGUUUUUGUAGUACAAACCACCCCUCUCUCUACCUAGACAAUUUUCGCUCUUAUAAGAUGAUCUUGGAAGGCACAAUAAAUUUUAAAGAAAGUUAUUAAAUACUUUAAAGCCUUAAUUAUCUAGCUAAUGGGCAAUAACUUGCUGGAUAAACAUGGAAUAUGUAAGAUAGUAGAGAGUGAAAUUUACCCCUAACAUAGUAGAAGAUCUAUUUGUUGUUUUAACGAUUUUCAUACUAGAAAGAAGAAGUGCAAAAAAUGGAAGGGAUAUUAUGGGAUCUUAUUCAUUUCUACUCCUCCUUUUGGCUUCUUGUAUUAUUACUUUAAGAGGAAUUCCACUUAAUGUUAUUCUACUUAUUUGGCUUUCAGUUUGUAAUUCAAAAGAGGUAGAUAACAUUUGAGAGAGUUUGAUUUUGGUUUUUGAGAUAUUUUGUACAUGAUUUUAUUAGUACUUCUCCUUGUACAGUGGAGGGGUAUAGUCUUAUUUUGAUAAGGUUUUGUACUUUACGGGAAGGACCUCUCAUCCUUCUCUUUAACUUUACUAUUAUCAAUAUAUAUUUUGUUUUUUUAUCCAAAAAAAAAACUAAGAUGAAUGUUCUAGGAAGAAAAAAAAAAGACUAGAUUCAUGCAUGUGUCUUAUGAUUUGUAGUACCUAAAUAUAUAAUCCAAAAAUAAAUCAUGACUAGAUGUGCUUAAGGCAAAUCCAAAUUUUCCUGUAUUGGCUAAGUUACAAAAAGCAUCUUUCAAGGAUAACCUCUAAGCAUUAUCAUUUCUUUGAUCUUCUUUUAUGGUUGGGUCAUGAAAUAUGAUUGUGUAUUAGAUGAUGUAUGAUGUGCUCUAGAAUUUGAGUUAAAACACUUCCUAUGAAACCUUUUUUAAUAUCCUUUUAUCUUGAAAUAUGUCUCUCGAGCAUGCCUUAUCUUAUCACAAUGUGUACAAAUUAAAAACUUCUUGUUUCCAACUUUCCUAGAGUUAGAGACAACUAGUGCAGUUGGAGCUUGAACAGUACUAAAUGUUGAACUCACUUGUGAGACACUUACAAGCAUAGUAGCCUGAUGAAGCUUCUCACACCAAACAUAGGCAGAUGCUCCAUUAAGAUUAGGAAGAGGAUAUUGCCUUAAAAUUUGUGCUAUGAUUUGUUCAAAACUUGAGUCGAGACCAACUAGGAAAUAAUUGAUCCUCUAAGGCACCACUGCCUCACAAGAAGUCUCUUUGAAUUGGUUUGUGCUGAUAUAAGGUAGGGAGGCUUAGGUAUUCUCAGUCUUGUGGCCCUAAACAAAGCCUCGUUUGGGAGGUGGAGCUGGAGAUUUAUUGUAGAGAGGGUUUCUUUGUGGAAACAAGUCAUCAUAGACAAGUUUGGGGUAGAGGAAGGAGGUUGGUGUUUGAAGGGAAUGAGAGGAUGGUCAAAUUUUGGAAGGAUUUGUGGUGUGAGGACCAAACGUUAAAAGAAGUUUUCCCUAAUUUAUUUUGGUUGGCGGUCAACAAGGAUGAGUGGGUGUUUGAUGUUUGGGAGGAGGAUAGUUCAAGACACUUUAAUGAUUGGGAAAUGGAACAGGUGGAGGGCUUGUUCUGAAAAACUGCAUCCUUUGGUUUUGAAUAGAGAUGUGGAGGAUGUCUUAAGCUAGAAGAAUAGCAAGAAUGACUUUUUUUUUGUUAGAUCGCUCUACUGCUCCUUUACAUGAGCCUUUAGUAACCCUUUUCCUUGGAGUAUUAUUUGGAGGUCAUGGGCUUUGUUGAGGGUAAGCUUUUUUUCUGAAUAGAUGCUACUUGUGUAAAGAGGAAGAGGAAACCAAUGACCACCUGAUCCUAUUUUGUAAGAAGGCUACAAUGCUAUGGAGCUUGCUUUUUUCUCUAUUUGAUGUACAAUGGAUCCUUCACUCCUCAAUUAAAAGGAAUUUGAUUGGUUGGCAUGGAGCUUUUGUGAGUAAGAGAAGGGAAAAGGCUUGGAGGGCAAGCCCCCUUUGAUUGAUGUGGACCUUAUGUAAGGAAAGAAAUGAAAGAGUGUUCAAUGACAUUGAAUGGUCCAACGAAGCUUUAAAACAGUUUUUUUUAUACACUUUUGUAAAUUGGGGUAGAGUGUCUUUGUCCAUGAUUGUUUUUAUAGAGUGGCUUUUUGUCUAGUUAAGAGAAGGGUUUUUCAUCUUUCUUUUUGCCUAGCUUCUUGGAUGUUGUUUGUAUAUUUCGUGUGUACUUUUUUCGCCGCUUCUAGGUGUUGCUAUUACAACUCUUAUUUACCUAUCAAAAAAAAAAUUGAUCAUCUCAUUCUUGAUUUUCUUCUUUAGGUUUGUUGUAUCUACAACACACUCCAUAUCACAUUGGCUAGAGAAAAUCAAGGUCUUUAUUAGCAUAAAGAGUAGAAACAUCUCUGGUCAAUGUCUUCCAUUGUUGUCUAGUCUCAUGUGUCUUAUGAAUAGGUUUGUAAAUCUGGGAAGCAUCACUACCAUUGAAAUAAGUUUAAGCCAUAGCAUCCUAAGUAUCAUCAGUUGUAGGAAGUCAAAGAAAAGGUGCACUAAUAUCUAAAGUUAUUGAAUUAGGAAGCCAUGACAUCAACACUGCAUUCUCCUCGACCAAGUAUAGAUGAAUGAAUCAGAAAAAAUUGCCUGGUUCUUCUCUUUAUUCAAGUAUCCCAACUUCCCCUUUCCUACAACUUCACAAACUAGGACCAUGUAGAGUAAUUCAUACCAUCAAGUUUGUUAAAAGUCAUCUGUAUGUACAUAUUAUAAUGUUGAACUAUUACAAUAGAAGGAAUAAGUGGUGGUGCUCCAAAACCAAAAACUUUUGUCACCAAUUCAAACAUGAUUCUUUGUGUGAGGGUAGUUGCAAACUCAAACAGCAAGGAUAGGCGGCAAGAGGAAUAGGUGAGCAGUAAAAGCAUCAAACUAAUAGAGGUGUCUUUGGUACUAUGAUGAUUUAAAGAGAAAUUUUGUUGUACAUUUACUUCAUAGUUUGUGUUAUAUAUAUAAGAAAAGAGAAAAACUAUAUACAAGGUCAAAUCUAAAACAAAUCCUUACGGGAAAUUUGGAGAAAAGUCAUUCUUGGAAAAUUUGGGGAGGUGGAGAGGGGUUGGACCACUAGAGAGGUGAGGGAUUCUUACAGGUUAAGUCUUUGGAAAUACAUUAAAAAAAGCUGGGAUAAGUUCACUCUUAGAGCCAACAUCCGCAUUGGUAAUGGUAGACGCAUAAGAUUUUGGUGGGACAGUUAGGUUAGGAAGAUUAAGUUGAAGGAUGUUUAUCCAACUUUUUUCAAGCUUUCUUCCCACAAGAAUGCAACAAUGGCAGAUUUAUGGGAAAGGGGAGGGGGUGGAGGUGAUGUUGGGAGGUUUCUUUUAGAAGAUCCUUCCAAGAUUGAGAGCAAGAGGAGGUGUCUUAGUUUUUGGAACACAUCUUUUCUUCAAAAGUGCAAGAAGGGGAGGACACUUUAAUUUGGAAAAAUGAUGGGAAGGGAAUGUAUACUGUCAAGUCUUAUUAUAUUUCUCUAAGGGCUGAGAACAAUCUUUUAUUUCCAACUAAAGAGGUUUAGGGAUCAGAUGUUCCUCUCAAAACUCCUUUUUUUGCUUGGGAAGCAGUUUGGGGGAAGAUAUUAACUGUAGAUAUGUUGAUGAAGAGGGGAUGCCCCUUGGUUAAUAGAUGUAUUCUUUGUAAAGAUAGUGAAGAGUCAACUGAUCAUAUUUUGAUUCAUUGUGAUAGGACAAGACAACUUUGGACUAUGCUGUUAACAACUUUUGGUUUGGUUUGGGUGUUCUCGCUUCAAUGAGAAAUCUUCUCCUAGAAUGGAAAUUCAAGGGACUUGGGAAGAAGAAAAGAGCAGUUUGGCGGUUGGCUCCGAUUUACUUAUUUUAGUGUACUUGGGGAGAGUGCAACCAAAUGAUCUUCGAAGAUGAAGAAUUGUCGGACCAAAAGUUAAGGGUUCUCUUUUUCAGAUCCCUUGUGGAGUAGUCCAAACUGCUGGAUUUGGAGAUCUCCUCUCAUCUGAAUUUUCUGGAGUCUCUUUAUAGUGCCUAGUCUUGCUCUUUUCUAAGUUUCUUCUUUCUUUUUUAGUGCUUGGGUUGUUUUUUUGUGUAUACUGCCUAUAUACGUUGGGUGUGCCCCAUUUUUUUGGUGCUUCUUAAUACAAGCUUUUGUCUAUCAAAAAAAAAAAAAACAAAUCCCUACAGUCUAUUCGUAACUUGCAGCAAUAAUAAUAAUGAAAUCCUUAAAAUCAAGAAGCUAAAUAUGACAACUACAAAUCUAUUCUUUGAUAAAAGCUCAAUAUUCUUUGACAACUACAAAACUAAGGUAUUUAAAUUUAAUAUUGAGCUGUAAUUACAUUACUUCUUCUGAUUUCCUACUAAAUCCCUAAUUUUGGUACUAAUAUAUUUCUGUAGCGUGUCUCGUAAUUUUUGGCAGCAUUAUAACUAAAACUUGUUGGCAGCCCUGCACUUUAUAAUGUAUCUAAUUGUCCCUGCCACAUAUUCCAACUAGUUCUCCUACACUUUCUAGCUGUUAUCAAUGCUCAAAAUAACCAUUACAGUAGCUGCUAGCUUUCUCUACAACUGUCGGCUAUAUUUCUUGCUGCUCAUACUUCUUUUUUGCUCUAUUUAAGGGAGGUGAAGGCUGACCAUUACAUAUGGAGAAAUAGAUAGGGAGAAAUGUAGAAUAUAAUCAUCCUCUUCAAGAGGAAGUAGAUUGAUGUAGUUUUAAACCCUCAUUUCCAUUUAUAAAAUCUUCAAUUUCAGUUUCAGCAUUGAUUUUCAGUUGUAAUUUAUUUUGUGUUGCCACCUGAGUGGCUAAAUUUCCAAGCCAAGGUGAGGGAAAGCUUGGGUUACUCCAUUCUUAUUGUUUCCAACAUAUAUCCUUGAGGAACCUGUAGGAGACACUCCCUAAUUUGGCCUGUUCAUCUCGUCCUAGGCAUUAGCUCACUUAGGAAAGGUUUUAUACUGCACAUUUCUUGUUGCCUCUGUAACCCUUAGGUUGCUUGGAAUGCCUCAAAUUAAAGGAGUUGAUGUUGGAGUAAGAAUUGGUACAUUUGAACCUUAUCGUAGUGUAAAUCAGUUUGGAAUGGUGAAGGGAAGUAGAAUUUGUUUGUGUAUCUUUGGGUUGGAAUUAGAUGAAGGAAUGCAUUGAGUGUUAUGGUGCCACACUUGUGGUGAUGAACUAUGCAUCGCAAUGAUAUUCCAAAGAUAGCUUGUAUGGGGGAUACUUUAUGCUAACCCAAAACUUCAUUUGUUUUCUUAAUUAAAUGCCUUGUUUUUUUUAGUCUUACCAUUUCAAAGACAAAUAACAAAAAUACAAAAACUGUCUUUCAUUCUCUUCUUGCACUUGUUUCAAUCAUUUUUUUGGGUUUGACACCCAAAUACUCAUCAAGUACUAUAAAUUCAAAGUUCUUGCUCUGAGGGACUCGACACUGAGGAGAAUACAAAACCAAGCUAUAAGCACUCCUUGCUUAUAGAAAUUAAAAUAAUCAAUCCUAAAAUAAAGGGUCAACUAGGAUAUGAAAGUUAAUAUAGAAUAAGACUGGAAAUCUCUAAAUAUAUGGUUAGUACUUGUCAACACCAAUCACUCGACAUGUGGAAUUCAAAUGGAAAGGUAGCACUGCUAGCAGCUUCAUAAACCAUAAAGCAUUAACGUGUUUUUGUCCUUUCACCGUUCUAGCUAUUCACAAGCAUGGUUAUUUGUCUCAUAUCAACCUUGUGCUUUUUAUAUCGUCUUUAUGUCAUUCAUUUGGAAUAUAUAGGUAUCAUUAAUGGAAUGGUUAAAUGAAUUCUACAGAUAGCAUUUCCUAGCUUGGAAUUAUUAAAUAUCUCAGGCCUGGAUAAUGUGGAAAAGAUAUGGCACAACCAACUUCUUGAAGAUUCUUUUUCCCAACUAAAAGAGAUUAGGGUAGCAUCCUAUGGAAAACUGCUAUAUUUUUCCAUCCAGUAUGCUGAACAGGUUACAGAGUCUACAGUUUCUAAGAGCGGUGGACUGUAGUUCAUUAAAAGUGGUGAACUGUAGUUCAUUAAAAGUGGUUUAUGACAUGGAGUGGAUAAAUGUUAAAGAAGCUGUAACAGCCACUCUGUUGAGUAAACUAGUUUUAUAUUUUCUACCAAGCCUUAAGCAUAUAUGGAAUAAGGAUCCCUAUGGAAUUCUCACAUUUCAAAACAUAAAGUUAUUAGAGGUUGGUCAUUGUCAGAGUCUAAAAUACCUUUUUCCAGCCUCUUUAGUUAGAGACCUUGUGCAACUUCAGGACCUGCGGGUAUCAUCUUGCGGAGUAGAGGAACUUGUUGUGAAGGAAGAUGGAGUGGAAACAGCUCCUAGGUUUGUAUUCCCUAUAAUGACCUCUCUGAGACUGAUGAAUCUGCAACAAUUCAAGAGUUUCUAUCCUGGGACACAUACUAUAAUGGCCUUUGUUGAAAAAGCUGGAGGUGUGUGAAUGUGAUAGAGUGAAGACAUUUGCUUACAAAAUUCCAACAUUCCAAGAAGUACAUCUGGAGGGCAAUGUCGAUAUCACAAUUCAACAACCACUUGCCUUAUUUGAGACGGUAUGAAUUCCAACAUUUCUGGGUUUAAUUAACCUCAAGUUGCAUACUUGCCAUGUUUCAUUAAAUUUUCCAUUUGGUUCAUGUCAUGUGGACAAUUAGUAUACACAACAUCAGUUACAUCAAUAUGAUUGUUUCAUUUCUUUGAGAAAAUUCAUAUCAAAUCUUUGAAUUGUCAAAUGAGUGCUCUGAAUGUUCUGAAGGAAAUGGACUGCAAAAUUGUAAGGUUAGACUUAGUCAUCUGAUCAGAUUUUUCUUAUUUUUUUCUUUUUUUAUUUUUACAUUUUGGGUACUAAGUAAGACCCCCUAAAAUAGUAAGCUUGAACCCUUUACUAUAGAAAUGGCGUAGCUUUAACUGUAAAUCUUGAGUAUUCUAGGGCUUGAGGCAACCCGUUUUUUAUUUUGAAGUCCAAUCAUUGCACACACCUUCAUGUGGCCCUGUUUGUUAACUGUUCUAAAAAACAGAAACACCCCUUUUAGAUGGAAAACAAGUUUGGUAGGAAGAAGAUUGGAAAACAGUUUUUUGGAAACUCCCCCCAAAACAUGGUGUUUUCAUAGAACACCUUUCAGUUGUUUUUUUUUCUUAUUUUUGGUAUUGUUCUAAGAACAAAAGAACAACAUGAAGAAAAGAACACACCAGAACCUCUUGUUCUUCAGCCUAGUUCUUGUGAAGGUCCUUACAGAUCUCAAUUAUAGAAAACAAUACAUCAUCAAAUGGUUUUUGAGUUGAGCAUCGGGAGUUGGGUCUCCAUCAAAAUGCAUCAUCACAUCUGUUUGGUUUCCUAGAAAAUGCAGGAAAAAUGAUAUAUUUUUACUUCUGAAAACAUUUUUUUUUUUUUUGUGUUCUCUCUAUUUUUUCAAAGCACUUUCACUCCAAAAAAGAUUGAAUUUGAAUCUCUUCACCUCCAAACCCAUACUCUCCUUUUCUAAUCAUUUUUUGUUCUCAUCCUUCAACUCCCAUUUUCUCGAAAUCCCAUUCUUUGAAGUAUUUUCAGUUUAAUCUUUUGUCUUUGUUUCUAUUUUCUUUUUGUAAAAAAAUCAUGUAAAAAUUUCAAAUGUUGUCCAUCACUGUAGACCCUCAAUUUUGUCCCUUUAGCACAUAUUUUUAAGUUCACUUCUAGUGCUCCACAGUAGUUCCUUGGUGGCCCAUUGCUACUCAUACUACUUACCUUCUUUUAUGAGCCACCUUGGAGACUCUGGUUGAGGGAUUAUUUGACCCCUUAUUGUGACCCUUGGCUGCCCUUCAAGUUUAGAUUAGGCUUGACUUUGGUGCACUUUUGGUUAGACUUAGUUAGGCCCGUAUAGGUAUCCUUGGCCCAUUAGGCACCACCUUAGGCCCUCUUAGGCACUCUUGGCCUAUUAGACAUUUUUUAGCGUUUCUUGCAUGAUUCACAUAGUCGCAUGACUUGCAUGGCCCGCAUAGGAUUGACCAUUUUAUUUUAUUUUAUUAUUUUGUUUUACUUUAUUUAUUUAUUUUAUUUUACUUUAUUUUUUUAUAUGUUGCAAGAUUGCUAACUCUUUUUUAUUUUUUUUUAUUUUCAUUUUUAUUGUUUGACAAGGGAAUUGGGGGCAGCUGACCAACUCUCACUAAGGCACGUGCACUCAAAGAAGGUAAGAAAAAUAUUUUUGGAGGGAAAAAGGAAUUAAUGUGGCUACAUACCCAUGGAAAGAGGAGAUCCUACAUAGAAAGGGAGAAGCAUUCUGAUUUCCGAAAAGGAAGGGAAAUAGAAGAAAGGAAAGUGGAUUUCCUUCAGCAGAUUGAGUUUUUGGGAGGCUGAUACAAAUACAUAAAAAAGAAGGAUUCUAAGGGGAUGAGGGGAAUGGAAGAGAGAGGAGGAUCUUGAGGAGGAAUGAGUGACAAGAGGAUGGGAAAAGAAAGAGGAACCAGGAUUCUUUGAGGGUCUGGGUGGAAAAGCACACAAGAGCAGGAAAGGGGUGAUUGCAGUCAAGGUUCUUCCAGGUACGUUUCUAGUUAUUCUCGGAAUUCUUACCCAUGUUCGAUUUCUCCAUGUGUUCGUUUCUGAAUAUUUAAUAUACUGUUGUUUGGUGUGAACGUUAAGGGCCACAAAUUGCUCUAUUGAGAUUGGUCGUUCUUUUAUUUGUCCUAUUUUGAUUUUGAUUCUGAUUCUUUUAUGUGUCAUUGAUGUCUUCUAAAAUUCAUGACUCCAUACUUGAAUUUGAUCAUGCUCUGUUUUCUUUUAAAUCCCAUUCUACAUCGUCCCCUCUGUCCUUAGCCCACGGAUUAAUAUUUGAAGUGGAGCUAUUUAUGUUUACUGCUCAACAUCUUCCGCUAUUCCCUUAUCCGAGUUUUACUUCAUUUUUUUUAUUUCUCCUCUAUCCCUUUCCUGCAUGCUAUCCAAAUCCUUGUCAUUGCAUUUGGAUGUACAUUGAGGAAUAACGGAAGUGUCAAUAUGAGGGAUGAAGUGUGCAACAAUCUCACUCAAAUAUCAGAUAGUUGAUUCCAAGGCAUGGUAGUGAACUGCAGAAAUCUAGAACACGCAUCAUUGAAAUUCGGAUCCAUCACACACCACCGACCUUGGAAAAAUGGGAGAAAUUCUGGAAGUUUGAUUUUCGUUUCUGUUAGAAAAGGGGAGUUCAUGCUUCAACUGAUGACUCUCAUGGAAGCAACUUGAUUGCCAUUCUCUGCUGAUCUUAUCAUCAUAUGGAGAGGGAUCACCGACCUUGAGGAGAGAUUUUGGUUUCUCUGCAACUGAAAAAGAAGAAAAGAAAAAACUGAAGAAAUUCUGGAUUCAUCUUAUUAGAGGAUUAACACCACGCAUGGUUCCUGUGGUCAUCUCUGAGAGUCAAUAUGUUCAAUAUUUGGCAAGCAAGGUUCUUGUGGUUAUUUCUGAGUUUGUUGUCGUUUCUGAAAGCAAUUGGGAGGGAUUUGUGCAUUUUUUGUGUGUUUGCUUUGAAGUAACAAUUGGCAACUUUCUUCCAUCAUCUUUAACACUCCAAAUUGCUGGGAAUGAAAUUUCUACUGAGAAGUCAAGUUUUGUUGUUUUUGUAAAACCCAGACUGAAAAAAAUGCAAAUUGGUCUGCAGUGCCUUGUAUUAUUCGAGUUUUGCGUAAUAUAUUGAAAUAUUUGAAGCGAGAAUAUGAUGAUCAACUUGGGAAAAUAUACUUGGAUUCUAUCAGUUCUUGUUUGUUAAAUGUGCCUUGGGAUUCAUUGAAUGAUGUUUGUGUUGGUCAGAAUGGUGACACUUAGAGAUGCUCGGACGCUUUUAGUCUAAGGAAUGUUCAGCUACCAGAGUCAAGGGUUGUAUUUCUAGGAAAUCUUGUUCAGUUCUUCUGUUCAUUGGUUGAGCAAAGUGGUUCUCUGGGAGUCCCAGGUGGUUCCUAGGUAAGUAUCCUGUUCUUUGUAACAUCAACAACCUUGUUCCUAAGUUUUUAUCUUGGUGCCUUGGCAAGCAAGGGAAUUGUAACAGCUUGUGCAUCUCUCAGUACUUUAAACACAAGUUGUUGAUGCUAAUGAUUAGGUUCAGUUUUCAUAUCCGUCUGCUAUGUUCAAUUCUUGCUUCUUGGCUGCAAGUUCUCUAUGAAUACUUUCAAGAUCUUUUGCUCCAACCAAUAUGUCAAGUCAAGCCUGAUGAGAAUGGUUGUCUUGAAGACUCUCCAUUUUUAUUUAGUAUUCUUGAUGGAGAAGUAUAUAGCAUGUCUUUAUUCCAUUUACAGAGACAGGCUGUUUUCCUUUUCCUAAGGUGUUCCUUCAGUUUGAUCAGCCUGAGAGAAGAAAUCAGAGAGCAAUGUGCAUAUGCAACUACAAAUUCAUGCAUGACAUUUGACCUGAAUUCAAAUUUGGAAUGUUGUAGUCAAAAGAAAGGUCUAUCAGAGCUUUAUGAGCGGCUUCAAGGACAUAUUCUUAAGUGUUUAGUUGUGGACCACGAAAUGUAUUGGGAAAAAUGCAUAGACUUUGCCUUGUCAUUCCUUCAACUAUUUAUGCGUGAAGAAGAUAUCCUGUUUGAGGUGCUCUUGCUAACGUCUAGCUUACCUUCUUGUGCUGAGCAACAGGUUUGCCAAGAAAGGAGGGCUUUUCAGGAGAUGAAGGAAGAUGUACUCUUACAUGUGUCACACCUUUUAACCCUUUACAUCUGUUCCAUCUUUUCCUUGCAAAGUUACACUAUGAUCAUCAAGUUCUUCUUGAUUACCUUAUUUCAAAAGAUACAGGAAUUAGUUGUGCGGAAUAUAUUUUGCAGCGUUUGCGUAAAAUAUGUGAAUCGUGAGACUUAUUCAUGGAAUUUUCAGUGACUGGGAAAUUCAUGAGUCAAACAUUUCGCAAGAAAAGAAAAGUCUUUCAGUACGGCUUAGAUUCUCAGGUAGAACUGUCAUCUUCACCAAUUAUAGAUGCUGGCAUUCCUAUGUCACUUGAGAAGGAAUGUAUGGGAAAACACAACUAUGGCCACAAGGAACGUGGAUCUAGAGGACAACCAUUUAAGGAAGCAAAGGAAUAUUUAUUUUCCUUGAAAAAUUCUAUGGAAAAUCUUUAUAAAAAAAUGAGAAAACCUCAACGCUGGUCUGAUCUUCCAUGGUUGCAUACAGAUUCUUGGAUCAAAUGUUCCAGAAAUUUGCUUCAAGAAGAUAUUACUGAUCAAUCUGAAACACAGUCAGAUGAUCUUUGUUUUCUGCAGUUCGCCUCAGGGUCCACUGAUGAUGCUAAAGGAGUGGUGAUAACUCAUGUGGGGAAUUGAAGCCGUGAUUUCUAGUUACCUCCAAAGGUUGACCGAGCAUGAAGAGAAAGCUCUGGAAGUCCUAAGGCCAAACAGAGGACUCAUCUAAUCAUACUGUCAUGAAUAUGGGAUACAAUUCUCAAACAAUAGCUUAUGAGGAUCAUGUUCUUGCUGGAGUAAUUGGUAUUGGAGGAAGUGGAUGCAUCUACAUUUUCUGAACACCCAAGUAAACGAGUUAAGGUUGAACCUGGCCUUCAAUCCUUUUGUGUCAUGUCUCUUGGUGGUGCCUUAUCUAUUCCUAAAAUAGAAACCCCGGGACCCACUUGUCAGCCUGAUGAAGAAUUCAAGUCAAAUGCUGCAAUGGAAGAGACGAUAAUAAAUUCUCUCAUAAGGGUAGCCUUGGUCAUAGAGCCCAAGGACAAGGAAGCAAGUCUUAUGUAUAAACAAGCUUUGGAUCUACUAUCUCAAGCUUUAAAGGUGUGGCCAAAUGCCAAUGUUAAAUUCAAUUAUCUUGAGAAGCUGCUGAGUAGCAUUCAACCAUCUCAGUUGAAGGACCCAUCAACAGCUCUAGUACAAGGCUUGUAUGUCAUGAAUAAGGUUUUGGAGAAAAAGCCUCAUUUAUUCAUCUGAAAUAACAUCAAUCAAAUUUCUCGAAUUCUUUAACCCUGUUUCAAGUACAAAAUGUUGGAUGCCGGAAAGUUAUUAUGCUCCCUGUUGAAGAUGGUGUUUGUUGCUUUUCCUCUAGAAGCAGCCAAUAUACCUUGAGAUGUAAAGAUGUUGUAUCAGGAUUUGAUACAUAAGUAGAUUGCUUCUGUUACAGCUCCUCAGACAUCGGAUGAAGACAACUCUGCUAACUCAAUUAGCUUUGUGCUGUUUGUCAUUAAAACAUUGACUGAAGUGCAAAAGAACCUUAUUGAUCCCUACAUCUUGGUUCGCAUCCUUCAACGCCUGGCACGAGAUACGGAACGUCAGCUAGUUCUCAUAUGAGACAAGGUCAACGAACAGAUCCAGAUUCUGCAGUCACUUCUUCUCAUCAAGGUGCUGAUAUCGGAGCAGUUAUCUCUAAUCAAAGGUCUGUCAUGAAACUAAUUAGUGAAAGGGUCAGACCUUCAGACAUAGGACUUGAAUUGCAUAAGGACAGUCUGGGAAUAACCCCUUCGAAACACUGUUUGCAGAAGAAUUUAGUCUUAUUCUUGAAGGUAUCAGGACAAACUUGGACAUGAAAUGGAAGCAGGGAUCUUCGCCAAGGUUCGCGCUGUGAGAAUAAUUCCAUCUCCAAGACUCGGAACCCCAUCAAGACCUCUUGUCAAAUGUUCUCCUCCUGUUUGAUUUCGCUUACCGUUAUAGUCAUCUGCAGUAUCGAAUUUCAUUCGAAUUUUUAAGACAAGUCUCCGCAUUCAGCCCAUGGAGAUGACAACCAGAAUUCCAAAGCAGCAGCGAUCAGACCAGUACCCAGAUUCCAAUUGUUGGAUAUGAUGAUCAGCCAUAUGGGGCCCCACCACUACCAAUCUCCUCUUACUUUUUGCCACUUCACUUCCUCCAUGCCAUAAUAAAGAAAUGCAUUUUGACAAUGAAUGGCCAGAAUUAGUGAAUUGUAAAGAACCAGGAGACGUUAAUCCAGGUUGUCCAACUCUGCAACUUACGAGGAUAUUAUUAAGUGUGAAAAUGAAGUGAAGAGCCUAGUCUAAGCUCCCCAAUGUACCCAAAACAGAACUAGCUCCAGAAGUCACUACAGAACUUGUUGAGACAUAAAGCAAUCUACCAAGGCAGAAGGCAAUAUUGGCUGGUGGAUUUGACCCAUUGCCCUUGAAUGGCAUGUAUGAUCAAGGAGAUUACGAGAUGGGUUCACUCGGAGGGUAUUUGACAGGCGGCAUACAUAGCUGGGACUCCAUGUACACGAUGUUAGUAGAUAUGGUAGAGAUCGAAAGCUCCAAUUUUCAGGGAUUGGAUAUGGCCAAUGACGAGAACCGAGAUAAUCAGAUUGUUCGAUAAUGCAGUGGAGCAUUAAGAGGCGUCCGAUGCUGUUAUUGAUAAAUGUUCAGCUUUACAGAACAUUGGCCAAGUUGAUCUAUAGUGCAAAAGAGUUAUUCGAAGACACAUUCUCUCCAACUAUUGAAAUGGAAAGUUCAAAGAAAUCUCAAGCAUUAUUUCAUCCACUACCCGUCCACGUGUGCCACCUCAUAACUUCCAGCUAACGCCCAAAACCCUUCAGUCGAAAAUUCAAAAGUUCAAUCCUAUCAAUGCCAUAUGCCAUGUUGGGGACUGGAAUGACUACACAGGAUACUUCGUCUUCUGUCUUGCUUUUCUUUGAUAAGCAAAUAUUUAUUUUUAAUGUGGGAAAGAGAUUGCAGCAUUUUUACAUGGAGCAUAAGAUUAAGUUGUCGAAGAUUGAUCACAUAUUUUUAUCUUGUGUCUGUUCAGAAACCGCUGACAAACUUCCAGGCCUUCUUUUUUACUUUGGCUAGCAUGGGAGAUGAAGGAAUGUCUAUCAAUAUUUGGGUCAGUUCUACCAGCAUCCAUUCUACAAAAGUUGUUAAGUGGAUCAAUUCCCUCCAUUUCCUCAACAAUGUCCAAUAGAUGUGAACCUUAAAAGGGCAAAUAUGAUGAAUCCGGUUCAUCUAUUAUCCACAGGAAAUACUCAUAAGUUCUACAAGUGCUUCAAUAAUGAUCUGAAAUGCGAAAAAGGUUGUUGAGAUUUAUGAGCAGAGGAGAAUCCUCAUUUCCUGUCCCAUGCAUUACCUCAAAUGUGCUGAAUAAAAUAUCAGGUAGGCCAAGGCAGGAAGAUGCACAGAGUAAGAUGGUUGAGGCAGAAUUUAGAAACAUGGUUAGCAGAGGUCUCAGUUGAUAAAAGGAAGGAAGCUUUAUUUAGGGCCAUCAAUCUUGCUUUGAUGAGAGGUGUUACAGCAGCAUUUGAUUUUGGAAGAUAUCUUUCUGGUACAACACAGAAUAGGUGUCUUGGGAAGACUAUUCCGGUUUGGUGAAUCUAGAAAGAGUCGAAAUGCUUGUCAGGAGAAUUUCAAAGAGAAGUAACAGCAGCACCACCAGCAUCAGUAAUACAGUUUCAGUCACACUUCUAGGUCCCACUCUUGCAUGGCCACCUUGGUGUACCAUCUCCUCCUUCAUUCGUUUCUUUGAUUGGGAACUUUCAGUUUUAAAUCGAAUUUUCACAUCCAUUUUCAACUGAAUAAUUCCGGCUUUAAAGAUCCAUCACUAAACCUUCUUUUUAGAUAAUAAAAUCCUUAUUUUCAAUGAACUUUUGCUGCCAAAUUUCCUUUCACCGUGCACCUUCCUAAUUUUCUCUAUUUUUCAACAUUUUUUUAUUAUUUUCUUGAUUGUCAGUAAGCAUGAACAAACUUCAUAAUUCCAAACAAUGGAAUUUAUAGAAUCAACUCAUGCAAAAUCAAUUAGGAUCUUGGUGGGGGAUCCAACAUUCCGGACAUCAUCUCUAAUAUUGAUUUAAAUGGGAUUUUGUUUGAUUGAUUGUGCUUUCUCUUUGUGGAGAUUAUUUGGAAUUUGUUAUUGGGCUAACCUUGUUUUCCAUAAAGGCAUUUAGCUUGCUACUCAAGUACGCUCUCUCUCUCACUCACUUUCAAAAAUUCUAUGGACAUGUAUGCUAUUGAAGAUCAUAUCCAUGUUCAAUAUAAUCCUUUCGUGCUUUAAUAUAUAUGCUUCAUUGUGCGAUUAUUUUUUAUAAAGCGCAUACUGGGUGAUAUACUAUUUAAACUAACUAUUGAUGUUUUAUGAUAGCGUUUAAGAAGUGGUUCAGGUACGCACCCUAACUCCCCUUUAUUGUGACUUGAUCUUGUCUGGCAUGUUAUUUUUUGUAAUCACCUUAGUCUACCUAGGUAUCCUCAAUUAAUCAAUUAAUUGUCACAUCUCCCCCAACUUAGUUAAUAGAGACCUUUGUAGGGCUUAGAGGGGUGCUACCUCCUAGAGGUACCUUCCCAAUAAAUAACUUGAUCUCCGAACUUAGACUCAGGUUUUUUAAAUACACGCUUUUUCCAAAAAUUAUGAAGUCAUUUUUUUAAGGUUUUAUUUCUUGUUUUAUUUUCUCUUUAAAAUAAAAUAAAAUAAGUGGCGACUCCGACUUUUCCAAAAAUUAAUUUUUCACUAAUAAAAGCAAGUCUCGCCGAUCGAGUGGGGACACACGUGAAAAAUGCAGGUCCACAAUCACUUUUACAGCUUACAACCUUAGAACUCUUUACCACUUCUGUCAAAAUGCAUUAUAGUUUUUGUUUCUCAAGACAUGCUUUCAUUUCUGUGAUAUCUUGAUUUGUUAUUGUUUGCUUUGCUUGAGUUUUAGUGUUUGCUUGCUAAGAAAAGAAAUGGGAGGAAAGGAAGUGUUGAGUUUUAUGAUGUGGGUUUUGUUAAUAUCCAAGAAAAGUGAGACUAUCAUCAGCUUAAGCGUGGAUGUAGUCCUUUACUACCUUUUUCUCACCGACAACCAGAGGUGGUGGUAUUAAAUCUCUGGGUGGAGGCUUUGAUAUGAUUUGAAUUGGUGUUGAUUGAAAAUAGAAAGCAAAUCAAGAAAUGUUUGAAUCAUAUCUGAACCAUAGUUGCUGCUGAGUCUUGCUAUUUUUCUUGAAGCUAAUAGAAAUCCAGGCUAUUGUAUGUGGGCCAUUGUUUUCUUAUGCUUAUUUAUUAAUUGCAAUGAAUUAUAUAUAGAUAUUUUUCAGGUAAAAUUUUUGUCAAAUAGUAUAAAUGAAGCAAAAUGCGGCUGAAAUUUUGGUCAAUUUAUCAUUUGCAUGCGUGAAUAAGAAUAUUGAAAUUGAAUGUAAAUAGACAUAUCUACGCUAUAAUGAUUUGUUUUGAAAAAAGAUGAAAUUAUUUAAAAAUGGAUGCAUGUAAUUUUUAUGUUUUAAUUAAGUAUACAUUUAUGUCUAAAAAAUUUUGUUUUAUGAAUCUAUACAUUAUUUAUUUUGAUCAUGUUAAUCAUGGGAAGAAAACACUCAAUUUUAAAAACUAACUUCCAAGCGAGUUUUUUCUUUUAUUUGGUUUAUAAAACUGUUUUUACUAAGUCAAUCUUUUAGACAUUGCUACCCGUCAUGCCCAUCGUCACUUUUAUAUAUAAACAACAUCACAUAUUGUAUUUGUUUUGCCAUGCCUUUUGUUUGAAUUAGAGAAAUAAAAAUGCACUUCUUUAUACAUACAAACACCUUAUUUAUAUGAUAGUUGUAAUUUGACAGACUAAAUUAUUUUGUUUGAGGGAUUUAUCAGGUUGCAUAACCUAAUUUGGAGGAAUUGACAUUGGAUAGGAAGAGUGCCAUAGAAAUACAGCAAGAGCAAUUUCCAAUGGAGUCCAUUUGCAAACUUAGAGUUCUGAAUGUACUUAGAUAUGGAGAUAAUUUGGUUGCAAUUCCAUCCUUUAUGCUUCAUACGUUACAUAAUCUGGAAAAGCUCAAUGUGAGAAGAUGUGGUUCAGUCAAAGAGGUUGUACAGCUUGAAGAACUUGUUGAUGAGGAAAGUCAUGCCAUGGCACUUGCUAAGUUAAGAGAAGUACAACUGCACGACCUACCUGAGCUGACGCAUUUGUGGAAGGAAAACUUCAAACGAGGCCCUCGUUUUCAAAAUCUUGAAACUCUUGAAGUAUGGAACUGUGACCGUUUGAUAAGUUUGGUACCAAGCUCAGUGACAUUCCAGAACCUAGCAACUUUAGAUGUAUGGUCUUGUGGCAGUCUGGUUAAUUUGCAACCACCAUCAACAGCUAAAAGUUUGGUGCAACUCAAAAACCUCAAAGUAGGUGGAUCAAAUAUGAUGAAAGAAGUAGUUUCUGGAGGAGGAGGCGAAGCAACAGAUGAGAUUGCUUUUUGCAAAUUAGAACACAUUGCCCUUGUUUGUUUAGCAAACCUCACAAGCUUCUGUUCAGGAGGCUAUACUUUCAACAUUCCCAUCCUUGGACCAUGUAGUAGUGGAAGAAUGCCCGAAGAUGAAAGUUUUCUCUCAAGGCUUCUCAACCACACCAAGGCUAGAGAGAGUAGCUAUGGCAGAUAAUGAAUGGCAUUGGGAAGGUGACCUCAAUACCACCAUUCAAAAGUUGUUUAUACAGCUCCAUGGUAUGUACCAAUUCACCAAAUUUGCUUUCCAUGAACGUUUAUAAUGAUCCUUUCCCUCAUGUGUUUGCUAGUUAGGCACCAGGGCACUUUAUCCAUUGCUAUGCUUUUCAUAGCAGAAAUAUUUUUAGUAGCUUAAAAUGAUUGUCAUUGUAAUAUGAAUGAAUGCACUACUACAAAAAUUAUAUCCUUGAUGACUAAGGCUCCAAUCUUGAUCUUUAGAAAAGGGGAUGAAUUGUACAGAGGACCCAAUCUUGGCCCUCUUUAAUAAGCAUAACCUUUGGUUUGGUCUAAUAUUGAUGCUCUUAAUAAGUGCCUAAGUAUAAAAGGCCCAUAUCUGCUCUCAAACAUCAUAGCUUGAUACUUUUUAUUUUCAUGGCCCCUUUUUUUUAAACCCUCUCAACAUCUCUCCUGCCAUCAUCCUCAGCUGCUCCAGCCACAUCCUUCACCACUAAAUCCCAUUUCUUUUGGUCCACAGAUGUUAACCAAUUCAAACUUCAGUUCUAUGACCAUGUCUGGUUUCAUCAAAUCAUAAACCAGCUCCUCCUUUCAAGGCCAUCUUCAGUGGAGAUUUCUUGUUUUCAGUAAUUCUGAUUGCUCCUUCCCUGCAACAACUCUCUUCCUUCAAAACCGAGAGAUAUGGAGUUUGGGCUAGUGUUUUCUAUUCUCUUUUGGAAAUGGGUAGGUUUAGAGUUUUGAUUUUUGAGAUAGGCCAUACAGAACUUGGAUGCAAUGUGAUAGUCUGGGUUAAGGUUUUGGUUUCUUAGUAUGCAUGUGGCUAUGUACAUGUGGUUGUUUCUCCCAGAGGUUGUUUGGUAGUGAUCCUGAAAAAGAUUAGAAGAUGGUAGAGUCUCACUUCCUCAUGUUCAACAUGUGUUUUGUGUAGGCCAUUAGCAGUAUCAAAGAGAAUUUGGGAGGGUUUUUUGGUGUGUGAUGUGAGUUAUGAGUGAAAGCAAACUCGAAACACAAGUUGAAACAUAUAAGCAGUGUGAUUUAUUAAGUUUGUCUUGAGAAGUUAAUCCCAUUAUUUUUCAGUUUUCUCUUCGAAAAAUUACUCUAAAAUCCAAAUAUGGUUAGAAGUUUUUCUCUCCUUUAAUGGUCAAUAUAGGAUGUAAUAUUAUUUUAUUAAUAUAGAAAAAACUUGCAUCAGAUUUUCAGAUUUAAGAAUGGAACAAGCAACAUGGUGAUAUGGCAAUUAGACUUACAGCUAAAGAGGCAUCUAAAGUAAUUGAAAAGACCCAAUCACACUGUUAAUUGUAGAGAAAUGGAACUCUACAUAAUUAUAAAACAUAAUAAUUAAGAUCAAUCUCACAUUUGGCUAGAAAAAAUGGAGGGUUGUCAAGAAAAAAAAAAAAAAAAAAAGCAAAAUAAAAGGAACCUUACAAGACUCUUCUAAAUAUGCAGGGUACUAUGUAUUCCAUUCCCAUUAAUAGAUCAAGAAAAAGCCUGAUGGCAUUUCAUCCUUUUAUUUCAUCUUAUCUUUUAAUUUAUUUUUUAUUAGCCCUGCUUCCUUGCUCGAGUUAUGGAGCUUAUAAGAAUAAAGGUGGGAUAUAUGAGUGGAGGGGGACUGGAUUCAUAUUGGACCUUGUUGUAUUACAUAUUGCUUUAUCCUUGGCCAUUACAACCCAUCCAUCUAUAGAUGAGUCACUUCAAGCAGAAUUUGGAAAAUUCCUGUGAAUUGGUUAACCUUUUUGGUGAACAGAAUGUUUUGGUACUCUGCAAAUGGUUGAGUUCCAUAUGCUAAUUUCUAAACACGCAUUUCUAGGUCUCAUUUGGUUGAUGGAUGCAAAAUAUCAACUUUGAAGUUCUAUAUAAUUUUGAUCUUAUGUUACAUAUUUUUAUUAUGCAACAUGGGGAUGGAUUUUGUUCUAGGAUGUAAAGGAAAAGUAAAUUCAUUGUGCAGGUUGAGGGAGAAGUUUCUUGGCUGGAAUAGUUGAAAACAAGGAAAAUGAAAGGGCUUGUUCUGAAGAAAAGUUCACAACUAGAAGAGAUUUGUAGGAAGGCAAAUGUGGUCCUAGAAGCAAAUAGAGCAAUGGAAUAUGUAAUUGAUGCUAUGGAGUCUGCCAUUAGACUUUUAUAAUAUAGAAGUUUAAUAUUGCUGAUAUGUUUAUGAUUUAUUGAUUGCUUUUGUAACAUCCCUUUUGUUGCAGGAGUUGUCCAUGGUUUUUUGUCCUUGAAUAAAUUGAGCAUCAAGUUGCCUAGGUUGAAGAGGAAGGUUUUAUUUGGAAAGAAAUACUUGAAACAGUUGAGAAACGGUUAGCAGCAUGUGAGAAAGAGAGUUGGUUGGAGAAACAAUGUUGGGUGUUUUCUCAUAUUUGUAUUGAUUCUUUGUUUUAUUAUAUCCCUCAUUUUUUUAUGGUUGUUCAGGAUGAUAAUUGAUGCAUUGGUGGAAGCGUUACUCAUCUUACUCCCAAUCAUGCUGAGAAAGCUUGUUCUUCGGUUAAUAAACUUCCAAGUACUAUGGUAUCAUACUUUAUACCAAGUACUAUUUUAGUAAUAUUGGCAAACUUGGAAUCAUACUAGUGGUUUCUAUGUUUGUUGAAUUUCAAUUACAUUGAAAUAAUAUUGAUUCUGCUAGCCGAUUUACUUGAUCAAUUGCAACCGUUCUCAUUGAUGAAUGUUUCUAUACCCUUUUUUUUUUUGCCUCAAGCCCAAUUGCUUUGAGCCCAACCAACUAUAAGCAAUAAUAAAUCCAUAAAUAGAGAUUUAUACUAUGAUUCAAGUGGAGAUUCAUUAUGCGACUCAAAUAGUGACCAUCCAUAAUUAUGAAGAAAUUUCAAUAAUUAUGAACAAUGUGGAAAACAUCGUACAAUCCAACAAAUCUAUAUAAACCUAAAAUACAACCAAAUAGAUUGAGAUUGAGUGAUACAUAUUGCAUUAACAUGGAAUCAAUCCAGCCAAAGAGUAACAUUCCCAAGAACAAAACAUGAUGUAAUCAUAAUGCUGAACCAGCUCCCAAUUCCACAAUCUCAGCCUCAACAUUACCUAAAAAACGUAAAUAAAUCAUUAUGAGCAUUUAAUAAGGUUAAAUAAAGAGAUUACAAUUAUUAGUGAUUGCAAAUGGUAUAUAUAUUUAUUUAUACCAUUUGCAGUUUUAGAACCUAAACAUUCUGCAAUAUCAUUUCCUUUGAUGAUAGGAUAGAUAUUUCAGAAAAUAGUUCAAAACAUUUCAUUUUAAUGGUUGUUAAUUGGUAUAAUAAUAAAUGUCCAAGUAUGAAUUGCACUUGAGAAAUCUAAAAAAGUCUCACAUCAGUACAUACCAUGUGCAUUUAUAAACGAAUUAUGGAUGGUGGUAUUCAGAUCAUCCUGACAAGGCCACUCAUCAUAUCCCACUUUUAUUCUUUCUAGCCUUAGUGUAGUUACGAGGCUUGAAGAGAACAUUUUCAUCUUGGGGCAUUCUUUCACCAGCAUCUGCUCCAAGGAUGGGAAUGAGAAUAUAUAACCACCUGAACUGAAGCUUGUGAGGUUUGGCAAAUACAGAAGCUCCAUGUGUUGUAAUUUGUAGAAAGUAAUCUCAUCUGUUGCUUCCCCUCCUUCGUUGGCAACUACUUCUUCCAUCAUAUUUGAUCUACGUAUUUUGAGUGUUUUGAGUUUUACCAGACUUUUAGCUACCGAGGGUGAUAUCAAACUUCUCAGACUACCACAAGACUGCACAUCUAGAGUAGCUAGAUUCUGGAAAGAUAUCGAGGAUGGUACCAAAUUUAUCAAACUGACACAGUGCCGUACUACAAGACUCUCUAGACCCUGCAAGUCAAGGCCUAGUUUGGAGUUUUCCUUCCACAAAUGUGUCAGCCCAGGAAGAUCAUCCAACUCUAUUUCUCUUAACCGUCCAAGGCUCUUGGCUUGAUUUUCCUCGUCAAGUCCUUCAAGUUGGAAUACCUCUUCGACUGAACUACAUCUUCCUACCUUAAGUACUUCCAGAUUAUGUAACCUUUGAAGCAUAAAGGAAGGAAUCACAACCAAAAUAUCUCUAUAGUCAUAUACAUCCAGAACUCUUAGUCUGGGAAAGGAAUCCACUGGAAAUUGCUCUGGCCGUAUUUCUGUAUCUCUGUUGAGACCCAAUUCUAAUUCCUCCAAAUUUGGGAAUGCAACCUGGGAAAUGGUUGGAAUAAAACAAAUUUGUUCAGUCAAUUAUAACUAAUACAUAAAUAAGAUACGCAUAUCUACAAAGAAGUGUUGUUUUAUUUCUCUAUUCUAAGUAAAGAACAUGGCAAAAUUAAUAUAAUUUUUUAUGCUGUUUACAGAAGAUGCACUAGACAUCCACCUCCAGAUUUCUAAUUUUAUGCUGUCAUUUAACAUCUGAGAAGUAUGAUGAUGGCAGGUGUAAGUCACUUGAAUAAAAAUGGAUUGGAAAGGUGGUUCACAAUUGUUUACUGUAAGUUGGCUGGUUAUAGAUUAAAUAAUUUUUGGAAACCAAUAAAAUUUACAAUAAAUUGCAAUAUUGGUUUGAACCAUAUACAGGGAGGAAAAAUGGAAAUCAAGGAUGCUCUCUAAAGGAAGUUGUGGAUUAAGUAGGGGCCAAUAAUCAGUUUUGGGUUCUGCAUCCACCUUUUCAUGCGUCAAGUUAUUUAAUGUAAAAUUUAAGGAAACGUGAUAACGUAAAAUUAGGAAACUUACAUGUGGGAGCAAGAAAAGGGGCAUAUCAAGAUUUCCCUCACCAUGUCUUUGUUGGAAUGUUGGAGUUUCGAAUGCAAAUACAUUGAGUUUAUGACAAUCCCCCACUCUCAGUUGUUUCAACAAUGGCCACUGUGAAGUAUGUGCCCCCGGGUAGAAACUCCUGAGUUGAGGUAGAUUGAGGAGAGAGAGAGAAGUUAUUUUAGGGAAUACAAACGUAUUCCCUAAUGAACCACGAUCCACAUUCACAUUCACAUUUGUCCUUUCCACAUCAAAAACCGCUUCUAAUGAACUACAAGCACGUACGGACAGUCUCUCUAGACUCUGUAACCUUUUCAGCAUACAAGAUGGAAAAAUAUUCAACAAUUGUCCACAUGAUAAUACUCUCACAAAUUCUAGUUUGGAGAAGGAAUCUUGAGGAAUUUGGUUGGGCCAUAUUUUUUUCACAUUAUCCAGUCCCCAGAUCGUUAAGGAAUUCAAGCUAGGAAAUGCAACCUGCAAAGUUCAUCCCACCAUUUUGUUAUUUAUAUAUUUUGACUAACUAAAAAAAGUAAAUAAUCCAUGUGUAGGAAAACACAAUAAACUACAUCUUAAAGAAGGGUGGAGGAAAAUAUACAUGCUUAAACAAGUUGAAUUUCAUUGUCCAAAACUAUAAGAAUUUGUAAGGAAAAAAUUAGUCAAGAAAUAGCACAGUUUCCAUGGAAUUCAUUUUAACACAACUCUCAUACAUUUGAAAUGUUCCAAAAGAGUCGUUUGUUUGGGUUUUUUUUUCCCAUUUUUUAUUUAAUUAUUAAAACAAAUUACUUGAAGCCUUAAAUAUUUUAAUUGAUUCUUAUCUAAUUGUCUUAAAAAAAAUUAAACCACCACAAUCUCGUGUAAUUUGGAUGAGAAUGAAUUCAUUAUAAAUUACAAAAACUUAUCAUUAAAAAAAAAUACUACUUAAAUACUUUUCAUUUGUCUAUAAAAAAUUCCUUUAUCUAGAUAAUAAAUUAAUAAAAAAUAAAUCCAUAAAAUUCUAUACAUUUAUCACACAACAAAAUAAAAAUAAACUACCACUAAUUCUAAUAUAUAUUUCUUAAUUAAAAAAAAACCCAAAACAUAAUUAACAUUCAUCUAAAUAUUCAUUAGAGUAAAUAAUUCAAUAAAUUUUGUAAAUCAAAAAAUAGAAUUUGAUAUUCUUUCCCAAAUUAAAAAUAUAAAAGUUAGUGAAUUAAUUUCAAUAAUCAAACAUAUACUUCAAUUAUAAAACUAUUAUGCAAAGAUAUGUACAUUGUAUAGAAGUGCUAACUUAGAAAAUUUUCUAGCAAUUUUUUACUAAUAAAGUAAAAUUAGAAAUUAUUUUUAUUAUUCCAAUACAAAUUUUCAUAAUAAUUAUAUAAUUAAUUAUUAUAAAACUUUUAUAAUAUAAAUAAUUCAAAAAUUUUAGGAUAUUUGAAUAUUAUUUUUUCAAAUUAGAGUCAGAAGAAAUAUCAUAAUUAAUUUUAUAAAUAUUUUAAUAUAUACAAACUACAUUCAGCGUCCACCAUUCAAACCUGAAUAAAAACAAAUAAAUUAAACAUUUAAUUAUAUUAAACUCUAUUAUUAACCGUUAAGUUAAAUUUAGGUGAAAAAUGAAAAUAAAAAAAGAGAAACAAGAACCAGCUCAAUCUAAAUUUUCUUUAUUUUCCGCCAAUAAUUUGAUUGAUAACAAUGUUAAAAGGAAAAUUAAAAUCAUAAGAAUUAAAAAGAGGAGGAUUCUAAGAGAUAAACUGACCCUUUCAUCAAAGAGCACAGGGAAGGGGGUAUCAAGGUCUGCAUGGUGAAGCCUUUGGAGGGAAUGAUAUACAGGGGAGACGAAGCUUGUGAGGUUGGGCAAAGAUUCCAGUGUAAUAUCGCUUAAUUUAGGGAAUAUGAUAUUGCCUACAGGAGCAGAAGCCAUGGAAGAAGGGAAAUGAUUUCUGGAGCUGCCACAGUUGCAUAUAUGCCUCAACUUUGGUAGACCAAUCAACGUCAGUUCUUCUAAUUUAGGGAGGAGCUCAACAUGCCCAUCAUCAACAUUUAGCUCUUCAAGAUCCACAUUCACAUUUGUCCCUUCCACAUCAAAAACCGCUUCUAAUGAACUACAAUAGUCUACCAUCAGCGUCUGUAGACUCUGUAACCUUUUCAGCAUACAAGAUGGAAAAAUAUUCAACAAUUGUCCACAUGAUACUACUCUCACAUCUUCUAGUUUGGAGAACGAAUCUUGAGGAAUUUGGUUGGGCCAUAUUUUUUUCACAUUAUCCAGUCCCCAGAUCGCUAAGGAAUUCAAGCUAGGAAAUGCAACCUGCAGAGUUCAUCCCACCAUUUUGUUAUUUAUAUAUUUUGACUAACUGAAAAAAGAAAAUAAUCCAUGUGUAGGAAAACACAAUAAACUAAAUCUUAAAGAAGGGUGGAGGAAAAUGUGCAUGCUUAAACAAGUUGAAUUUCAUUGUCUAAAACUAUAAGAAUUUGUAAAGGAAAAAUCAGUCAAGAAUGAAAAAUUCAUUUUAAUACAACUCUCAUACAUUUGAAAUGUUCCAAAAGAGUCGUCUGUUUGGGUUUUUUUUCCCCAUUUUUUUAUUUAAUUGUUAACGCAAAUUACUUUAAGCCUUAAAUAUUUUGAUUGAUUCUUAUCUAAUUGUCUUAAAAAAAAAAUUUAAACCACCACAAUCUCGUGUAAUUUGGAUGAGAAUGAAUUCAUUAUAAAUUACAAAAACUUAUUAUAAAAAAAUACUACUUAAAUACUUUUUAUUUGUCUAUAAAAAAUUCCUUUAUCUAGAUAAUAAAUUAAUAAAAAAUAAAUCCAUAAAAUUCUAUACAUUUAUCACACAACAAAAUAAAAAUAAACUACCACUAAUUCUAAUAUAUAUUUCUUAAUUAAAAAAAAACCUAAAACAUAAUUUACAUUCAUCUAAAUAUUCAUUAGAGUAAAUAAUUCAAUGAAUUUUGUAAAUCAAAAAAUGGAAUUUGAUAUUCUUUCCCAAAUUAAAAAUAUAAAAGUUAGUGAAUUAAUUUCAAUAAUCAAACAUAUACUUCAAUUAUAAAACCAUUAUGCAAAGAUAUGUACACUGUAUAGAAGUGUUAACUUAGAAAAUUUUCUAGCAUUUUUUUACUAAUUAAGUAUAAUUAGAAAUCAUUUUUAUUAUUCCAAUACAAAUUUUUAUAAUGAUUAUAUAAUUAAUUAUUAUAAAACUUUUAUAAUAUUAAUAAUUCAAAUAUUUUAGGAUAUUUGAAUAUUAUUUUUUCAAAUUAGAGUAAGAAGAAAUAUCAUAAUUAAUUUUAUAAAUAUUUUAAUAUAUACAAACUACAUUCAACGUCCACCAUUCAAACCUGAAUAAAAACAAAUAAAUCAAACAUUUAAUUAUAUUAAACUCUAUUAUUAACCGUUAAGUUAAAUUUAGGUGAAAAAUGAAAAUAAAAAAAGAGAAACAAGAACCAGCUCAACCUAAAUUUUCUUUAUUUUCCUCCAAUAAUUUGAUUGAUAACAAUGUUAAAAGGAAAAUUAAAAUCAUAAGAAUUAAAAAGAGAAGGAUUUGAGAGAUAAACUGACCCUUUCAUCAAAGAGCACCGGGAAGGGGGUAUCAAGGUCUGCAUGGUGAAGCCUUUGAAGGGAAUGAUAUCCAGGGGAGACGAAGCUUGUGAGGGUGGGCAAAGAUCCCUGUGAAAUACGGAAUAAUUUAGGGAAGAUGAUAUUGCCUACAGGAGCAGCAGCCAUAGAAGAAGGGAAAUGAUUUCUGGAGCUGCCGCAGUUGCAUAUAUGCCUCAACUUUGGUAAACCAAUCAAAAACAGUUCUUCUAAUUUAGAGAGGAGCUCAACAUGCCCAUCAUCAACAUUUAGCUCUUCAAGAUCAAAUACGUGUUCCAGCUGACCACAGUUUUCCACUAUUAGUUCUUCCAAAUUCUGUAACAAACUGGGUGGGAAUAGCUUCAAUAGUGACUUGCAAUUCUUCAACUUGAGAGACCGGAGGUUGCCGCCCAAGGAAAGCAGAAGUUGGCCAUCCCUAAUCUCCUGUAACAUGAGAACCUCUGAGAGCGUUGAAUACAACAUAGAUGUAUUACAGAUAUUAACAUAGAGUGAAAAUAAAAGCAUGAUGAUAAUAUGUUUGUCAAAUUAAAAAACCAAUCUAUUAAUUGUAUUCAGUCAAUGCUCUGUUUUGAUUGGUGACGUUUUAUCUUUGCUGGUAAAGUCUCAUCAGAUGGGUUUUGGGAUCGAUUUAAAUGAGGGGAUUCUUGCUGACUCAAAUCAAUUAAUGAGGGGCUAGUCUCCAAGUAUUUGAAUUGAAGUGAUUAAAAAUGCAUUGACUAGAUAGAAAGGAUUAUCAAGGUUUGACAUACCGGUUGGUUGGGAGGUGGUGUACUAGGACCAACAAUUGUGCUUGCAGGCUUCGGAAGCACCGGGUUCUCCUCAAAGCAGAAAUUACUGAGCUUGGGUAAGUCCUCUAACGUCAAGUAUCUCAAUUCAGGGAACAAAGUCACAUUAACAGCAUCUUCUUUUAUUUCUUUCCUUCCUUGGGAAACCAUCUCAACCAUACUCUUGCAUCUAGUUACUUUUAUUUCUUCAAGUUGGGAAAGGCCUCUAGCCACAGACAACGAGAAGAGAAAUUUCAAGCCAUCGCAAUCUUUCACUUCCACUUUUCUCAAGCAACCAAAGGACCCUGCUGGAAAUUGGCCACGGCAUACUUCUUGCAAGUUAAUCAGGUGAUUGAGAGACAAGGUCUCCAUAACAGGAAAGGCACCAUGUGAUGGAGUCAGAUCCAUCGAGUUCACAAUAUAUUGAAUCUCUGGACUGCUUUCGACAUUGAGAUGCUUUAAUUUUAAAAAACCCUCCCCAUCUAAUUUGGAAAGAACAUUAGUACCACCACACAAUUCACGCAAGUGUAGAUCUUCGGUUCUCUUCAACAACUUGAUGAUACCAUGCACCAGAUGGAGGCUUGUAUCGAACUUGUUGAGCUUCAAUGUUUUAUUAGUUUCAAAAUUUUCUCUCCAGCGCCAGACAUCACCUACAAAUAUUCUAUAUCUCACCAAGUUAUCAAAGACUAUGUCUUUUGGCAGCAACUUGGCAUCUCGUAUUUGUAUGUCCAAAGAGGUUAAAUGAGACAAAUGCUUCAACUCAGCGAGGCAAGCAUUACUCUUUCCUUCCCCCUCCCAUUGAGUAAAGCUAUUUGCCAUACACAAAUUCUCUAAUUGGGACAAGCUUGAUAUGACAUCUGAUGGAAUUACUUUCAGUUUCGAAGAACCGCUCAAAUCUAACGGCCUUAGAUGAGUCAACUGUGCUAUUUCUCUGGGCAACUGUUCCAUAUCAGAAUCCUUAAGGCUAAGAAUUUCUAAUUUCUUUAGCUUUGCAAUUAUAACAAUGUCUCCCACCUUGCAUCCAUCCAAACACAAUGUUCGAAGAUUUGUAAGGCAGUGAAGUGAUAAGGGCAGAGAUGGAAGUUGCAUUCGAGAUAAAUGUAUUACUUUGAGUUGCUUCAUCUCUUCAAAAAAUUUGUUUGGGAUUUGCACUGCCGAAUUGGUGUUUACAUCAUAACAUCCAAAAAGUUCAAGUUUUGGACAUACCAGCCCUUCUGGAAGUUCAUGAAUAUCACAGUCAUGCAGACUUACCCAGGUGACCUUCUGGAGUUCAUCUAUCCUUGGCCAUCCUUCCACUCUUACAGUAGUAUUCUGGAGUGUAAACACAUGAUGUUGAUCGGAUGCAAUUUUUCUGGCAGUACUCCGAACAAGAUCAUGCAUUCUAACAACUGCAUUAUGGCCAGUUUCUAGUAACAAAUUUGAGGAUUUGAGGUUGCCAACCAAUGUAUCUAUUCUAUUUUUCGCCUCUUCCAAUGUAUUAGUUCCUUGAAAUAAUCGCAGACCCACGCCAUAUUUCAACAAGUCCCAUAUAUGAAUAUAAUUUUGAGAAAUUAAACCACAAAGCAAGAAAAAUGACUUCACUUCAACUCCCUUCAAGUGUUCGUAGCUCAACUUCAGACUUGAGUAUACAUUUGUUGUCAGUCCUGUUACGUUAGUCGAGGUUUGCGAUUUCAGUUGUAGCCGGGCAUCCUCCCAAAUGGACACACUCUUCUCGCCUUUCAAUGCCGUUGCCACAGUUACUAUUGCAAGUGGCAAACCCGCGCAUUCUUUUGCUACAUCAACAGCUAUAGGUUGCAACUCUGGAUUUUCAAUGGAACCAGCUGUGUUCUUAAAUAAAAUCCAUGUUUCAUCUUCUUGCAAAGGUUGAACUCGAAAAUCCUUUUGAGUAUCCAUCUCAUUGGACAAGAUGUGUUCAUUUCUAGAAGUUAGCACUAAUUUGCAUCCUUUGUGGUGAUCUGGAGAAGGAAUUCCUAUUUUCUCCAAGUCAAGUUUCGCCCAAAUAUCAUCCAAGAUGAUGAGGAUGGUCUUCUCCUCGUUCAUCCUCUGAUAUAGUCGAGCUGCUCUUCCCUGUUCACUCUCCUCCUCAAAUUUCAUACCUAGAAGGUCUGCAAGUUCCCCUUGAAUUUUUUUUAAGUCUGGAGUCUCUAACACAGCUGCCGUGACCACCUUGUCGAAUAACUUCUCUUGAGCAGCUUGUUCAGCCACUUGUUUCACCAGCGUGGUCUUCCCAACACCGCCCAACCCCCAUACCCCGAUCUUGUUGAUCUUGGCAUCCCUUAAGGCCUCCAUGACUUCAUUCAAAGUCAACAUUCUUGAUUCUAAAGCUUCGGAAGGUCUGCACCUUAUCCCUUGCAGAGGGGCACGAUAUGCUACCUUCUCAAAUUGGCCAUCUCCAAGGAUUUGAACAGAAACCCCUGCCUUCUUACUUGCUUCCCUGCUUAGCUGGUACCGGGACUUCAAAUUAGGACACAACCCAUUGAAACAACUCUUCCGCGCCUCCUCAUCUUCAAGGAAUUUGCAAUCCUUUUGUAUGAACCCAUCAGCACGUGUCAUCCACUUGCAAACAUCAUCCUCGAUUUUAUGUCCAUUCCUAAUAGCUUCAUCCACAGAGUGCUGCAGCCUAGCCCUGGCACCCCUCAGCUUCUCAACCUUUUGAGAGAGAUCCUCAAUGUUGGUACUGUAGUUAAACAGAUAACCCAGCUGACGUACAACUGGACCAACCAGGUACUCUGAAACUUUUUCUGCAACCGAAACAACAAUUUCUACCAUUUUCUACUUGCUACUCCUUUCUUCUCUUUUGGAACACGAUCAGAUCGAUGACAGAAAACCAAAAAAAACAGCAGCAGUAAACUAACAACAGGCUGCUAGCUACGGGAAUCGGUGUCACAAAAACAGAAAUCAAGGAAAUUGAAAGGUUUAGCAAGCAAAGGAGCAGAGCGACAUAGACAUAUGGGCAAAAUGAGAGUGAAAAUGAAUAGUGGUGAUCAGAAUGAGUAUGAGGGUGAAGAGAGUUGCAAACGAUGUGACAAAGUUCUAUGGAGGGGAAUCGACAGAAAAAGCAUAUGGAUGUUAUUGGAUUCAACUUGAAGAACAGAAGCAGAGCUGUUAAGGCUGAUGAUGUGAGAAAGGAAACAAGGAAAUGAAAGAUUUCAGCAAUGAAAUGUGAAGAAAGCUCUCACCAGCAAAAUGAAAAUGAAAAUCCCUGGCGAGAAUGAGGAUGAAAAUGUAGAGUCAGGAGACAAUGCUCAAACAAGGCCUCUCAAUUAUUCAAAAUUGAAACUGAAACCCAAGCCAGGUUAUCAAUUGUGUCUUCAAACCUGCCUUUGAUUACUGAUUCGCAUCCUUGUUAACUUAUUCGUAUUAUUUUGAUAUACAAUUGCAGUUUCUAAUAAUAAAUUGGUAUCUUUAACCAAAGUAUCAUUGGUUUAAGGGUUUAUUGGCAUCAUGAAAAAGUUGAAAAAUAAUAUAAAACCAAAAGGUAAAAAUUAUAAAAUAUAUAAAAAAAAAAAUGUUCUCAUUACAUGAAAAGUAUAAAAGAAAAUUCUAUAUAAGAAAGAUUAUAUAAAUAUUUAUACAUUUUUAAUCUUUUCAUAGUUUGUCUAAAAAGAAGUAAGCAAAAACACAGUGAGAUAAGGUCAAAAUUGUUGUCUACCAUUUUUCCUCUUCUACCAUUUUUUUUUUUAUAUUGUUGUCUUUUUCUCAUAAUUUAUUUUAAUAUUUCAAGAUCCAUAAUUAGUCAAAAUUGUAUUAUUUAGUCUAUCAUCUAAGUAUGGGAAAAAAAUCAAAUAAAAUAAAAAUUAAUUAAAAAUUAAACAUUUUCAAAUUUUUAUUAUUUAUAAAUUAAAUAAGAAAGAAAAAUAAAUCUUCAAAUAAAUAUAACAAAACCUUAAUAGAUAAAUGCUCAAUAAAUUAAUAAUCUUAUUUAAAUAGGAAAUUUUUUGAUCCAAUUGGAUUAGUUUAUUAAAUAAAUAAACUGUUAAAUAGAUAAGUUAAUGAAUUUUUAAAAAAUUCUUAAGUGACAGUGUAUAGGAAAUCAUGAAGACACCGUUUUAUACUUGUCAAAUUUUAUUAAAUUUUUUGAAGUUUAUUAAUUUUUAGGUUAUUUUUUGUUGAUGAAAAAUUUAAAGGAAAAAAUAAAGAGUAAAAGUAAAAAAAAUAAAAAAUAAAAAAUUAUUAAUAAAUUAUUUGUAUAUAUUAAUCCACAUCUAUCUAACUGAAAUUUAAUUUUUUAUAUAAAAAUUAAAUAAUUUUAAAAUAUAUGAGUUUUAAAUAAAUUUUAAUUAUAUUUAAUUUUAUAUUAUAUUUUUAUAGUAAAAUUAAAUAUGGAAAUAGUAUUUUUUUUAUUAGUAUUUUUUAAACCGUAUUAGUUUAUGAAUAUUGAGGGAGGGAGAGAGUCCUAUCCGAUAGGCAUUGUUGGAGAGAAAAUGACAUCAUCCUGACAUCAUAUAUUGUUGGAGAGAAAAAAUGCAUCACUAAAUUUUGACUUAGAAACCGGAGUUUUAGGGCUAAAUAGCCCUUUUAUGUAAAAAAAAAAAAAAAGUUUUAGCCAAAAAAUAAGUGUUAGCCCUUGACAAAACUUAUGUUUAAACUAGCCCCUUACCACGUAGAAGUCAUGUCAUAAUUUUAAAAAAAAAAUUAAUUAAAAAUAUUAAAUUGUACAUUAUUAUUGAAAUUAAAAAUAUAUUUUUUAAUAAUAAUAAAUUAUAUAUUUAAACUUAAAUAUCUAAUAUUACUUUAAUAAAGAUAAAUUGAUAAAUAUAAUAAUAAAUAAAUAUUUUAUUUAUCAAUAAAUUAAUAAUAUUAAAAUAAUAAAGUUAUAUGAAAUCUAAAUAAGAUAUGCCAAUUGAGGCUUCAGUUAUUUUAUUUUUUACUUUAAAAUUUAAUUAAAAAUAUUAAAUUUUAAAUUAUUAUUGAAAUUAAAAAAAUAUAUACUUUAAUAAUAAAAAUUUAUAUAUUUAAACUUAAAGAUCUAAUAUUACUUCUAAUUUGAUAAAUAUAAUAAAUAAAUAUUUUAUUUAUCAAUUAAUUAAUAAUCUUAAAAUAAAAUUACAUGACAUAUCAAUAAAAUAUAAAAUUAUAUGAUUUAUUAAUUUAAGUUAUAUUACAUGUAAUAUUAGGAAGGGCCAUUUUUUUUCCAUUAUAUAAAUGUUUAAUGGGUAUUUUUUGUGACUUUGAUGAAACUACUAAAAAUUACAUUUUGUAGUAGAUUUUUUCUAAUUAAUUUCAUUAACUAAUUUCAAAAUGUAUCUUCAAGUCAUAUAUAUUGUGUUUACAAAAUAAUAGUCUUUUCUUACGUUAAACUAUAAAUAUAUGCUUUAAAAUAAUUAAAAAAAUCUAUAUAUAGAAACUUAAGAAUAUACUAUUAUGUUAAUAAAGAUAAAAUUGUCAAAAUACAAAUAAAUUAAUAUCUUAAAAAUACAAUAAAUUAAAUAUCUUAAAUAAUAAAUUAUAUAAUUUUAUAUCUUAUUUAGAUUUCAUAUAACUUUAUUAUUUUAAGAUUAUUAAUUUAUUGAUAAAUAAAAUAUUUAUUUAUUAUUAUAUUUAUCAAUUUAUUUUUAUUGAAGUAAUAUUAAAUAUUUAAGUUUAAAUAUAUAAAUUAUUAUUAUUAAAAUAUAUAUUUUUAUUUUAAUGAUAAUUUAUAAUUUAAUAUUUUUAAUUAAAUUUUAAAAUAAAAAAAAUAACUGAAACCUCAAUUAUCAAUUGGGGUUUUAAUUAAAAAAUAAAGUCUUAAUUGAUAAUUAAAAUUUCAGUUAAAAAAUAAAGUCUCAGUGGUCAACUCAGGCUUCAAUUUAAAUUUUGAUAAAAAAAAAUUAUAAUAUUGCUUAUAUGUGAAAGACUAAUUUCAACAUAAGUUUUAUAAAAGGGGUAAAGGUUAUAUUUUUUUUUUACAUAAAAGAUAAAAGGCUAUUUUGCCCCCAAAACUCUAGAAACUGGGAUGAAAGAGGUAACUUUGAAGGAACUUUACAAUCGCAUAUAUGUAUAAAAAAAUUUCAUGUCACUUUCAAACUAUCAUGGUCCCACCCAGUGAAAGCCUGUCACCUCCUAUUUUAAAUUACUCUUCUUUUUCUAUUUUUUAUUUUACCUUUGGUCAAUGACAAGGAAGCUUUAUUGUUUCCAGCCUGGUUGUAUGCUAGAGUUUUAUGUCUUGCUGGAAUGACGCUUCAGUUUAAUUAAAAAAAAAAGUUUUCUUGUUUGCUUUUUGCCAGUGAAGUUUCUUAGACAAAUUAAGCUAAGAUAUAAUUAUAUACUUUAUUUUGCUCUGAAAAAUUAUUAGGGAGAAUUACCCUCAAGGGUAGGCUGGGGAAAAAAAUGACCAAUGAGGGUGGGUAAAUUUGAUAAUUCUUCUGAAGGCCUUAUAUUUUUAUUAGACUAAUUUACCCUCAAUUUGACCAUUGAACCAGCCAUUGUCACCAGACGAUUGUUCCAACUUCUGAAGGCACUACCCCUUCAAUUUAUUGCUCUGCCCAUUAAGUUCUAAUCUUAAAAAUCAAGCAAAUACUAAUAUCUCUAAUUAAUUUGUCAAUUUAUUCACACGCACACACAAAUUGAUUGAAAGAAAUCUAUACCAACUUUUGAAUAUCCUUGCUGAAGCUUAUAAUAGAACCCAUGUUGUUGUACUAAAGAGAAGAGAUACUAGUGUCACCAUAAAUCUUUCUAAAUAAAUCUUCUAAUAAUAAGUUGGACGAUCCAAAAUACCCAUUACUCACUUGUUUUGAUGGGUCUUUUAAUUAUCUUAGUAGAGGAAAAAUAAUUUAAGCUCAGUUUGGUUAAUAUUUUUUAAACUAAUUUUUAUUCUCUUGAAAAUAUAUAUAUCUGAAAUUAAGAUAAUAGAAAAAAAAUUAAAAGGAAAAAAUAAAGUAUUUUUAAAAAAUAUUUUUUAAUUAAUUUUUACUUACUCUUCUCAUAAUUGUUUUAAAAAAUAAUUAUACAAAUAUAAAAAAAAAUCAAAAAUAAAACAUAACAUAUACAAAUUAUUUUUAAAAUACAUUCAAAAACAAAGAAACAAACAAAUAUUUGUUUUAUAAAAUAAUAGAUAAUAGUUUUCCAAAAAUUAUUAUAAAAAAUUGUUUUUAAAAAUUAUUUUCAAAAAUAAAUAUCAAAUAAGGUCUUAAACUUUGUUUGAUAACUAUUUUAAAAAAUAAUUUUAUGUUUUUUAAAAAUAAAUUUCAAAUAACUAAAAAAAGGUUUUUUUUUGUUCUUAAAAAGAAAAAAUAUAUAUUCUUGAAAAAUAAUGGUAUAAAUAUAAAGAAUAAUUAAAAGUAAAUCAUUAUAUAUAAAAGUUAUUUUUAAAAUCCAUUUAAAAAUAUAGAAAAUAAGUUUAAAAUAUUUUAAGUUUCAAAGUGAUUUUUAUUUUAUAAAACAUAAUGAUUUUUCAAAAAUUACUUUUAAAAACUGUUUUAUAAAAUCAAAACAAAAUCUUAUCCCUUUUUUCGGAGAUCUCUAUCUUUUCUUUCCCCAGCAGUCCCAAAAUUAUACCUAUGCACCUGCAUUUUUAUACUAUGCUUGUUCCCAAAAAUUAAGCCCAUAAAUUAGUUCUAGCUAUACCCAUCAAUGAACUGACAAAUCAACAAUAAAAAUGGCUCCACGAGAGCCGGACAAAGUGGAGUUCACAGCAAUACAUUGAUAACUGUAGGCAUUGCACUGUCAACUCAUCAUUUCCCAAACUAAUUUGAGGUUACAAAAAAAAAUAAAAAAAUAUUGAACCAUUAUAUAUAAGAAAUUGGUAAUCAACCCAAAAAAUUGGACUUUAUUUAGUCAAAAGAUUGCAUUGUUAGUUUAUGUUGUAAUUUAUCAUACAGUUAGUGUUUUUUUAUCGUAAUGUUAGUGAAUUUAUGUUGUAAAUGUAAUUAAAAAUGUAGGCAAAACUGUGAACUAUUAUAAUUAAAAAUCUAAUACAAGUCCACAUAAUGGAGAUAAAUAACCUAUUACAAAUAACUCCAAAUACAAAUACAUCAAAGUACAAUACAAUUAAGCAUUACAUAUAUAAUCCAAAACUUAAUAGACAUGAAGUAAGUGUAUGAUUAAGCAAUUUUCAAACAUAGAACAAAAAAUAAAAGUAGUCCUACUACAAUUACUUUCUGCAUGAACUCAAUUCUUGUUAAAAUAUGUUUAAAAUCUUCAUCCACGCUAUACAUUCUUCUUUGAACAACGUCUUCUGGUUCUUGGUAGGUGUUGUCAUCACCAUUUCCUUCCGGGAAUGCCCAUUUAAAGAAAUGACAGUCAUCUCUAGUAUUUGCAUAUUGACAACAAUAAUAUAACCUAUUUGGGUUAUCCUUUGAUUCAGAGAUUCUAACAGCCGCCCUCUGUCUGGGUGAACAUUUACACAUACAGUUAUGAUAAAGUAGAUAUUCACCAUUUCUAGUAUUACCUCUUAUAUUUCUAAAUGAAGCACUUGAAGAUGCCAUGAUGUAACCUGUAUUUCAAUGGAAAACAAGUUAAACAAAUGUAAUGAACAUGUACAAAGUCAAUAAUGAUCUUCAAAAUAACAUUAAAAACAUGGUUACAAACCACCCUAAAUAAUGAUAAGAUCAUAAGUCUAAAAUAGUGGCAUAUGUAAUACAAACAUCUUUGUCAUGACAAUCAAGUAAAUAAGUAAGUUCCAAAACAAAUUCUUACAGAUUCUAAUUUCAUAAACCACACAUAUCAUCACAAUCAAAAUAAGAUAAAAAGUAGCAUGUCACUAAACAAGCAUAACAUUAGAAUCAUGGAGCGGGUAAUGGAUUUUUUCAUGAAGCUCGAUUAUGGCCUGCAACUUGACAUCGUGAACAGAAGAUAAGCCUUUUUGAACUAAAUUGAGACUCUAUUCGACGGUGUCGAGGCCUUCCAAGUGGUCGUUUUGAGCAUGGAGGUUUAAGUGAAGGAUAUAAGCAACCUUGAGCAUCACGAACACAUCCAUCNNNNNNNNNNNNNNNNNNNNNNNNNNNNNNNNNNNNNNNNNNNNNNNNNNNNNNNNNNNNNNNNNNNNNNNNNNNNNNNNNNNNNNNNNNNNNNNNNNNNGAUAAAGUAGAUAUUCACCAUUUCUAGUAUACUCUUAUAUUUCUUAAAUGAAGCACUUGAAGAUGCCAUGAUGUAACCUGUAUUUCAAUGGAAAACAAGUUAAACAAAUGUAAUGAACAUGUACAAAGUCAAUAAUGAUCUUCAAAAUAACAUUAAAAACAUGGUUACAAACCACCCUAAAUAAUGAUAAGAUCAUAAGUCUAAAAUAGUGGCAUAUGUAAUACAAACAUCUUUGUCAUGACAAUCAAGUAAAUAAGUAAGUUCCAAAACAAAUUCUUACAGAUUCUAAUUUCAUAAACCACACAUAUCAUCACAAUCAAAAUAAGAUAAAAAGUAGCAUGUCACCAAACAAGCAUAACACUAGAAUCAUGGAGCGGGUAAUGGAUUUUUGCAUGAAGCUCGAUUAUGGCCUGCAACUUGACAUCGUGAACAGAAGAUAAGCCUUUUUGAACUAAAUUGAAACUCUAUUCGACGGUGUCGAGGCCUUCCAGGUGGUCGUUUUGAGCAUGGAGGUUUAAGGGAAGGAUAUAAGCGACCUUGAGCAUCACGAACACAUCCAUCAGCAUCAACUAUAGGCAUGUUGUGAUUUGGAAUUGAAUUGAAGUGUCCAGAAUAUAUCAACUCUUGCAUUGGAAGCUUGAAAUAUGAGUCAACAUAUUCAUAAACAUCUUGUUUCAUCUGGCGUAUUGCUGCACAUGCAUGCUCACGAGGUAUUCCGGCCAUUUGCCAAGCCUUACAAGUACAUGUACGCUCUCUCAAAUUCACGUCUACAUAUACUUUCAUAUUGAAUACCUUAAACACACCACCAACAUAGGGAUAUACAGGCAAUGACCCACUCUUUAUAAUGUUUUCCAACAACUUUUCCUCGGUCUUUGGGCCAAUUGUAGCUUUCCAAUUUUCUGUAGAACUCAUAUGAUCACAUGCUAGAUGAGCAAACUUAUCCAUAUGUGUCAUUACUAAGUUGAAAAUUGUGUAAUGACGUUCCUCCUUCAGCCAAACAUUGAAUGAUUCAGCAAGAUUAGUUGUCAUCUUAUCCCAUCGUUUUUUUGGCAAACUUUGACAUUGCCCAAUGUUGUGGACUGUUCUCUUCAACCCACUUCGCUAGGUCACUGUUAUAUGUCUUUAAUUUUUCCAUGGCUACAACAUAAUCAUCAUCCAACCUAGCAUACGCAACAUUAUCAAGUAGCAACAAUGCAUCCAUUUUACAUUUUUUUCCCUUCAUACUAUCUUUCGUCACAUAGCUACUAAAAUUCUCCUUCACAUGACGAUAACAAUAUGCAUGAUUUUCUACUCCAAAAAGUUGAGAAACACUACGAAGGAUUGCUUGAUGCCUAUUUGAUAUUAUGACUACCUCUUUAUCUUGAAGUAUGCCCUUCAAUUUCUGCAAAAAUCAUAGCCAAUCCUCAUAGUUUUCUGAACUUACAACACCAAAUGCAAUUGGGAACAUGCCAUCAUCAGCAUCGUAAGCUGUUGCAGAAAAUAAAGAGCCCCUAUAUGGUCCACUCAAAUGAGUUGAGUCAAUUGCAAUAACAGGUCGACAACCCAUUAAAAACCCUUGAAUUGAAAAAGAAUGUGCAAUGAACAAUUGCCAAAAAUGCCCAUCUUGUCUGCUAUAUUCAGCAAUCGUCCCUGGAUUAAUGUCUACCAAUCUCUGACAUAACCAUGGCAACAACAUAUAUGAGUUUUCUGGAAGACCAUAUAUUCUCUCUUUUGCCAUUUCUUUGUAUGUCCAAGCUUGCUUAUAACUCAAUGAAACACCAUACCGACUCCUGAAGUCUUUGCAAAUUUGACGGGGCAAAUAUUGAGGGGUUGCCCUUAUUACUUGCUCUAUGACACAAGCACCUCUCCUUCCCCGCAUUGAAGGUUGGCUUGAACACUCAACAUCUGCACAAUGAUUGUGUACAUCAAUGAAGAUGUUAACCUUCAAAAUUUUGGUUGUGCCUACUGAAUUAGCAGUUAUUCUCCAAGGGCACCCAUCCACUAAACAACACACAGAUAUUCGCUUUGGAGAGUUCUUUUUGAAUUUGUAUUGAAAUCUACCAACUAAUGACAUCGUAUAUAAUGCAUUUCUAAAUUCAUCUACAUUAGGAAAACUAUGCCCACUCCCAAUAAUAGGUUGAGGACAAAGACUUAAAUCAUGUGGCAUAACUUCAGUUUCUGCACAUCUGGACAUGAAGCCUUGAGAAAGUCCUAAAUUAGACUCAUUGUUUGCUUGACAUGAUGCAACUGAAUUGUGUGUUUCCUCCGUACUAUUGUGACUGCAUAUUAUAGCACACUCAGUUAAUUAAUAUUAAAAGCACUUUGCAUCAUGGAAUUAAUGACAACUAAUACAAGAUAUAUCACUUACUAAUAAUCAUUUUGCACAUUGACUAUACCUCCUUCAACUUCUACUCUUCGAGUCCGUUUUAAUACAUAAAUACGAGCAUAAUCAUAACUAUGGGAUAACAUCAUAUGCAUGUCCUCAUCAUCAUCCAACUGUUGAAGUGUAGAUGGAUCAAACUCAAGGGUGUAAUGAAAUGUAUAUCCAUUUGAAUUAAUAUCCAACCGUUCACAUGCCUUUGAAACAAAUUCAGCAUAUGACAUCCUUUGUCCAAUGUACAUGCCUUUUUGUUGUCCACCCUUGUAUUGUAUUUGUUUAUCCUCCUUAGGUACAAUCUCCCCUCCUUCAUGAAGGUAGCCAUAAAUGGAAUUUUCCAAGUCCAUUUACCAAUUCAGAAGUACGUCUUCUUUCACUGACAAUCAAAUCAAUCUAUUUCACAAUAUUACAAUCAAUGAAAAUUUUACAACGAAUACAAAAUAAACAAAUGAAAAUUAUAAUCAAUUGAGAGACAUAUUUUAUAUAAUAAAUAACAAUAUUUGUUGUAUAUUAUACAUGUUAGGGAUAUGCUAAAGAACCCAUAAUUGCCCAGUUUCAUAAGAAAUUUGACGUUUUCAAAAUUUUACCUUAUUGUAAUGUAUCGUAAUGUUAUUGUAUUUGUAUUGUAAUUGUACUAUAUUUUAAUUAUACCUCUAUAUUUUUAUAUAAAAAAAAUUAAUUUUAUAGAUUUUUUUUAUCCAUCAUUGGAUUAUCAUCAACAACUAUUUCACAAUAUUACAAUCAAUGAAAAUUUUACAACGAAUACAAAAUAAACAAAUGAAAAUUAUAAUCAAUUGAGAGACAUAAUUUAUAUAAUAAAUAACAAUAUUUGUUGUAUAUUAUACAUGUUAGGGAUAUGCCAAAGAACCCAUAAUUGCCCAGUUUCAUAAGAAAUUUGACAUUUUCAAAAUUUUACCUUAUCGUAAUGUAUCGUAAUGUUAUUGUAUUUGUAUUGUAAUUGUACUAUAUUUUUAUUAUACCUCUAUAUUUUUAUAUAAAAAAAAUUUAUUUUAUAGAUUUUUUUUUAUCCAUCAUUGGAUUAUCAUCAACAACUUCAUGUAUUGAAAUUACAAUAGUGUAUUUUUGUUGUUGUUUUUUUUUAUAAUUUUGGCUUGCAAGGAUGCUUUAUGAUAGGAAUACAACAUGAUAGCCUAGAAAUGUCAAUUCAGUAAAAAAUAAUUCAAUAUUUUGUCAUUUUGGUAUAUUGUAAUGUAUCAUAAUGUUAAUAUUUUUUCAUUGUAACUAUAUUGCAUUUGUAUUGUACUUAUACUUUAUAACUGAAAUAAUGGUUCUUUUAUACAACCUUCAAACUACUAGGCAUUCGACUCAUCAUACCAAAAUAAUACUUAUACAAAAAGGUAACAAAUUUAUAACAAAAAUAUAGUGAUCUUAACUCUUUAACAAAUUCAUAAUAAAAGACAAAGUGGUCUCGUACAAAGGGGAUUUCAGUUUUCAAUGACAAUCCAAAUAUGUUUAUAAACACACAAACAAAGUGGUCCCAAACAAGCAUGAAACAACUGAGAACAUUUUUUCUUCAAUCAUGUCAAAAAGUCUUAACAACAAAACUAAAGUGCAAACCUUUUCAAUGGAAAUCAAUAAUAAUCAUAUCAAACAACCCACCCAGAAAAUAAAUUAAAAAUAAAAACACAUCUUCAAUAUGACCUAAAUAAUAUAAAAAAAUUCAAAAUAAUAAAUUUAAAUAACAUUUAAAAAAAAAUGUAAUUUCUUUCUCAAAACCUCAUUCAAUAUUUCAGAUCUAAUAUCUUACAACUACAUUGUUAAAAUUAUUAACUUUUCCUUCAUUCAAUCCGAUUUUUAAAUUAUUUAUUUAUUUUUCCAUAAACUGACGUUUUUUUUGUAUUAAAAAAAAAAAACUGACCUUUAAUGGAUUUCUUGCUAGAUUCACAAAAAAAAAAACAAGUUUUGUGUAUCGGUUGCAGAGAAUGACCUGAAGUGCACACCUUUUUCCUUUCCCCUUUUUCUUCUACAACUCGGCUCUAGGUAGGUUAAAGAAAGGGAGAAUAAACUCUUUUUUAUUUUCUGUUGCUUUUCACUUUACUUGCUUUUCAUUUAUUAAGGGUAGUAUUGGCAUUUAAACAAAAUAAGGCCUUUAGAGGAAUUAUCAUAAUUUUACCCUAUCCUUUACAAUAAUUAUCAAAUUUACCCACCCUCAUUGAUCAUUUUUUCCCCAGCCUACCCUUAAGGGUAAUUCUCCCAAAUUAUUAUCUUAUCAUAAACAUCAUAAAUGUUUGUUGUACUUUUUGUAAGUAAUUUUCAUAUUAAAUAAAUAAACUACUAAAUAGAUAAGUUAACAAAUUUUUUUAGAAAUCCUUAAGUGACACAAUCUAUAGAAAAUUAUGAGGACACCAUUUCAUACUUGUUACGUUUUAUUAAAUUUUUUAAAGUUUAUUAAAUUUUAGGUUUUUUCUAUUCCUGAAAUUUUAAAGGAAAGAAACAAAGAGUAAAAAUAGGAAUAAAUAAUAAAUAAUAAAUUAUUUUUAUAUAUUAUUUCACACAUGUGUAAUUGAAUUUUAACUUUUUAUAUAACAAUUAAAUAAUUCUAAAAUAUAUUAGUUUUUAAUAAAUUUUAAUUGUAUUUAUUUUUCUAUUACAUUUUUUUAUGUUAAAAUCAAAUAUUAAAAAUAAUUUAUUGGUUUUCCAAAAGUGUAUUAGAGUGUGUUUGAUAAUAUUUUAAUUCGAAAUGUUUUUAUAGAAGUGUUUUUACAAGAAACACUUAUUAAAUAUUUCUUUAAAAAAUAUUAUAAGUGUUUUUUUUAAUAUUAUAAAUGAUUUUUUUAAUUUUUUAAAAGUGUUUCCAAAAUUUUGAAAAAUAUUUAUUUAUUUAUUUAUUUCAAAAACACUUUUUAUGCUAAGAAACAUUUUUAUGCUAAAAUAUAAAAUAUAAUUUUUAUUCAUUUAAAUUAAUAUAUUUUUUCAAAAGUAUUUUUUAAAAUAGUUUUUAAAUCACUAAUAUAAUUUUUGUUUAUUUACAAUUUAAAAAUAAAAAAUAAUUCCAAAUUUUCAAUUAUUUUUCAAAGAGUUUAAAAAAUAAUAAUAAAUAAUUAAAUAAGGGAGAAUUUUAUAAAAGUGGCAUACAAAAAGAGGGGUAUAAAAACAAAAAUGAUGGGUAGAAGUUAAAGGGGUGUUUUUGUCUAUUCCAAUCAUACCCUAUUGUAGACCCCCUUUUAGUGGUGAGGACCCGGGGGGGUUUGUUUUUUUUUUGAAUUUUCAUUAUCUUGUUGGAGGGGUAGGGGACCCCAGCUGAGUUUGGAUGUCGUCUGCAUGAGACGUGCAGAUGGAGAGGGGCAGAGACGCCAGCCGUGCUAGGGGUCAGAGACGCCAGCCUUGCUAGUGGUCAGAGAAGCCAGGCUGCUAACUGGUGAACAGGAACUGGAGGGUUGGCUUGCUGAAGAAGACACCAAUAGGGGGAUGAAAGAGGGAGGGACAGGAAAAAGGUGGAAAAAUCCGGAGAGAGGGGGGGUGAGCUUAUAGAGGAGGGAGCCGAGUAAGCACGGCGGAAGAAGUUCAGGUAUGGCCAACAUGGAUUUCUUUAUUUUGGUUCUCUUCAUUUUCCUUCUCUAUUAUUGCUGUUUUUUAGUAUAAUUUGUUGUUGAUCUCUUGGUUGCUGGGAUUUUGUUAUCGUUUGUCCUUGUCACAUUUUCUGGAGUUUUGUUUUGGGUAUGAACUGUCUCUGUUGCAGCUUUCCUAAAAUNNNNNNNNNNNNNNNNNNNNNNNNNNNNNNNNNNNNNNNNNNNNNNNNNNNNNNNNNNNNNNNNNNNNNNNNNNNNNNNNNNNNNNNNNNNNNNNNNNNNUUUCCUUUGUUUCUGGACUGUUCAAAGUGUUGGAUAUCUCAGCUGGGUGAUUCAUUUUGGUUGGGAUAUUUAUGAGAGAGUCCCAUAAGAAGCUCAAUUCUCAUACAAACGAAAAUUUCUGGAUACCUGUAAGAUGUGUGAACCACAUUCAUUAAAUGUUGAGAGAUGCAGAAGGGAGAGCCCGGAUGAGGAUGGAGUAUGCAGUCGUCAUGUUAUGGGACCCUUACAGCACAACAAAUGCUUUGUAGCAACAGUCACCAAUCGGGACGGUGCACCAGUUACUUAAGGCGAGAAAGCCAGAGAUCCACAACGUUAUAGAUUGCACCGGUAGUGGAGAUUAUUUGAUAUCUCAACUAUGACGAAGGCUGAUUCAGGCGUUUGACCACAUGGAGCACCAUGUCGGCUGUAACAGGUGCGUCAAGGCAGCAACUUGCGAACCUCGGUUUGGCAGUGAUGGCGUGGGUUCAUAGCAAUCGAUCCAUACGUGGAGCAGAUUAUAUAUUAUGAAGAUAAGGCGAGCCAUUUGAAAUGAGGUCCUCGGUAUUUCCACUAGUGUUUUUUGGAUGUCAACUCUUGCAUGGGACUGCCAGACAUGUUGACUAUUUUUGAACCCAAGACCCAGCGUCCCAUGAAUCGCAUCAGGCGGCCAAAGGGCGUCGUAACCGGGUAUUCACAGGGGCAAGGUCCCCAAGCUGCAGUUUCAGUUUAGCGCUGGGUUUUCGGGCACUCCGAAUAAAACAAGACUGCCCAAGAACUUCACUUUAUUGGGUCUGGGGGCAGGCUACAUUUGUAACCAAGCAACCAUCGAAGCUCCUUCACUUUCCCUCUCCUCUGAUGGCCGGUGAAAAACUUGCUAACAGGGAUGAGCGUGAUCUAUGCAUGAUUGGAGUUGGAAAUUGCUCCCAGUUGCAGUCUCCCUCUUUGCCAUAUAACCCCUUCUAUUUCACCCUUGCCGUUUCCCAUGAACUGGAAAUCCCGUGUACAAGGCUUUGCAUGGCCACCUCAAGCAUCUUCCAUGUGCUUAAUCCAUCUCCUCAUGCCGUUCACCCUCACCCAUCUUUCAUAACCUCCCAUGCACAUGCUCAUUUUCUGAAAACUCAUUCAAACCUAUCCCCACCACCUUCGCAUGGCCAUGCAUGGCCACUUCUAUUCACUUCUUCAUACCCAUCGUCAUCCCCUACAUCCAUCAAACCAUCCCACUAAGCCCAUCACUUCAGAUGAAUGAGCCUGCUUUGCACCCUCCAUCUGUAUUGCCACCCAUUAAAUCUGCUCCAGCAUCUGAAAUGACCAAACGUCACAUGCCUUUCAAACCCACCAAUCACACCCAUUUUCCAUACCCACUAAGCCCAUUUGCCAUGCAUGGUCACGUGACGCCCGCCACACUCAUUUCUUGCUCAGCAUACCCAUUUUCUCUCUCAAAUUUAUCCACUACAAGCUGCCACACCAUGGACUGUGAGACAUAGUUGAUGAUUUUGUGAAUCAGUUUGAGAGCUUUUGAAAGUAAGGGCCUUUAUUUUGUGCACAUGCAUGCUGGGACCCAUCUUUUUGAAAUCAUCAACCAUGUGGUAGAGGCUGUAGAGAAACGCAUAGAGGAAACAUGUAGGAGUAUUAUGGUGUGCUAUAAGGAUGAUGCCUCUUGAGCGAAAGAUAUUGCCCUGAGGAAGUUCAGGGAUAAAGACCUUUUGGGUGCAAAGAAAUUUGUAUCCUGGGUGUGAGGGUAUUUCUCAAAUGUUAACUAUGUUUGAUGUGUACAUCUCAGCUGAGAAGAAAGUGAGUGGAGGAGUGGAUUGGUAUGGGAUACUUGGCGUAAUCCCUUUGGCCGAUGAGGGAACUGUGAAGAAACAAUGCAGGGAGCUGGCUCUUAUGCUUUAUCCUAAUAAAAACAAGUCCACUGGUGCAGAUGGUACAUUUAAGUUUGUUUCAGAGGCUUGGAGUUUAUUAUCUAACAAGAGCAAGUAUUUGCUGAAUGUUUCCCACUGAUGGCAUUGCUUAAACAAAUUGGUGGAUAAAAGUCAAAGAUAUAGUUUUUUAUAUUAUUUUUUAUUCUUCAUUGGUGGCAUGGUUCCAGCAGGCUUCAAGGUGGCUUAUUAUUAUUUUUUCUCUUUUCUCCCACGUGCCAUCUUCUUAAUUCCACUUUACAUGUUAAGAUUUUCAUUUUUUUUGCAAAUUCAUUCAUUUAUUGAUUUAUUUUAUCUAUUUUAUUCAUUUAUUUUUUAUUUGUCUAUUUAUUUAUUUAUUUAUUAUUUUAUUUAAGAAUAUAUAUAUACACGUAUCAUUUCCAAAAUAAUCUCAUAAAAUGUGAUUUUUAAAUUUAUUUUACGAAACUUCAAAUCUAACAUUCAAUUUUCCAAAACUCCAAUAUUUUAAGUUCUAAAAAAAUUUUCAUUAUUCACGUUCAUUCAUUUAAAUAUUAUUCUCAUUAUUAUUAUUAUUAUUAUUUCGUUCAUUUAUUUUACAAAUUCCAAUAAUUAAAGUUCAAAUUUUUCAAAAUUCCGUUUUCCGAAUUUAAUUUUCAAUCUCAAAAAUUCCACUAUUCACAUUCAGCUGUUUAAUGAUUAUUUUCGUUAUUGUUAUUAUCUCGUUCAUUUAUUUAUUCACUUAUUCAUAUAUUUAAAAAUCUCAUCUCCAAAUAAUUUCUCAAAAUCUCAAUCUCUAAAUUCGAUCUCCCAUCUCUAAAAUUCUAUUUUUCGCAAUUAUUUACCUAAUCUUUAUUAUUUCAUCAUUAUUAUUAUUUCACUCAUUUAUUUAUUCACUUAUUUGUUUAUUAAAAUUCCGUAUUUAAAUAAUUUUUCAAAAUUCCGAUUCCCAAAUUUAGUUCUCUGAAAUCCCAAUUCCUUUCAAAUUUAAUUACUAAAAUUCUCAUUCUUAUAUUUAAUUUCUAAAAAUCUAAUUUUCAAAUAAUCUCUAAAACUCCAAUUUUCAAAUAAAUUUCAAAAAUCCAGUUUUCCCUUAAACAAUUUUAAUUUCUAUUUGGUGAUGCAUGCGGUAUGUUUUGUGUUCUUUAUUAUACACUGACCCUAUUUUUAUGAUAGUGCAUGGUGGUUCGUUGCCCAGGUAUGUACCCAUUUCCCCUCUAAUCGUUGUCUAUGCAUGUCUCGAUUCUCACAUGUGCGUGAUUUAUCCUGAGUGUUCAUUGAUUUACUCAUUCAUUGCCAUGAUUGCUUCAAUUUUAUUAGUAGAGACCUGACUUAGGGACUUAGAGGGGUGCUAUGGUCUUUACAGUACCUUCCUGAUAAGUAACCUGACCCCCGAACCCGAUCCGGUUUUUCACAGACCACCUUUUCCAAAACAAGGAGUCACACUUAGGGUUUUUCUUUCUUAUUUUGUUUACCCUUUAGAAAUAAAACAAAAAUAAGUGGCGACUCCAAGUCAAUUUUUCUUAAUCAAUAAAGAUCAAAUUUUCAAAUUAAAAUCGAGCUCGCCAUCGAGUGGGAAACGCAUGAGCCGAAAUGCGGGGUCCACAAAAUGGCGACUCCACUGGGGAUAGUUAGAGGGUCAAACUCGAACUUAAAGUGAAGUAAACGUGGCAUUUGAUUGGACGAUUAGUGGAUGCUCAUAUCUUGAUUGUACAUUGGGGAUUUCUUGAUGCAUGCUUAGAGGUCGUAUUCAUUUGAGUUUUUGACAUGUUGGAUUAUUGAUGAUUGAUCUUAUUGCAUUGCUUAGCGUAUUGAUUCUGAUUUUGCCAUGAUUGUUUUGGUCACCUCACAUGCAUACACUCACCACUGUAUAUCAUUUGAUUGGACAUGUUGAUUCAUUUGCUUGUAUAUUAUCUUGAUCGUCUUUGAGCAUGAUGUUUAUUUCACUAUUUGUCUUGAUUUUCAUAUUCUCGCUUAUUUUGUGUGUACAUGGUGAUAUAUCUGAGCACCGACUGAUUGUAUGUUGCAUGACUGCCAUUUUUCUGUGUGAUUGCAUGCCGCUUGUCUCUGUGGGUAGCACAUUUAUCCCCUUACCUCCUAUUCUCUUGGUUUCGGUCAUUCCUUUCAUCUCGGCUCUCACUAUUGCAAGUGAGGCCUUUUGUGUGUUUGCUCCCUGACCGAGCCAGAGAUUAGGAGUAGGGUCUAGCGACGGGCUAUAUCGAUGUAUGGGAGCAUUCUGGAGGAGAGCGACACUUUGAUGUCGAUUGGAGUCCGAUCAUUGAAGACCUGUAUAGCCCCGAGCUAGGUUUCAUGGAUAGUCGUGCGACCAGUGUGUUUCCUCUUUUGCUUUAGAUUCUUAGGGUUUUCGGAUGCACCCACACCAUUCACUGUGCACUUUAGUUGACCAUUGAGCGUUGAGAGUUUGAGAGGUUUCACCAUAGGAAACCCCUUGGGAUGUCGGGGUAGUGAAUGUGUGGAGGUGAUGACCACCUUGCAUGGAAGCGUCUCGUCUCUUCGGAGACGUGCAGAAGGUUGCGUACCGCCGGAGGGUACGAUCGCUUCUGCUAUGGAUCUUUAAAGUCCACCCAUAUCCAUUUAGAGCCACCUUCACCUCGUAGGUUGAGCUGUAGAUCCUUCGAUUAGGACUCCCUCCCUACACGUGGGUGCAUCUGAGGGCUUUCAGAGCCUCUGUGGUUACACUUCGGAUUUGGCAUUCCCUCUUUUUAGUCUCCAGUUGAGAGUGCUUGGAGAUCGAUAUGAGUUUGAGUACGAUUGGAUCACCUUUAGUCUUGUCGCCUUAGUUUGUGUUUUUCACUUGAUGAGUUUAGCAUGUUUUCUCUCUAGGGUUUUCAUUCUCAUUUCUUGGCUCGACACACCCUUUCACUUUGUUGUCACUUACUCGAUACUUUGGGACACGUUCAUGAUCACCUUUUUACACUGUCCACCUAUCACGGGCUCAGUACCUCAUUCUUUGUUUGAUCCUUGGUUCGAUUUUCAACUUGAUGCUCAUAUUUUCAUUACUAGAAAGGUGAAAGACACAUUUUCAUAUUCACACAUUUUUCGGGAGAUUCGCCUUGAUCACCUUAUCAUUUUCUUCCCUUAUGGAGCUCGAGUUGAAGGUUGAAUCAAGGAUAUUUUGUUAUAGAUUGAGUAUCGAUCUCGUGAUAGUGUUGUUCUUCACACCCCAUUCAUUUUCUUCGCACCUCUAUCACUUCCUGGAUCAUCGAUAGAAAUUCUUUAGUCAUAUUUGUAGUUGUCUCACACUGGACACUCAUGUGACUCUAGAGUUUCUAUCGUAUAUCCAAAUUUUGAUUGUCACCAUGCGAUUGUGUAUCGCACCCUGUCAUGUAUUGGGUUGUGUUGUGUCAUGCACUGGUCAUUUGUUCGUUGCAUCCCGUGUCGUUGUAUGAGUCGUGUUUGAGUCGUUUUGCUUGGGUUCUUUUGUAGGGGUCUAUCUGUAGUCCCAGUCUUGGUUCAGUGCCCUGGGUUGAGUGGGAGGUUGAUUCGUAUUGCUGAGCUGCUAUAGACGGGCUCACAGUCAGUUUCGAUUGGUUAGCUUAUUGCUUCUGUGGUUUUGAUUCUGGAGGCAUUGACCAGUUUGAGUUAGAGGAUGGAUACUCAGCAGAGUAGGCAUGUAGUGCUCGAGGACACGCCAUCUGAUAUAGUGACGCCACCUGUUCUACCUAUUCAGAUGCCAGCUACACAGACUUCGCUUGCUACUUCAUAUGAUCAGGCUGCUGUCAUUUCACCCAUUGUCACACCAGUUACCAUUAUUGAGGAUCCUCGUUCCCGUAUGGACAGACUCGAGCAGAGGAUUAGACAGAUGAGAGAUCCUGAUGAGAUGAUUUCAUGGGAUGACCUUGACGAUGUGCCAGUGGCCACUUUGCCAGUCGGUUUUAGGAUGCCUGAUAUAGAGAGAUAUACGGGUGUUGGAUGUCCUCGUAUUCAUCUCAGACUUUAUAGCACAGUUAUGAGAGCCCUUGGUCUAGAUGAGGCACAGUUGCUCACUUUGUUCCCGUUGUCAUUGAGUGGCAUGACGCAGAGAUGGUACGCUUCAUUAGAGACAUCUCGUCGGAGAACUUGGGAGGACUUAGCACAGGAGUUUCUAAGACAGUAUUCCUUCAAUGGUGAUACGAGCGUUACACGUAGAGAGCUUGAGUUUCUUAGACAGGGAUCAGAUGAGUUUGUUUCUUCUUUUAUCUCUCGUUGGAGGGAGAAGGUUGUGGAGAUGAUUGAGCGACCUACCGAGAGAGAUCAGAUGAGCAUGUUUUUGAGGAGUUUGCACCCUAGGUUUGCUCGGCAUUUGACAGGAGUCCCAUUCCGGGAUUUCAGAUCAUUGGUUCAGGCUUUGAUUGAUGUAGACGAUAGCAUAUCUAGAGGAUUAUGGUCGGAUAUUAUUCCUUCCUCAAAUACUGAGGGGAAGAGAGUUGGUGGAUCAUCUGAGAGCUAUGGAGACGUAUGUUCUGCGGAUUUUCAGCAUCGACGACCUGGUUAUCAUUCCUAUGCGAGAUCAUUGCAGAUACCCAGGAGUGAUUUCCUGCCUUUACAGCAUCAUCAUCCUCAUUCAGUUCAGCAGUACCCUUUUGUGCAUCCUCAUAUUGUCACGGUGCGACCUUCAUUGCAGUUUCAGCGUCCACAGACUAGUAUCCCACGACAUGAGCAGUCUCUUCCCCAUCGGCGACAUCAGAGGACUUAUACUAAUUUGGGGAUGCCUUUGGAUAGAGCUUUUGAGCGACUUAGAGCUACUGGUUUUUUAGCACCAUUGGCCUCUAGGCCACCCCCGAGUAUCUUACCUCCACGUUUUCGUGCUCACGAGUUCUGUGCAUUUCACCAGAUGGCAGGCCACCGUACUGAUUAUUGUGCUUCUCUACGUCAUACCAUACAGGAUCUUAUUGACAGUGGUGCAGUUAGCCUUCCCAUAUCGACCACAGAUGCUGAUCUUGGUCCAGAUAUGACUGCUGAUUCCUUUCCGGUUUAUUCCAUGCAUGCGGUCUCUCCUCCUUCGGGCUUAUACCAUCACGUUUUGGACACCCAGGGCACUGAUAUUCACAGGACACUUUGAUACCUUGUUGGUGUAUUUUGGGACUACCUUUUUAGUUGGUCGUUUGAGUUUUUGUUCUCUUUUGCUCUUUAUUUGAGUCUUGUUUUAUAGUUAGUAAUUCGUGUUCGUACCUUGUGUUUCGAGAGUAGACCUUAGUGUCUUAUUUUGUAUGAUGUACUCUCAUUUCGCUUAGUGGUAUUGUUGUUUUCUUGGGUAUGCGUUUCUAUCUUCUUUUUAUUAUUAUCAUUGUUUCUUAUCAUGCAUUUUAUGUGUUGUUAUUUUGGGUAGCAUCGUGUGUUGCUUUGUUUUUGUCUCUUGUAUUGUGUUUGUUUUAGAGUCUUGGACGGUUUUAGUGUCGUGACUGGUCCCCGAGCAGAGAUUGAUGGUAUGAUGAUUAUGAUACAGAGCACCUUGAGACUAGACUUCUUCAACUGAGGUUCACCAUGUCGGACGAGAUCACACCCAUUACUCUUACUGCUCUUUAUGAGAUGAUGGUGGAUUUGACGCGGAGGGUUGAGAGGAUUGAGCUUACUUUGUCAGAGCAUCCAUCAUCAUCGAGAGGAGCUCCAGGAGUAGCUAUGUCUUCAUUGCCACAUUUGACUCCAUCGAUGCUUGCUACUUUGGGUGCCUCACAUCCAUGGCCUCGCCCACAUUCAGUGUUUCAGCAGCAUUCCUCAUCCAUUUCAUUGGCUAUGCCGACACGACCUCCAUCCUGGCUUCAGGGCCCUCCAGUUAUUACAGUUCCUCAGGAGCGACUUCACCCUCGUCGACGGUGUCAGAGACGCUUUUCAGAUUUGAGCACACCCCUGAGCAGAGUUUUUGAGACGUUCCAGGCCAUGGGAUUUUUGGCUCCUCUGGCUCCUAGGGCACUUCCAGAUCCUGUGCCUCCACAGUUUCGACUCGACUUGUAUUGUACGUACCAUCAGUCAGCAGGACAUCACACUGAUUGUUGCACUGCUCUACGACAUGCCAUACAGGACAUUAUUGAUUCUAGGAUGUUUGGGCAUCCUCAGUCCGAUAUGUCUUCUAUUCCUACCUCAGCUCAGGCCACACAUGCAGACGCCCCUCCACCAGCAGUCCCUGAUCUUAUUGAUUUGGGCGAUUGACUUAUGAUUGGCUUACCUCGGUACAGUGGUGCUCAGUUUUUGUUCCUUCUGUGGCCAGAGAUGUGAUGAUCGGACCAGUCACUGUUUUUGUUUUGUUUUGUUUUGUUUGGUCUUGUUUUACUUUUGACAUUUAGAGACUAUAACUCGAUUCUCGAGUAUUGUCUUUGUUAUCCUUCUUUUGCAUGAUGUACUCAUCGGAUUAUCCCAUAGGAUGCAUUUUCCUUUAUGGACAUGUGUUUGUGUUUUGUGAUAUGAUGUGUUGUAUUUUUUUACUUGAGGCAUCUCUUCACUUGCACAUUAUGGUCUUGAGGCUUGACCUAUCAUGGAGGAUAUUAAGCCUAUUAGCCUAGGAUCAGAGAUUUGACUUAGGGAGUUCGAGACUGUGACACAUCUUCUUAUGAUCAGAGCAGUACCUUGCUCACUUCCCACACCUUGCUUUUGUUUUGACCUGCAUCCAUCCAUUAUGAGCUUUGCACAACAUCACCCUUGAGACCCUUAUAUGACAUUUUCAUCCUCGGUUUCUCUAGCUUUGCACAUCCCUUCUCUGAUUCGACCAGGUAGAGUGUGAGGAGUUUGAGCCCAAGGUUGAUCUGGCAUGGCGAGGGUUAGCUUGUGAUCUUUGGGUGGUUUACGAUAUGUGGAUUGGUCGAUUGCUUGGUGAGACUGUCACUUAUUUCGCCGUGAGUAUAGAGAUUGGUCUUGUAUGAUGAGAGUUGGCUCGUGAUGGGUAGUCGCGCCUGAUGGGAUCACUGUUUACUUUGCUUUGAGAGGAUCAUCUUUGAGAUUAUUAUGGAGCAUUUGGAGUACAGUUGAUACAUGAUCCUAGAGGGAAGUUCAGACCCAAUUGGAGCGGACCUUAUUUCAUCAGGAAGCUGACCCCAGAAGGCGUUGCAUGGUUGAUGGAUUUAGAUGGAAACCGAUUCUUAGAGCCGACUAAUGUAGAUCAGCUGAAGAAGUACUAUGUUUGAGACCAUGGUCGCAGGAUGGGUGGCUGUCAUUUUGGUUAGCCAUUACCUUGUUAUUCCUUUGUGAUACAUAGUCUGUUGCUAGCCCAUUGAGCCUCGCAUGCGCAUUAUAGCCUUUCUUUCUUAUCGCCUUGCUCACAUUUUCACACCGGGAUAGGGGCCCUUUAAUGUAUGCAUGCAUUGUUUGGUAGUUUCAUGAGCUUUGGACCUAUGGGCAUGUUUUUCUCAUUAUCUUUUCCUAUCACUGCACCUCUGUAUUUUCGUCUCAUCUUAUUGGUUAUGUUAUUCGUCUCUUCUUCCUUAUCUAAUCUACUAUUUGUUUGUCUCAUAUUCUCUCCACCCUGGGUGGUAAUCCCCUUCAGUUCAUCACAUGGAGGAUAGUCACAUCAUUUCCACCAUCUAUCUCGCGGACACUGGUUUAGAGAUCCUUAGUUUGAGAAGGUCAUCUUGUUAGAGAGAGUUUGUUUGUUACCUUAGCACUUGGGGGUGUGUCCAUUUGUUAUUGAUAUCAUCUUUGGGGUUUAUUUAUUCACAUUCAGGGCGCGUAUUUGUAUAUAUGUAAAAAAAAAAAAAAAAAAAAGUAAAAAAAAAGAAAAAAAAAAUCAUUAUUAUUAUUAUUAGCACAUGUGUGUAUGUGCAUAGUGUUCUCGAUCAUUGAGUAUGUAUAUAGAUGUUUGUGAUCAUUUUUAUCGAGUAUGUUCGUUAUUGGGAGUUCGUAUGUGAGCUCUCUGAGAUCCCAUGUUAUUUGUAUUGCUUCGUCAUAUCUAUUUGUGAGAGAGAUGAGUGACCUUCUCCUAAGGAUUCCGAGUCAUUUUCCUUUCCAUCAUUACAUUCAUUAUUGAUGUGACUUCACUUCAUGUUUGAUUUGAGUCGAUCGCCACCUUUCUUCACAUAUUCAUUGUUUCGCUGUCGUUUUUAUCGUUGCUUGUGAUUCAUCUCAUUCCCUUCACGUCUUAUUCUCUCCUUAUAGCGACCCCUCUCGGGUUCGAUGCUCACUUCACAUCAUCAUUACACAUAUCACUAUCAGUUCAUUUUGCUUCAUUUGUCUCCUUAUCGAUAUCACAUUCACGUUAGGCAUCCUCGGGUCCAUGGCUCAUGGGGUUCACUAUACAUGUUGCAUUUCAUAUAUGAGGGCAUGAGUUCUGAUCAUGGGGUAUUUGCGCCUAGUUUUCUUUCGUUUCUAUCACCCUAUCACCUUGGCCUACGUUACGUCCCGUGUCUUAAGACCACCCUGAGGCCAUGGGAUCAGAUGUCGUCUUCGGCAGCCUCUACUUGGACGGGUGAUUGAGAUCUGGUUGAUAUUUAGAUAUCGUCAUGCUUCUUCUUCUGGGAGUCGCCUCUUUGAUGUGUAGGACUGAUUCAGUUGUGUUCGGAUUACCGGGAUCAUGAGUUUGACGAUGAUUGACUUGGUGUCACCUGAUUUUUUUGACCUAUCGUACCUCUGGUGCCACAUUGCGACAUAUCCCAUUCCAUUUGGAGGUUUAUGGAUCCUCACAGAUUUGCACGUUCAUUAUCACUUACUGGAUGCUCACUAAGACAUGGACAUGAUCGUUACCUUACAGAGCCUCCGAGAUCCAUCCAGCUAGUUCCGCACUUCUCGAUGCUUGGAUGUCAUCAUGCCUCUCCAUCUGGGAGGACAUCUUGGAUAUAUGUGCACGAUUCAGUUAUGGAUUCGGAUGACUAGUGUUACAUGUGCGACGAUAGAUGAUUUCAUGACAUUUUUCCUUCGAACCUGUCGCGCACUUGAUGUUAUACUGGGGCAUAUUUUCCAUUUCAGAUGUGAUUUAUAGAUCUUCACUUAUGUCGCAUAAUCGAUGAUAGAUGAUUUCAUGUCGCCCGAUCUCUGACCUGCCAUACGUUCGAUGCCCAUACUGGGGCAUAUUUCCUUUUCGAUUGAGAUUUAUGGAUCUUCAUGGAGUUGCACGCUCAUCCCCACUUACGAGAUACACUUUGACACUAUGUUUCCUCCGUGGAGUCUCUCGGGAGUUACCCAGUUAGGCCUGCACCUCGCGACGCUUCGAUGUCAUCAUGCUUUCCUUCCGAGAGACGCCCCUUUGAUUUAUGGGUCUGUUUCAGUUGUACACGUGGAUGACUUGGAUCGCGCAUUCGAUGACGGGUGAUCUGGGCUCAUAUGGUUCUUUUGACUCAUCAUGCAUUGUGUUUGAUAGCUCUUAUGUGAGCGAUACUUGGGAUUGAUUCGAGAGCAUUUUGAUUGUGAUGGACCAGGAGUUAUGGUAGGACCCUACACUGGGGCAUAACCAUCUCAGAGAGUUCUUUUUCUAUUGGAUGACCAUUAUGUCGAGGCAUACUCUUCUCAGUCGAUGACGGAUUUUUGAGCCAUGUUCCUUGGAGGAUAUCAGAUGUCCUUUUUCACAUUGGAGCGUGAGACAUGAUUGGCGCGUUUCAUCUGGUGUACUUUACACAGGGGCAUACCCCUUUCGGUCCAUGAUGGUUUUUAGGCAUAGUUGUUCCUUGGAGGCGAUUAGAUUCAUUUCACAUUGGAGUACGAGAUAUGAUUGGGUGAUAUAUUUGAUGUGAUCACAGGAGCAUAGCCUUCUCAUCAUUGUUGACAUAUUUUUGAGAUGAUUGGAUCAGGACACGGACACUUAUGAGAGCAUGCAGCGGAGUUUAGUCAUUUCAGGGUUUGCCCUAUACUGGGGCAUAACCCUUUCAUUGGCGGUUGAUAUUAGAGAUAUCAGUUCACAUUGGGACAUGUUCUUUCUUUGGGGGAGGUCAGCUACUCUCUUCACAUUACCACGAUGGCUUUGAUGAGCAGAUGUUCAUUUUGAUCAGAUGAUGUAUGAUUGGUUGUACUCUUCUCAUGGAUGUUUGAUUUGGAGAUGCUUACACUGGGGCAUAGCCCACUCGUCUUGGUGAUGAUUUUGGUGAGAUGACAGUUUAUACCAGACACUUACUUUCCGGAGAUCAUUCUGCAUUGAGAGCUUACCCAUUCUGAGAUGAUGCAUUCAUACUGGGGCAUAGCCACCUUGCUGAUUUUGACAUUGAGACUCCACUUCUUGUUUAUGAUCGCUGCUCUCGAUGGAUUAUAGAGUUGUUGGCAUCCUGGGUUCAGUCUUCUCAGCAUACCUAGUUGGGUUUGGACAUUCACUUAUCUUUGUUACACACCCAUCCAUCCUACAUUGGACACCGUUAUACUUGCACCCAUCUUAUCAGAGCCUUACAUCUUUUGAGCCUACAUAUUUCAUCAUCUUACUUGACUAUUAUCCUUUUCUCUUGAUCGGAGGAAGAUACAGACCAGUCUCGAGCUUUCUGGUUGAGUUUUCACAUGCCUUUGGACAUUAGGUUCAACAUCUUCCGUGAUGGUAGGGCCUGUUAGAUUGUUGAUAUAUUUGUGAUGAUAUUCUUAUGUUGAUAGUUGACAUCGUAUCUUGAUUUGUUUAUAUUUCAGGUUUAGAGUCUUGGUCAGCAUUUGUUUGAUCCAUUAUUUUAGUUUUGCUUUGUCAGUAUGAUUUCAGUGAUGCUUGGACUUGUUUUAGCAUUUGUUCAUUGAGGCUAUGUAUGUGUUUUUUCAUUGCAUCAUCAUUGAGCAUAUCCUAGAGUGUCUUGUUUGGUGACAUUCUGUGUCUUAUCUUGGUUACUAUUUUUCACUAGGGGCAUAACCCCAUCCUCAGAUGUUUUGCAGACUUUUCUCGCUGCUCAUUCUAUUUCUUGAGCUUUGUGAGUUGUCACACUGGGGCAUACCCCCGUCCUUGAGUUCAUCGAUUCUCUUUUGCAGACUUUCUCGCUGCUCAUUAUAUCUCUUGACCUUUGUGAGUCGUCAUAUUGGGGCAUACCCCCUUUAGCGCUUUUCUACUGGGGCAUACCCCCCUCUAUUUGGGUUUACCGUGUCUCAUGUUGAUUUCAUGGUUGUCAGACCCAUUUGUCGAUCUUUAUGAGUUAUCGCCUAGGGCAUCCCCCUACCACCGUCUUGUUUAGGGCAUCCCCCUAUUGUCAUCUUUUUUAGGGCAUCUCCUUUCUUUCAAUUAUAUCACCACCAUGGAUUUUCAUCCUUGGGCUUUCAGAUUUGUCACCAUCAUAGAUUUUCAUCUAUGGGCAUUUCAGUUAUUUCACCACCAUAGAUUUUCAUCUAUGGGCUUUUUCAGAUUAUCACCAUCAUAGAUUUUCAUCUAUGAGCAUUUGUUUCAGACUCACCACCAUAGAUUUUCAUCUAUGGGCUUUUUCAUAUUAUCACCAUCAUAGAUUUUCAUCUAUGAGCAUUUGUUUCAGAUUCACCACCAUAGAUCAGACAUCUAUGGGCAUUUCGAUUAUUUCACCACCAUAGAUUUUCAUCUAUGGGCAUUUCAGUUAUUUCACCACCAUGGAUUUUCAUCCUUGGGCUUUCGGGAUUUUCACCCCCAUAGAUCUUCAUUUAUGGGCAUUUCAGGUUUAUCAUCACCAUAGAUCAGACAUCUAUGGGCUUUGAUCAGUUUUCACCACCAUGGAUUUUCAUCCUUGGGCUUUGAUCAGUUUUCACCACCAUAGAUUUUCAUCUAUGGGCUUUUCAGAUUUUCACCACCAUAGAUCAGACAUCUAUGGGCAUUUCAGAUUCACUAUCAUGGAUUUUCAUCUAUGAGCCUUUGUUUUAGUUAUCACCACCAUAGAUUUUCAUCUAUGAGCAUUUCAGUUAUUUCACCAUCAUAGAUUUUCAUCUAUGAGCCAUUUGUUUCAGUUAUCACCACCAUAGAUUUUCAUCUAUGGGCUUUUCAGAUUUUCACCACCAUAGAUCAGACAUCUAUGGGCAUUUCAGGUAUUCACCAUCAUGGAUUUUCAUCCAUGAGCCUUUGUUUUAGUUAUCACCACCAUAGAUUUUCAUCUAUGGGCAUUUCAGUUAUUUCACCAUCAUAGAUUUUCAUCUAUGAGCCCUUUGUUUCAGUCAUAUCACCACCAUAGAUUUUCAUCUAUGGGCAUUUCAAAUUCACCACCAUAGAUUUUCAUCUAUGGGCUUUUCAGUUAUUAUCACCACCAUAGAUUUUCAUCUAUGGGCAUUUCAGUUAUUUCACCACCAUGGAUUUUCAUCCUUGGGCUUUCGGGUUUAUCACCACCAUGGAUCAGCUAUCUAUGGGCUUUUCAGUUAUUAUCACCACCAUAGAUUUUCAUCUAUGGGCUUUUCAGUUAUUAUCACCGUCAUGGAUUUUCAUCCAUGAGCCUUUGUUUCAGUUAUCACCACCAUAGACUUUCAUCUAUGGGCAUUUCAGGUUUAUCAUCACCAUAUAUCAGACAUCUAUGGGCUUUGAUCAGUUUUCACCACCAUAGACUUUCGUCUGUGGGCUUUGUUUCAGUUAUUCACCACCAUAGAUCAGACAUCUAUGGGCUUUGAUCAGUUUUCACCACCAUAGAUCAGGCAUCUAUGGGCAUUUCAGUUAUUUCACCACCAUAGAUUUUCAUCUAUGUGCAUUUCAGUUUAUUUCACCAUCAUGGAUUUUCAUCUUUGGGCUUUCGGGAUUUUCACCACCAUAGAUUUUCAUCUAUGGGCAUUUCAGUUAUUUCACCACCAUGGAUUUUCAUCUUUAGGCUUUCGAGAUUAUCACCACCAUGGAUUGGCAUCUACGGGCAUUUUUACCAUAUCACCACCGUAGGUCUUCACCUAUGGGCCUUCUAGUUUAGCAUUUAGAGUUAGUUUUUUUUUUUUUUUUUUGGCUUCCAGAGCUGUUAUUUUCUCAGGGUAGCAUUUAGAGUUAGCUUUUUGGUUUGGCUUCCAAAGCUUUUAUUUUCCCAGUUUAGCGUUUAGAGUUAGUUUUUUUUUUUUUUGGCUUCCAGAGCUGUUAUUUUCUCAGUUUAGCAGUUUAGAGUUAGCUUUUUGGUUUGGCUUCCAAAGCUUUAUUUUCUAGUUUAGCGUUUAGAGUCAGUCUUGUCAUUCAGAGUCGUAGCUCCUAGCAUUCCUAUUCACUGGCAUUGCGCAUCUUACCUUCAGGGUUUUGCAUUCGUCCUCGGCUUUCCUCACUUCGUUACCCGGUGCUUAUCGCAUAUUCAUCUCGUACUCCAGGAUGGUUCGACUGUUACUCAUCUUUGACAUUGAUCUCUUGGGUCACUUUUGGAGACAUCUUAGAGAGAGUGUGGAUCCUUGGUGCAACCUUAGAGUCAUUUUGGGACAUCUUUUCUUUUAGGAUUAGAACCUUUAUGUUCAUCUAUUGACCUGAGUAAGUCCGUGUUUCAUUGGGUGUCCUUUUGGGGGUCUCCUUUGUUCUUCGAUAGAGCUCAUUUCAUCCCACUCAUUACUCACACUUGCUUUUCACUCCAGUGUUCACAUUCCUUACACUCAUGAGCUCUACCGAAGAGGGGCAUAUUUGUAGACCCCCUUUUAAUGGUGAGGACCCGGGGGGGUUUGUUUUUUUUUUGAAUUUUCAUUAUCUUGUUGGAGGGGUAGGGGACCCCCAGCUGAGUUUGGAUGUCGUCUGCAUGAGACGUGCAGAUGGAGAGGGGCAGAGACGCCAGCCGUGCUAGGGGUCAGAGACGCCAGCCUUGCUAGUGGUCAGAGAAGCCAGGCUGCUAACUGGUGAACAGGAACUGGAGGGUUGGCUUGCUGAAGAAGACACCAAUAGGGGGAUGAAAGAGGGAGGGACAGGAAAAAGGUGGAAAAAUCCAGAGAGAGGGGGGGUGAGCUUAUAGAGGAGGGAGCCGAGUAAGCACGGCGGAAGAAGUUCAGGUAUGGCCAACAUGGAUUUCUUUAUUUUGGUUCUCUUCAUUUUCCUUCUCUAUUAUUGCUGUUUUUUAGUAUAAUUUGUUGUUGAUCUCUUGGUUGCUGGGAUUUUGUUAUCGUUUGUCCUUGUCACAUUUUCUGGAGUUUUGUUUUGGGUAUGAACUGUCUCUGUUGCAGCUUUCCUAAAAUGUCUAAAUCAUGCCCGGGUCACUCACCAACGUUUAGGCACAUUGAUUGUAAUAUGAAACGUGGCUGUCUACUGGUUCAUUUUAUUUCAUUCUUUUGUGCUCUAUUUGUACUCUGUUUUCGAUGUUUUCCUUUGUUUCUGGACUGUUCAAAGUGUUGGAUAUCUCAGCUGGGUUGAUCAUUUUGGUUGGGAUAUUUAUGGGAGAGUCCCAUAAGAAGCUCAAUUCUCAUACAAACGAAAAUUUCUGGAUACCUGUAAGAUGUGUGAACCACAUUCAUUAAAUGUUGAGAGAUGCAGAAGGGAGAGCCCGGAUGAGGAUGGAGGAUGCAGUCGUCAUGUUAUGGGACCCUUACAGCACAACAAAUGCUUUGUAGCAACAGUCACCAAUCGGGACGGUGCACCAGUUACUUAAGGCGAGAAAGCCAGAGAUCCACAACGUUAUUGAUUGCACCGGUAGUGGAGAUUAUUUGAUAUCUCAACUAUGACGAAGGCUGAUUCAGGCGUUUGACCACAUGGAGCACCAUGUCGGCUGUAACAGGUGCGUCAAGGCAGCAACUUGCGAACCUCGGUUUGGCAGUGAUGGCGUGGGUUCAUAGCAAUCGAUCCAUACGUGGAGCAGAUUAUAUAUUAUGAAGAUAAGGCGAGCCAUUUGAAAUGAGGUCCUCGGUAUUUCCACUAGUGUUUUUUGGAUGUCAACUCUUGCAUGGGACUGCCAGACAUGUUAACUAUUUUUGAACCCAAGACCCAGCGUCCCAUGAAUCGCAUCAGGCGGCCAAAGGGCGUCGUAACCGGGUAUUCACAGGGGCAAGGUCCCCAAGCUGCAGUUUCAGUUUAGCGCUGGGUUUUCGGGCACUCCGAAUAAAACAAGACUGCCCAAGAACUUCACUUUAUUGGGUCUGGGGGCAGGCUACAUUUGUAACCAAACAACCAUCGAAGCUCCUUCACUUUCCCUCUCCUCUGAUGGCCGGUGAAAAACUUGCUAACAGGGAUGAGCGUGAUCUAUGCAUGAUUGGAGUUGGAAAUUGCUCCCAGUUGCAGUCUCCCUCUUUGCCAUAUAACCCCUUCUAUUUCACCCUUGUCGUUUCCCAUGAACUGGAAAUCCCGUGUACAGGGCUUUGCAUGGCCACCUCAAGCAUCUUCCAUGUGCUUAAUCCAUCUCCUCAUGCCGUUCACCCUCACCCAUCUUUCAUAACCUCCCAUGCACAUGCUCAUUUUCUGAAAACUCUUUCAAACCUAUCCCUACCACCUUCGCAUGGCCAUGCAUGGCCACUUCUAUUCACUUCUUCAUACCCAUCGUCAUCCCCUACAUCCAUCAAACCAUCCCACUAAGCCCAUCACUUCAGAUGAAUGAGCCUGCUUUGCACCCUCCAUCUGUAUUGCCACCCAUUAAAUCUGCUCCAGCAUCUGAAAUGACCAAACGUCACAUGCCUUUCAAACCCACCAAUCACACCCAUUUUCCAUACCCACUAAGCCCAUUUGCCAUGCAUGGUCACGUGACGCCCGCCACACUCAUUUCUUGCUCAGCAUACCCAUUUUCUCUCUCAAAUUUAUCCACUACAAGCUGCCACACCAUGGACUGUGAGACAUAGUUGAUGAUUUUGUGAAUCAGUUUGAGAGCUUUUGAAAGUAAGGGCCUUUAUUUUGUGCACAUGCAUGCUGGGACCCAUCUUUUUGAAAUCAUCAACCAAGUGGUAGAGGCUGUAGAGAAACGCAUAGAGGAAACAUGUAGGAGUAUUAUGGUGUGCUAUAAGGAUGAUGCCUCUUGAGCGAAAGAUAUUGCCCUGAGGAAGUUCAGGGAUAAAGACCUUUUGGGUGCAAAGAAAUUUGUAUCCUGGGUGUGAGGGUAUUUCUCAAAUGUUAACUAUGUUUGAUGUGUACAUCUCAGCUGAGAAGAAAGUGAGUGAAGGAGUGGAUUGGUAUGGGAUACUUAGCGUAAUCCCCUUGGCCGAUGAGGGAACUGUGAAGAAACAAUGCAGGGAGCUGGCUCUUAUGCUUUAUCCUAAUAAAAACAAGUCCACUGGUGCAGAUGGUACAUUUAAGUUUGUUUCAGAGGCUUGGAGUUUAUUAUCUAACAAGAGCAAGUAUUUGCUGAAUGUUUUCCACUGAUGGCAUUGCUUAAACAAAUUGGUGGAUAAAAGUCAAAGAUAUAGUUUUUUAUAUUAUUUUUUAUUCUUCAUUGGUGGCAUGGUUCCAGCAGGCUUCAAGGUGGCUUAUUAUUAUUUUUUCUCUUUUCUCCCACGUGCCAUCUUCUUAAUUCCACUUUACAUGUUAAGAUUUUCAUUUUUUUUGCAAAUUCAUUCAUUUAUUGAUUUAUUUUAUCUAUUUUAUUCAUUUAUUUUUUAUUUGUCUAUUUAUUUAUUUAUUUAUUAUUUUAUUUAAGAAUAUAUAUAUACACGUAUCAUUUCCAAAAUAAUCUCGUAAAAUGUGAUUUUUAAAUUUAUUUUACGAAACUUCAAAUCUAACAUUCAAUUUUCCAAAACUCCAAUAUUUUAAGUUCUAAAAAAAUUUUCAUUAUUCACGUUCAUUCAUUUAAAUAUUAUUCUCAUUAUUAUUAUUAUUAUUAUUUCGUUCAUUUAUUUUACAAAUUCCAAUAAUUAAAGUUCAAAUUUUUCAAAAUUCCGUUUUCCGAAUUUAAUUUUCAAUCUCAAAAAUUCCACUAUUCACAUUCAGCUGUUUAAUGAUUAUUUUCGUUAUUGUUAUUAUCUCGUUCAUUUAUUUAUUCACUUAUUCAUAUAUUUAAAAAUCUCAUCUCCAAAUAAUUUCUCAAAAUCUCAAUCUCUAAAUUCGAUCUCCCAUCUCUAAAAUUCUAUUUUUCGCAAUUAUUUACCUAAUCUUUAUUAUUUCAUCAUUAUUAUUAUUUCACUCAUUUGUUUAUUCACUUAUUUGUUUAUUAAAAUUCCGUAUUUAAAUAAUUUUUCAAAAUUCCGAUUCCCAAAUUUAGUUCUCUGAAAUCCCAAUUCCUUUCAAAUUUAAUUACUAAAAUUCUCAUUCUUAUAUUUAAUUUCUAAAAAUCUAAUUUUCAAAUAAUCUCUAAAACUCCAAUUUUCAAAUAAAUUUCAAAAAUCCAGUUUUCCCUUAAACAAUUUUAAUUUCUAUUUGGUGAUGCAUGCGGUAUGUUUUGUGUUCUUUAUUAUACACUGACCCUAUUUUUAUGAUAGUGCAUGGUGGUUCGUUGCCCAGGUAUGUACCCAUUUCCCCUCUAAUCGUUGUCUAUGCAUGUCUCGAUUCUCACAUGUGCGUGAUUUAUCCUGAGUGUUCAUUGAUUUACUCAUUCAUUGCCAUGAUUGCUUCAAUUUUAUUAGUAGAGACCCGACUUAGGGACUUAGAGGGGUGCUAUGGUCUUUACCGUACCUUCCUGAUAAGUAACCUGACCCCCGAACCCGAUUCGGUUUUUCACAGACCACCUUUUCCAAAACAAGGAGUCACAUUUAGGGUUUUUCUUUCUUAUUUUGUUUACCCUUUAGAAAUAAAACAAAAAUAAGUGGCGACUCCAAGUCAAUUUUUCUUAAUCAAUAAAGAUCAAUUUUUCAAAUUAAAAUCGAGCUCGCCAUCGAGUGGGAAAUGCAUGAGCCGAAAUGCGGGGUCCACACCUAUAUCCUUGUAAUCAAUAAUGGAUAUUUGAAGGACCUUUUGCCCAAGGUGUUGUAAAUUGUAAUGCAAUAUUCUCCCAAAAAUCAGACCGAUAAAUUUUGAGUUGAAAACUGGGACGAAAGAAGUGAAACUUUACAAUCACGUGUAUGUACAAAAAGUUGUAAUGUCAUUUUCAAACUAUCUUGAUCCCGCCCAUUGACAGCCUAUCACCCGCCUACUUUCCUUUUUCUAUUUUUUUAUUUUGGCUUUGGUAAGGACAAGGAAUCUUUACUGUUUCCAGCCCGGUUGUAUACUUGCUCGCAGCUUUAUGUCUGGCUCUGGAAGGACGAUUCAGUAAAAGAAAAAAAAUUGUUUUCUUGUUUGCUUUUUGUAACUUGUAAGUGAAGUUUCUUAGAUAAAUUAAGCUAAGACGUAAUUAUAUACUUUAUUUUGUUUUGAAAAAUUAUUAUCAUAUGAUAAAUGUUUGUUGUACUUUUUGUAAGUCAUUUUCAAAAUUUUCUUAUAGUAAUCAAAAUUAUUAUUUUUUAUUUUUCUAAUAAUACAAAUAUUCAUAUAUCAUUUUACCAUAAAUGUCUAUGUAUUUUUUUUUCAAAAAAAUAUUGAUUUAUUAUCAUUUUUCCCUUUUAUAAUGAAUUUUUAUGUUUUUGUAAUUUAUUAAAAUUAAAAGCGUUUUUAUGUUAUGUGAUUAUACUAUCAAAAUCACUUUCACUAUUUUCAUAAAAGUUUUACGUAUAAAAACAUUAUAGAUUAAAAGUCCUAUCAAACAUAUGAUUUAAUGCGAUGGAUAGUAAUUUUUUAAAAGUACUAUCAAACAUAUGAUUUAAUGUGAUGGAUAGUAGUUUUAGAAAGUGUUAUUUUUAAAAAAAGUGUUAUUUUUCUUUUGUUUAUUAAAAAAGUUAAAAAUAUUUGUCAAAUUAUUAUCAAACACACCGUUAAUUUAUAAUAUUUUAAAAAACAUGUCAAAUAUAGGAUUUAUUUUAUAAUUGUUUACAAGAACAACUUUUUAUUAUUCAAAAUAAAAAAAUAUCUUUGAUAGCUAAAAACUAUUUUUUGUUUUCUCUUCUUAAGAAUAAAAAAUAAGAUGUUUUCAAAUAACAUCUCUUAAUUGUUUUCAUUUAUUUUUUUACAGUUGUUUUAAAAAAUAAUUAUACAAGUAUAUAAAAUAAUUAAAAAUAAAGCUCUAUUUUAAAAAUAUAUUCAAAAAUAUUAAAAACAAGAUAAAAACAUUUAUAGUUUCAAACAAACUUUUAUUCUACAAGUCAUUAGAAAAUAGUUUUUAAAAAUUAUUUUUUAAAACUAUUUUUAAAAAACAGUUAUCAAACAUGACUAUAAUUUUUAAGAAUGAUUUUUAGAAAUAGUUCUAAAUUAUUUUCAAAAAUAAAAUCAUAUUUCAAAACUCAAAUAUGAAAAAUGAAAAUUUUCCCAUCUUGUUUAUGAAGGUACUAUGUAGUAACGUAUAAUACAAAGGUUUUCAAAAAUAUUUUUAAUAUUAUGAAUUGUUGCCAUGAGCAUUCUACAAAACAAUUAAAAAUAUCUAAAUUCUAUUCUAAAAAACAACUUAUUUUUAAAGAAAUUUUCAAAAAAUUAUUUUUUAUCAAAAGUUUAUCAAAUAUGUGUUUUUGAAUUAAAAAAUUGUUUUCAGGAAUAGUUUUCAAACAACACCUUAAUAUUUAAAUAUAAAUAAAAAAAAAUGUUAUGAUAAUAUUUUUUUAUCAUGUAUUAUAAAAUAAAAUAAAAAAUGAUUUUUGAAAGAAUUAUCACUUAAAUGAUUGUUCAAAAUUAUUUUUAAGUGAUUCUUUAGAUUUUAAAGCAAUGUUUAAUAAUUUAUCAAAUAUGUACUUUUUUUACAGGAAUGUGCUUUCAAGCAUUAAAGCCGCUUUUAAUAUCAGUCCGAAGCGAUAAAAUAAUUUUGGGCCCCCCGAAUUUAAAUUUGAAUUAUUGGUAGAUCUUUCAUGUGGGUGGUAACAAAAAUGAAGUGAAUGGUUGGGCGGUGAAUAUUUAGAAGCAAAAAUAAACUAAACCAGGUGUGUGUUUCAAGUAGAACGGGUGUCCUCAUACAUGUGGCUGACCUUACAACGAAAAUAUGGGGUUGAUGCGAUUAAUAUCUAUUAAUUAAUUAGAUUUAAUAAAAUAUUUAGAUAAGUCUUAUCAAUUGCUUAAUGCGAAGUAAUCAAAUUAUUAUUAUGUUAAAAUUAAAAAAGAAUAAAAGUGAAAAAUUAGUAUUUGUUUGCAUCCAUUUUUUAAAGAUUUAUAUUGAAAAUGUAAUGAUUUUUUAAAUUUGAUUAAAUUUUUUUUAAUUGUUUUAAAGAAUAAAAUUCUAUUUAUGACCAAAAAUAGUUUUUUUUAACUUACUUUUAAAAAACGCCAUCUCCCCUUUUUUCUUUGUUCACUUCAAGUGGGUUUUUAUCGUGCUCAGACAUUAUCUCACAAUAUAAUAAUUGAUGUUGGAAUGAGUGUUUGAUAAAUUAGUGUAGACCCCCCCUGAGGCUGCGAAGCAGGGAGGAGUUUCUUUGCUUUUUUCUUUUUUUUUUCUCAGGCGGCUGAUGGGAAGUUGGCUCGGGCAGAGAAGUGCGGCUGAUGGGAGAGGCAGCAGAGAGGCUUGCGGGGGAAGCCAAAGAAAAAGAAGAGGAGAAAAGGAAGAGGGAAAAGAGGAUCAAGAAAGAAAAGGAAGCAGAGGACAUCACUUUCAGUUGGAGGGCUCAGGUAUGGCCAUCUCCUCAAUUUUGGGUCUUUCUUUUUUGCUAUUUUUACUCAGUUCAUGUUGUGAAUCUAUUCUUCUCUGUCAUUGGGCUUGUUGAUUAUUGCUUUGGCACCUUUCUCUCCGAACCUCAUGCUCGUCCCUGCCUCACCCACGUCCCAUGCAUGGCCGUCACCCUCACCUAUCUUCCUCAUCACCUCUUUCUCCCUCUAAUCGUCGUACCCGACUCCACAAGGACACCCAAAGUCGCUCUUCUGCACACAUGGAGUCCAAGCAAGCCUGCUGCCCCUCCCCGCAUCUCUUUGUUGUGCGCACCGCGCCGGCGAGGCGCUUGCUCGUCUCACCAGCCGCUUGCUCGCCGCUAGCCGCCAUCACCCGCUCCGGUUACGCGCACAUCUGCUCUUGCUCCGGGACCACGCCGCCGCUGCCAUCGCUCCGGGACUACGCCGCCGCUGCCAUUGCCCGCGACAGCGCCGCCACUGCCAUUGCCCGCGGCAGCGCCACCGCUGCCAUAGCCCGCGGCAGCGCCGCCGUCUUCGCCUGGAAGGGCGAGAUCCUCCCGAGGCCCAGGAGCUGUCCACCAAGCCUGGAGAAUCCGUGGCCCCGAGCACCGUCGCCGCUGCCGCCGCGGGGAGGUGACGAAGGUGCAGCAGCCAGACGCCAGGGGGGGGGGGGGAGGGAAGCUAGGAAGAAGGUGAAGUCUUGGUUUUUGGGCUUGGGCUAAGGCUAGGCCCAGUUUUGUGUUUGGUUUUGGCUUUGGGGCUCAGGCUUGAGUUGGAGGCACUAGGCCCAGAUUUGUGAUGGGUGUUUGCAUUGGGUUUGCUUAUGAAGGCUUUGGGCUUGGGUUUGAAUUUGGAGCCCAGGCCCAAGCCUAUGCUGAAGAUGGGGCCUUUGUCUUGAGCCCAUUUCUAUUAUUAUUAUUAUUAAUUAUUAUUAUCAUUGCUAUUAUUAUUAUUAUUAUUAUUGUUAUUAUUAUUGUUACUAUUAUUAUUAAUUAUUAUUAUCAUUAUAUUUAUCAUCAUUGUUAUUAUUAUUAUUAUUAUUAUUAAUUAUUAUUAUCAUUGUUAUUAUCAUUAUUAUCAAUUUAUAUUUAUCAUCAUUGUUAUUGUUAUUAUUAUUAUUAUUAUUAAUUAUUAUUAUCAUUGUUAUUAUCAUUAUUAUCAAUUUUUAUUAUCAUUGUUAUUAUUGUUAUUAUUAUUGUUAUCAUUGUUGCUAGUAUUACUAUUGUUAUUAUCAUUAUUCUUGUCAUUAUUAUUAUUAUUAUCAUUAUUAUCAAUUCACACUUUCAACAUCUAUUUAUUAUUAUUAUUAUCACCAUUAAUCCAAACUUUCAAAAAUCUCAUCAUUAUUAUUACCAUUAAUUCAACUUUCAAAAUCUAUUUAUUAUUGUUUAUUAUUAUCAUUAAUCCAAACCUCCAAAAUCUCAUCAUUAUCAUUAUUAUUAAUUCACACUAUCAACAUCUAUUUAUUACUAUUAUUAUUAUCAUCAUUAAUCCAAACUUUCAAAAACCUUAUUAUUAUCAUUGUUAUUAAUUCACACUUUCAUCACCUAUUUACUAUUAUUCUUAUCAUCAUCAAUCCAAACUUUUCAAAAAUCUCAUUAUUAUUAUUAUUAUUAACUCAACUUUCAAAUUUAUUAUUAUCAUUAAUCCAAACUUUUCAAAAAUCUCAUUAUUAUUAUUAUUAUUAACUCAACUUUCAAAACCCAUUUAUUAUUAUCAUUAAUCCAAACUUCCAUAAUCUUAUUAUUAUUAUUAUUAUUAACUCAACUUUCAUCACUCAUCUAUCAUUAAUCCAAACUUUCAAAAACCUUAUUAUUAUCAUUGUUAUUAAUUCACACUUUCAUCACUUAUUUACUAUUAUUCUUAUCAUCAUCAAUCCAAACUUUUCAAAAUUCUCAUUAUUAUUAUUAUUAUUAAUUCAACUUUCAAAACCUUAUUAUUAUUAUUAUUAUUAUUAUUCAAAAAUCUUAUUAUUAUUAUUAUUAUUAUUGUUGUUGUUAUUAUUAUUAUUAAUUCAACUUUCAAAAUCUUGUUAUCAUUAUUAUUAUUAUUAUUAUUUCGAAACCUCCUUGUUAUUAUUUUCAUUAUUAUUAUUAUUAUUAUUAUUAAAAAUCUAUAUCCUUGUAAUUUAAUUUCCUAAAGUUCGUUUCUUAUUAUUAUUAUCAUUAUUAAAAAUCUAUACUCUAGCCGUUCAAUUUCCUGAAGUUCAUUUCUUAUUACUAUUAUUCAAAAAUCUUAUUAUUAUUAUUAUCAAAAAUCUAUAUUCUAGCAGUUCAAUUUCCUAAAGUUCGUUUCUCAUUUUCUUUAACAAAUUUCGAUUUAAUCACCGGAGCUCUAAUCUUCAAAAUUUAAUUCCAAAUACUCCAAUUUUCAAAUAAGCUCCAAUAAUCCAGUUUUCACUCGAAUAGUUUUUAAUCACAUUUCAGUUCCUAAAUAAUCUUCUGAUCUUCUUGACUUUACAUAAGCAAUAGUGAUUCCUUCAUAAUUCCAAAACACGGGAUUUGUGGGAUUAGCUCAUGAACAAUAAAUCGAGCUUUGUUGGGGGCCCUAUGUUUGACCCCUUUUGACUGUCAAUUAUCGUGCUUACUGUAUUUUGCUUGAGCUUCGCUUUGCACUCCGAUAUGUAUGAGCUAUGUUUUGUAUUCAUUAAUUGUGCACUAAUCCCGUUUCUUGAUAGCGCGUUGUUGUUUGCUGCCCAGGUACGCAUUCACUCAUUCUGAUCAUUCACUAUACAUGUUCUGAUUCUCAUAUAUGCAUGAUUGAUGUGAGUAUCCAUUGACUUUCUUAUUCGAUUGCCACGUCAGUUUCACUUUAUUAGUAGAGACCCGACUUUAGGGACUUAGAGGGGUGCUACAGUCUCUACCGUACCUUCCCAAUAAGUAACCUGACCCCCGAACCUGAUCCGGUUUUUUCACAAACCACAUUUUCCAAAACAAGGAGUCACACUUAGGGUUUUUCUUUCUUAUUUUGUUUACCCUUUAAAAAUAAAAAUAAAACAAAAAUAAGUGGCGACUCCAAGUCAAUUUUUCUUAAUCAAUAAAGAUCAAUUUGAAUUUCAAAUUAAAAUCGAGCUUGCCAUCGAGUGGGAAACGCAUUGAGCCGAAAUGCGGGGUCCACAAUUAGUUUAAUGACUUAUUUAAUAAUUUAAUUUAAAUUAUUAAGUAAAUUAAGCAUAUUUAAUAAAUUAAUUUAAUAAUAUAACUUAAAAUAAAAAAAUAAAUUUAAAUAAUAAAUAAAAAUGAUUAAUUUAUUUUUAAGUCUAUAUCUUUAUUUUAUUUUUAAAAUUUUAUUUAUUAUAGUUAUCAUCACGAUCAAUUCUAAUAUUUUAUGACCUUUAUUGUUAUUUGACUUUUUUUAUUAUAAUUAUAAUUUAUGAAGAUAAAAAUAUUAAUUUGAAAAUUUAAGAUAAAUUUUAAGUUAAUUUUAUAAAAAAAAACUUUAAUACUUUAAAGUAAAAAUUAAGAAAAAAAAAAAGUUUUAAGUUAAUAUUUUAAAUAUAGAUUAAUUUAAAAUUAGGUUAAGUGAUUAAAUAAUAAAUAUUAAGUUUUUAGGAAAUAGCCUGGAAUUGUAGUGGUCCCUCGUGGAUAAAGAAAUAGGCCAAGUUGAAAUAUGGGACAAAGACUUAUGAGGUCUAAGUGGGAAUAUUCGUGGGGAGAUUCCAAUCAUUCCAUUGGGUGGAUGAGAAAAGGAGACAACCUCACAUUGGAUUUUGUCGUUUUGAAACUAUUCAAGCUCACGCUACUCCCAUCAACCAUGUGGCCUGAGUAAGGGUCUCCAACGGCCGGGCCGGGCCGGGCCGAGCUAAAAUGCUAGGCCCGCGGCCCGGCCUAUGAGCCCGCGGGCUAGCGGGCUGGCGGGCUGGGCGGGCCGGGCCGACGGGCCGGGCCGCGGGCUUUUUUAAAUAAGCCAAAAUGGCUUUUAAAUAAAGGAAGGAAGAGGGGGGGAUUCGAACCCCUCCCCUCAAGCUUAAAUUUCAAGGCUCUAACCAACUGAGCUACAUUUCUUUUGUGCUUAUUAAAUGAGUUAAUUAUAUAUAUAUAAAAAUAUAGUAUAUUAUUUUUUUUAAAAAAAUUAAAGGCGGGCCUAAGGGCGGGCCUACGGGCCAAGGCUACGGGCCGGGCCUAAAUUUAGGCCCGCGGCCCGGCCCGCCCAUAAACGGGCUCGGGCCGGGCUUGGGCCCAGCGGGCUUAGGCCGGGCUUUAGCCCGUCGGGCCGGGCCGGGCCUAAAGCGGACCGCGGGCUUUUUGGAGACCCCUAGGCCUGAGCAUGGUGUUUCCUAUAAUUGAGGUGACUCAAUAAUUAUUUCACCAAAUUCUGAUGGUGGCUGCCAGCUCUAAAAGCCAAGUCACCCACAAUUAAUUAUAAAAUUAAAGAGAUGGAAAUUCAUUCUCAUAAAGCAAUCCACGUGUCAACUCUGAUCUUUCUCCGACCGGCUUCCUACUUCUCUCUCAUUCUCUCUCUUCAUUCACCUUACCUGUCUCCCAUGGUGGGACCAUGUAAAUUAUUUCCUAACCACAAACGUGCUAAUAUUUCCACUAAUUAUUUUUCUCCCAAAAACCACACCUAGUAAAUUAAAUAUUGAAAAUCAAUAAUUAAAAAUUAUUAUUAUUAUAUUUUUUAAUAAAUAUUUUUUAAAUACCUCAUAAUUUUUUUUUCAAACUUACAAAAUAUAUAAUAAAUAUUUUUUAAACACCUUAAAAAAUGUUAUUAUUCUUUUUUUAUCUAAUAUAUAUACAUAUAUACACACACGUAAAAGCUAAUUUUUAUAUAAAUAUAUUUCAGGUUAUGGAUAAUUAUUUGAAUAUUUUCUCUAUUUUAUGAAUAAUACAGAGAUUGUCUUAAUAUAUUAUUUUGUAGCAUGAUCAUCUGGUGAUAAUUUUAAAUUUUAAAUGUAUUAUAAUUUAAUAAUUUGAAAAAUAUUAUAAUACUCUUUUAAAUCUAAAAUAAAUGUGAACUUGGCAUUGUUUAAAUUAUUAAAAUACAAUGUCAUCAAGUCAAACAAAUGUAUCAUAUUAAAAUAUGUGCAUGUAAUUAUAUCAUAAAUUUCUCUUAUUUUUUUCCUCAUACAUGAUAUCUUUUGUAUAAAGUUUUAUAAAUGAAAAAUGACAAAAUCUUUUGUUACAUAAAGAGGUUUAGAAACACAUUAAAAUAAAAAAGAGAAUAUAAUGGAGUACAAAUUAGAUGAAAAUCACCUUAAAUAGGGAUAUAAUAUAAAACAUGAAAAUAUAAGAAAAAAACAAGUUGAGAUGAAAUUUAAGAUAAAGAAUCAAAGAAAAUAAAUUAUAAAUAAUCUAUUUAUAAAUAUGAAAAUAUUUUAGUUGGAUAUUUAAAAUUAAAACUCACCAUCCAUCCUCUUUCUCUCUUUUUCUUUUUCUUAUUUUAAUAAAUUUUCAAUUAAUUCAAAUCGCUAAAAAAAUUCAUUAAUAAACAAAUUUACAACAUUUCAUAUAGCUUAUUACCAAAAGUCUAUAUUUUAAAAAUUAUUAAAAUAAGAAAGGAAGAAGAUUAAAAAUAAAAUAAACUUUUUAUUCUAUAAUAGUAAAAAUAAAUAAAUUUUAAAAUAUUUUUUAGUAUAAAAGAAAAAAAAGUAGUAAAUAUAUUUAUUUUAAAUAGUAUUUUAAUCAUUAAAUUAUUUACUUAUAAAAUUUAAAAGAUAAUUUUUAUUCAUUUAAAUUAAUAUUUUUUUCAAAAGUAUUUUUUAAAAUAGUUUUUGAAUUAUUAAUAUAAUUUUUGUUUAUUUAUAAUUUAAAAAUAGAAAAUAAUGUCGAUUUUUUAAUUAUUUUAAAAAGAGUUUAAAAAAAUAUUGAAAAAUAAAAAAAAAUUAAAUAAAAGAGAAUUUUAUAAAAGUGGGUGUGAAGAAUGAUGGUAUAAAAAUAAUGGGUUUAAGUCAGGGAUAUUUUUGUCCAUUCCUACCUCAAAUCCUUUUUAUUUGGAGUACUUUUUAUCAAUUAUCAAGUGCGAUAUAAUGCACAAUUCUCCAAAAAAAAAUCAGACCCAUUGACAGCCUGUCGCCUCCUAUUUUGAAUUGUUUUCCGUCUACUUCAAUUUUGAGUUGAAAACUAGGAAGAAAGAGGUGAAACUUUACAAUCACAUGUCAUGUCAUUUUCAAACUAUCUUGAUCCCACCACCUAUUGACAGCCUGUUGCCUCCCAUUUUGAAUGGUUGUUCGUCUUACUUCCUUUUUCUAUUUUAUUUUUUUUAUUCAGGUCAAGGACAAGGAAUCUUUACUGUUUCGAGCCUAGUUGUAUACUUGCUGAGAGCUUUAUGUCGAGCCGGUUCUAUUUUUUUUUAUAUAUACUUUUUUUGCUUUGAAUAAUUAUUAUCUUAUAAUAAAUGUUUUUUGUACUUUUUGUAAGUAAUUUUCAAAAUUUUCUUGUAGUAAUCAAAAUUAUUAUAUUUUUAUUUUUCUAAUCAUAUAAAUAUUUAUAUAUCAUUUUAUCAUAAAUGUCUAUCUAUUUUUUUUUUGGAAAAAGUAUCGGUUUAUCAUAAUUUAUCCCUUUUACAAUGAAUUUUUAUGUUUUUCUUAAUAAUUUAUUAAUAUUAAAAACGUUUUUAUGUUAUAUGAUGUAUUAUAAAAAAUACUAUCAAAAUCACUUUCACUAAUCUUGUAAAAGUGUUACCGAUAAAAACACUAUAAAUUAAAAGUACUUUUAUGAUAAUCACUAUUAAAUAUAUGAUUUGAAUAUGGUAGUAAUUUUAGAAAGUGUUUAUAAUAUUUUUAGUAUUUGAAUAAUUUCAUUUUUCUAACAUGAAAAAAUUAGAAAUACUUUCUUAAAUCAAUCUCAAAUACAUUGUUAUUUUGACAAUAUUUUCAAAAACAAAUGUUAAAUAUAACAUUUAUUUGAUAAUUGUUUUCAAAAACAAUUUUCUAUUAUAAAAAAAAAAACAACAAAAAAAUACAUUUGAUAAUUAAAAAUUAUUUUCUAUUUUACCUUCUUAAGAAUAAAAAAUAAAAUAUUUUUGGAUAACAUCUUGUAAUUGUUUUCUAUUGUUUUCAUUUAUUUUUGGACAAUUGUUUAAAAAAAUAAUCAUACAAGCAUAUAAAAUGACUAAAAAUAAAGUUCUAUUUUAAAAAUAUAUUAAAAACAAGUAAAAAAUAAUAAAAGUGAAAAAUUAGUAUUUGUUUGCAUCCAUUUUGUAAAGAUUUAUAUUGAAAAUGUAAUGAUUUUUAAAAUAUGAUUAAAAAAAUUAAGAAAUAAUUUUUUAUUAUUUCAAAUUUUAAAAUUUCAAAGUGAUUUUUAAGAAUAUAAGAUAAAUCUAGUUUUCUUUCUUUCUUUUUAUUUUUAUUUUUUUUAUAAGAAACUUUAUUUUUAAUAUGGAAGUUUCUAUUCUUAAAAAUAAAGAAGACGUGUAAUGUACCAAGCAGGCCAUGGGAGACUUUCUUUCAUAUUUUGAUGGUUAUGCUAAUAAUUGUCAAUCCCUGGACUUCAAGAUGAAAGAUUAGUACUCUUUGAUAAUGUUUUUAAAAUUUUAAUUGUUUUAAAGAAUAAAAUUCUGUUUAUGACCUUAAUUAUAAAAAAAAUGGUUUUUUAACUUAAUUUUUUAAUAAAAAUAUUGUAUAUUUAUAUAUAUUUUAAAAGUUGUCAUUUUAUUUAUUAUAUUUUUAAUUGGAAAUAAGUUUGGGUAUUCAAGUAGGUUGACCAGACCUAAUCCAAUUAAAAAAUAAUAAUAACGAAAAGAACCGUUUCUGAAAAUAUUUUAUGCCUUUAAAAAAAUAUAAUUUUUGAAAUGUCAUCUCUUUUUUUUCUUUGUCCACUUCAAGUGGGCUUUUAUAGUGCAGAUAUUAAGUAUAGGUUAUAAUUUAUUUUGAUUAUAAUUUAUGAAAAUAAAAAUAUUAAUUUAAUGAUUUAAAAUAAAUUUUAAAUUAAUUUUAUAAAAAAAUUUUAAUACUUAAAAGUAAAAAUUAAGAAAAAAAAAAUUUAAACCAAUAUUUUAAGUAUAGAUUAAUUUAAAGUUAGGUAAAGUGAUUAAAUAAUAAAUAUUAAGUUUUUAGGAAAUAGCCUGGAAUUAUAGUGGUCCCUCGUGGAUAAAGAAAUAGGAGGCCAAGUUGAAAUAUGGGACAAAGAUUUAUGAGGUCUAAGUGGGAAUAUUCGUGUGGAGAUUCCAAUCAUUCCAUUGGGUGGAUGAGAAAAGGAGACAUCCUCACAUUGGAUUUUGUCGUAUUGAAACUAUUCACACUCACGCUACUCCCAUCAACCAUGUGACCUGAGCUUGGUGUUUCCUAUAAUUGAGGUCUCAUUUCCUUAAUAAUUACUUCACCAAAUUCUGAUGGUGGUUGGCAGCUCUAUCCGCCAAGUCACCCACAAUUAAUUAUAAAAUUAAAGAAAUGGAAAUCCACUCUCAUAAACGAUCCACGUGUCAACUCUCCUUUUGUGUCGACCGCCUGAUGAAUUUCCAGACCCUCAAAACACACGUGGAAGUUUUCGAGUUUGAAUAGUUUCAAUACGACAAAAUCCAAUGUGAGGCUGUCUCCUUUUCUCAUCCACCCAAUGGAAUGAUUGGAAUCUCCACAUGAAUAUUCCCACGAGAAAGAGUCCUAGGAAUAGACCCUUAUGCCAAUCAUGGGCUAAACCCGAAACUUAGACAAUCAGUUAUAUACGAUUCAACGGAAAUUCAACAAGAUAACCCCGAAACGAGGCAACCCCUCCAUGGUGAAAACUCUGACCCCAGCAUCCGACAUUAAGGUACAGUGAGGAUGAGAGAAUAAAUCAGUUUUUUUCAAUCAAACCAAACAGUUAUCCAUUUAAUUUAUAUAUUAUUAAAGCUAAAAAUAAUUAUAGGAAGCUAAAAUUUAUAUAAUAUAUAAACAAAUUUAAAUUAAUAAAUUUAUUUUUAUAUUAUUAAAUUAAAUCACACAUAAUUAUAAAUAUAUUAAUAUUUAUAAUUUAUUAAAUAAAAUUUAUAUAAUAUGUAAAUGUGAAAAUAAAAAAUUAUUAUUUAAUUUUGACUAUGUAUUAGAGGUUGUAUAUCCUAAUUCUAUAAUUUAAAAAAAUUACAUUAUUUUAUUCAUAUUAUUUACAUAUUUAUUAUUAUAAAAUUUUAAGAGAAUCAUUUUUCUAGUUUUUGUUUGUGACAUGUAAUCACUUAGGGGAAUGGUUCCCAUCCAAUGUCUUGAAUUACCAGGUUCAACUCUACUUUGUUUUAUCACUUAAGGACAAACUAAUGUCAUUAAUUUAAAUUAAAAUUUAAACGUAAUAUCAUCUAUCCCUGCGUAGGAAUAAGCUAAGAUAUAAUUAAAAUUAAAACGUAAUAUCAUAUAAUUAAAAUUAAAAUUUAAUUAUAUAAUUAAGCUAAGAUAUAAUUAUAUACUUUAUUUUACUCUGAAAAAUGAUUAUCUUAUCGUAAACAUCAUAAAUGUUUGUUGUACUUUUGUAAGUAAUUUUCAUAUUAAAUAAAUAAACUACUAAAUAGAUAAGUUAACAAAUUUUUUAGAAAUCCUUAAGUGACACAAUCUAUAGAAAAUUAUGAGGACACCAUUUUAUACUUGUUACGUUUUAUUAAAUUUUUUAAAGUUUAUUAAUUUUUAGGUUUUUUCUAUUCGUGAAAAUUUUAAAGGAAAGAAAUAAAGAGUAAAAAUAGGAAUAAAUAAAAAAUAAUAAUUAUUUUUAUAUAUUAUUUCACACAUGUGUAAUUGAAUUUUAACUUUUUAUAUAACAAUUAAAUAAUUCUAAAAUAUAUUAGUUUUUAAUAAAUUUUAAUUGUAUUUAUUUUUCUAUUACAUUUUUUUAUGUUAAAAUCAAAUAUUAAAAAUAUUUUUUAUUGGUUUUCCAAAAGUGUAUUAGAGUGUGUUUGAUAAUAUUUUAAUUUGAAAUGUUUUUAUAGAAGUGUUUUUACAAGAAUAACUUAUUAAAUAUUUCUUUAAAAAAUAUUAUAAGUGAUUUUUUUUAAUAUUAUAAAUGAUUUUUUUAAUUUUUUAAAAGUGUUUCCAAAAUUUUGAAAAAUAUUUAUUUAUUUAUUUAUUUCAAAAACACUUUUUAUGCUAGAAACAUUUUUAUGCUAAAAUAUAAAAUAUAAUUUUUAUUCAUUUAAAUUAAUAUAUUUUUUUCAAAAGUAUUUUUUAAACUAGUUUUUAAAUCAUUAAUAUAAUUUUUGUUUAUUUAUAAUUUAAAAAUAAAAAAUAAUGCCAAAUUUUCAAUUAUUUUUCAAAGAGUUUAAAAAAUAAUAAAAAAUAAUUAAAUAAGGGAGAAUUUUAUAAAAGUGGCAUAAAAAAGAGGGGUAUAAAAACAAAAAUAAUGGGUAGAAGUUAAAGGGGUGUUUUUGUCUAUUCCACACAUAUCCUAUAUCUUGUAAUCAAUAAUGGAUAUUUGAAGGACCUUUUGCCCAAGGUGAUGUAAUGCAAUAUUCUCCCAAAAAUCAGACCAAUAAAUUUUGAGUUGAAAACUGUGAUGAAAGAGGUGAAACUUUACAAUCACAUGUCAUGUCAUUUUCAAACUAUCUUGAUCCCACCCAUUGACAGCCUGUCACCCGCCUACUUAAGAAUAAAAAAUAAAUAAGAUGUAUUAGUUGUUUUCAUUUAUUUUUUGACAGUUAUUUUAAAAAAUAAUUAUAUAAAUAUAUAAAAUAAUUAAAAAUAGAGCUCUAUUUUAAAAAUAUAUUCAAAAAUAUUAAAAAUAAGUUAAAAACAUUUAUAGUUCCAAACAAACUUUUAUUCUACAAAUCAUUAAAAAAUGGUUUUCAAAAAUCAUUUUUUAAAACUAUUUAAAAAAAAACAGUUAUCAAACAUUACUAUAAUUUUUAAGAAUGAUUUUUAGAAAUAGUUCUAAAUUUUUUUCAAAAAUAAAAUUAUAUUUCGAAACUCAAAUAUGAAAAAUGAAAUUUUCCCAUCUUGUUUAUGUAUAAUACAAAUAUUUUCAAAAAUAUUUUUAAUAUUAUGAAUUAUUGCCACGAGCAUUCUACAAAGCAAUUAAAAAUAUCUAAAAUCUAUUCUAAAAAACAACUUAUUUUUAAAGAAAUUCUCAAAAAAUUAUUUUUUAUCAAAAGUUUAUCAAAUAUGUGUUUUUGAAUUAAAAAAUUGUUUUCAGGAAUAGUUUUCAAACUACACCUUAAUAUUUAAAUAUAAAUAAAAAAUUGUUAUGAUAAUAUUUUUUAUCGUGUAUUAUAAAAUAAAAUAAAUGAUUUUUGAAAGAAUUAUCACUUAAAUAAUUGUUCAAAAUUAUUUUUAAGUGAUUCUUUAGAUUUUAAAGAAAUGUUUAAUAAUUUAUCAAAUAUGUACUUUUUUGGCAGGAAUGUGCUUUCAAGCAUUAAAGUCGCUUUUAAUUGAUUUCAAUAUCAGUCCUAAGCGAUAAAAUAAUUUUGGGCCCCCCGAAUUUAAGUUUGAAUUAUUGGUGGAUCUUUCAUGUUGGCGGUAACAAAAAUGAAGUGUAUGGUUGGGCGGUGAAUAUUUAGAAGCAAAAAUAAACUAAACCAAGCGUGUGUUCUGACUCCUGAGUAGAGCGGGUGUCCUCAUACAUGUGGUCGACCUUACAACGAAAAUGUGGGGUUGAUGUGAUUAAUAUCUAUUAAUUAAUUAUAUUUAAUAAAAUAUUUAGAUAAGUCUUAUCAAUUGCUUAAUACCACGUAAUCCAAUUAUUAUUAUGUUAAAAUUAAAAAAGAAUAAAAGUGAUAAAUUAGUAUCCGUUUGCAUCCAUUUUUUAAAGAUUUAUAUUGAAAAUGUAAUGAUUUUUAAAAUUUGAUUAAAAAAUUAAGAAAUAAAUUUUUUUUAUUAUUUCAAAAUUUAAAAUUUGAAAGUGAUUUUCAAGAAUAUAAGAUAAAUCUAUUUUUUUUUAAAAAAAAAUUGAUUUUUAAUAUGGAAGUAUCUAUUUUUAAAAAUAAAGAUGCAUCUAAAAAUGAAAUAAAAUAAUUUAUAUGUACCUAGUCGUAAUGAGUUCCUAUGUACCUUGUUCUAUAGAUAAGUCUAGCCUCUCAGUGCUAUGGAUCACUCAUUCAUUCUAUGGACUGCAUUUAUGUGCACCUUGAUGUAUAUAGAUAAGUCAAGUCUCUGGGUGUUAUGGAUGGCUCAUUCUAUAGAUAAGUCUAGCCUCUAGGUGCUAUGGAUCACUCAUUCUAUGGAUUGCAUUUAUGUGCACCUCGUUGUAUCUAGAUAAGUCUAGUCUCUGGGUGUUAUGGAUGGCUCAUUCUAUAGAUAAGUCUAGCCUUUAAUGGUUAUGGACCACUCAUUAUGCAUGCAUGUAUGGAUCACUAGUUUUACCUACAUGCAUGCAUUUGUUUGGUCGGAACUAAAACCAAUCAAUCAAUUUCCUCUUUUAAGUUUAACUAAAGUGGCUGUAUUGCUUUGGUUUAUAAAAUAGUCGGAAUUGGAUCAAUCAAACAAUGGGCAUCCCUGGGAAACAUUAUGUUUAUAAACAUGUAAAAUUUUGUUUGAUUACGGUUCUAUCUCUAUAUUUGUAGAUACUUUUAUUAAAAUUUUAGUAUACAUUCUAAAUAAUAUAUAAAUAUAAAAAUUAUUGGUUGAUGUUAAAGGUAGGGGAUACUAAUCCUUUUUACUUGUAUGGUGGACAAAAAUUUGAGUGUCGUUUCAUAUCUUUUAAGUCUAUAUAUAUUUGCCUUUGUUUUAGUUGUGAAGUGUUCAUAUGGAUCUUUUCACACUAAGGCCUGCAAUUAAGAGUAUAAUUAUAUAUUUGACAUGGUUGCAUCUUCCCCAUAGAGGGUGCCAAAGUCAUGUGUCUUUUCUUUUUCUUUUCUCUUCUACAUAUGGUCAUGUCUUUAAUGCCAAGCAAUAGUCUCAAUGUAGUAGCUAGAUCAAAUCUAUGUUUCUCUAUGUUCACGUUCCACCCUUGUUUGCUGCCUAGUAGUUUAUUGAACCGACAAAUUUUGGUUGGAGACUUUAUAGUUGGAGUCAAGAUACCAUAAGGUAUAGCACAAUAACAAUUUAGAAAAAAACUUGUAAAUUUGAGGGGAGUGUUAAAUUGUUUUUUUCAUACAAACAUCUUCAAUUCAAAAUAUCAUUUGUUAACCAUGUAAAAUUAUUUUAUAAUUUAUCCUCUAAUGUAUCAAAUAAUUUUUGAAUUAUUUUACAAUUUACAGUCUCAUAUAUGAAUAGAAUUCAAUUCUUCCUGACAUAUAGUUUUCAUUUGACAAGCUCUAUUUGCAAAUUAUUACUAUUCCAUUAAUAUCAUCAAAUAUACAUACUAUUAUUCUUUUACCCUAUCUCCUCAUCUUGUGAGUAAAAAUUUUAAAUAUAACUGAAUUGUUAAAACUCUAAAUAGUUUAAAUUUAAUAUGUUAGUAUCACUAUCAAGUCUGAAGAUAUCAUAAGCAAUAUUGAAUAUAAAUUUCACAAUUUGUCUAUUUCAUGGUUGAUGACUCUAGCUUGUAGAGUCUAAGCAAAAACACAUCAAACAAAAUUUGAACUCCAUGCAAGGUAUGGAUUCUAACUUUUAUAAUUCUUGGGGUUUAUACUUAUUUAGGGUUUGGGAUUGAUUUUGACAAAAAUAUUUUUAACCUGAGUACUAGCAGUUUUGUUGCUAGUACUCAGCUCUUAAUCUCAAAUUUGAUGGUCCUCAUAUGAUGAGUCUUGUAGAACCUUAAAUUUAUGCUUUAAUUUGAUGCCCUUUUCAUGCCUCAAGCCCGAUUGCUUCAAGCCCAACCAAAUAUAAGCAAUGAUAAAUCCACAAAUAGAGAUUUGCACCAUGAUCCAAGUGGAGAUUCAUAAUGUGACUCAAAUAGUAACCAUCCACAAUUAUGAAGGAAUUUCAACAACUAUGAAUAGUGUAGGAACACUACAACAAAUAAGGGGUUUUUCCAUAAAUUAAUUUAUGGUUAAAAGAGAAUUUUUUUGUAAUAGAAUAUUUUUUUCUAUAAAAAAUUAUUGUUGCAAGUUUGUUGCUAUAAAUCUAUGAGCAAUUAUUUUUAACCAUAAAACUUAAUUUUAUAGCAAUAAUAAAUAAUUUUUCUACAACAAAAUUUGUGGCAACAUAUCACUUUUCACCACAAAAGAAAAUUUGUAGCAACAUGUCAUUUUUUGCCAUAAAACAAGUUUAUAGCAACAUAUCAUUUUUUUAAUGAAAAUAAUCAUGGUAAAAGGUCAAUUUUUUGCUAUAUAUAAAAAAAAAUCAUAGUGAAAAAUUACCCUUUUACCACAAAAUAAAAUUGAUGGUGAAAUAUGUUUUACUGCAAAAAAUUAUUCUUAUGCAUCUCACAUGUUUCAUCUUUAAUUCAUUUCCCUUGCUUCAAUUUUAAAUAUCUUUUCUAAUAAAUUCAAUAUUAACAUUUCAAAUGAAAUGGUUGAUAGAAAACAUUUUCUUGCUCAAUAAUAACUUUCUGAACAAUAGAAACUCUGUAUAGACAAACUAUGGGUAUUUGUUUUCAUUUGAGAACUUUGUCUAUAACCAUAAGAGAGCAGCUACUUCCAAUGUAAACUUUGUCAAAAUCAUUUGAGACCUUUGUAUCUUGAAUUGGACCAUCAACAUGACCUUCUCCUCGCCCCCACUUUCCUCUAGCAAUGUUGUAACCCCUGCAUAAAUAAAAUCCUUGGGUUCAAUACCAAUUUGAUGACUUAGUCCAUCUAUGACACAAAUAGACUGUGCCAUAUAUAUAUAGAGAGAGACAAGGCAUGUGAAAAAAAAAAGAAGGUAAAUAAUGUUAUGAAAGUCAAGGUUAUUAGAUUUCUAAUUGACGAAAAGAGGUGAUAUCUUAAUUAAAAAUUAGUAUCAUGGAUGAUUGAUUGAGAAGAUAGUUGUGUUCAUUAAUUGAGGGAAUGUCUUACACACCUAAAGUUUACUUGCAUCAGUACUGAUUUUCCUGAUAGCCAUAUUCAUAGUGUCUAUAAUGUAAAUAUUUCUUUUCUCAUCCACUGUAAGCCCUUCUGGAUGGUUCAUCCUUGCUUCUCUUAGUUUCCCAUCUACAUGCCUAGAUUACCCUUCAGGCAAGCCAACAACCAGCUUGGGUCUACCAUCUGCAGUUCAUCAAUCAACUUUAAUAUGCAAAAUAGGUAGAACUGUACCAAAACAACUAAGAAACUAAGGAUGUAGAACCAUAAUCAAUAACAUAUAAUCUGACUUGACCUUUUUUGCCUGAACCAUAUAAAACAUAAGCCCAGCUACCAUGGAACUUGAACUGGGUGUUAAGGCAAACUUAUUAAAACCAAGUAAAGACUACAACUUUCUAGAAAGAUGGAACUUGGGUAAUUAAUAAUAGAACUCAACUAGACACACUCAAUUAAUAACAAUUCCUAACCAUUAUAUUAAAAGUAGCUUACAUCGAGUGAGUGGGGAUGAGAUCUUGUAAAUAUUACUGUUUUCAAAGUCCAAAACUAAAAGCUCUCCACUUGGGGAUAUCUCUAGAAAGUAUGGUUCGACUCCGAGCUUACUACCAUCAAACAUGGUUUCCAUGGUAUAUCCAGGCUCAAAAUUCAUCGAGGAACAGCUAGAAAUUUUUGAAAAAUCAAAUCCCAUCAAACCCAUUAACCACAAAAUUGCAAAGAGCAAUGUCCAGCCUAUAGGUAUAAAUAACCACAAGAAGAAAAGGGACAAAGCUAAAUGUGAGAUCACUAAAGGAUAUGUACCUAUAUUGGUGGUAGACUUCAAUGACCAUAGCCACUUCACAAGAGCAGAGGCCACAUUGGACACAAUUCCACUAACAAUUUCUGCCAAAAAAAGAAUAUGAAAAUGAAGGCAGAGUUGAAGAAUAAUGUACAAAUGAAUUCAGAUUUAACUUAUUUUAAAAUGGAUUCUCUAAUGGCCUUUUUUUCUCUCUUCCCAAAAAUCAACCAUUAAUCCAAGUAAUCAAACUCACCAUUCCACCAAAGCAAUUGGAGAAACACCUCGCUACCAAUAGGAGAAAGUUCUUCUAUUGGUAGGGCUUACGCAUCAAACAGCGAAGACUAACCAGGGAUAAAACAUUAUAUAUAUAUAUAUAUAUAUAUAUGUAUAUAUACAUAUUUCAUUAAGAAACCUGAGAAGGGGGUUAUGAAAGAGGCUCAAAUUACCUUAUAGAGUUCAUCUGACAGAAGUCCCACACGGUGAGCAAAUGGAACUCUUGAAUUCAAAUCAUUAAUCUCAUAUAUCACUGGAUUUACCAGUGUAUAUCCCUAGGUUUAAUUGAAAAAAAUAAAUAAAGUCACCCAUGAUAUAUAAAACUUGAGACCAUAAGCCAUCAAUAAUCAAUAGGAAAAAGAAAAAGAAAUGUUAAUGACUCAAUUAAUCAUACCAUGAAUACACUGACCACAGAAAAUAUCCCCUUACUUCCUACAAUGACGUUGAGAUGAAAGGAAUCCCAUAAGGAUAUUAAAUUAAAAGAGAGACAAGCGGCUUAACUUAGGCAAAGCCUAUAGCUAAAAGUCAGAAAAUAAUAAUUAAUAAAAAGAAAAAAAACUUGUCCAAAAUUUAUGAGAAAAUACAAUCAGUACUGGCUUCAUUGAGGACUUAAUAUCUAACAAUAGAAAUCUAAAAAACUAGGGUUAACACACUCAAUAGUCAAUUCUUUCAAAGUUGAAUAUUCAUUCAAAAACAAAAAAACAAACUUGACAUUUAUUUGAAAUAUUUGGGCAAAAUGUCAAAGGCAAGUAUAUAAUGAGAAGCUGAAACACAAAUAGUUGCAUCAAUUUCAAGUCUAAUUUGUCAUUCAGACCAAUGAAAGCAAGCUCAAUGGAGUAACUCCAUGCUCAUAAUUAUGACAAAAUCGUUCAAUAAUCUAAACCAAUUAUAAUAAAAACAUAAUUAAUUGCAAAACUAAUUAUAAUAAAAUAAUAAUUAGUUAUAAAAUUUCAAUCCUUUCAACAAUUAAAAAAGUGAUUCUUAUUUAGGUUCAACUCUCAAGUUGGAGUUCAUCUUUUCGAGAAAAUUUAAUGAAACAAAACUAGUUCUUUGAUUGAGAAAAAUUCAAAACUCAAAUACCAAAAUGCACAAAAUUUCAAAUCAAACCAUGUAAUUGGUUAAUGAGAAAAUGUAGGAAAUGAAAAAGGAACCCUCUUCUCAUCUGAGACUAACCACCUCACUUUCACUUUUCUUUUCUUUUGCUCGAUUUUCUUAGAAACCAAACAAACGGUAAAAGAAAAUACCUUCACAUGGUGGCAGGGUUUGUUGCUGUGAUCGAAGAGCGAAAUCAUUGGAUUCAUUGCCAUAGUAAAAGGGCUACGAGGAGAGCACCGACAACCCAACUCCAUCAACAUCUGUGACUCUUCUCUCUCUGAUUUCACCACCGCCAUGUGUGUAGAAGCGCUAGGUUUCUUGGGAAAACACCUAUGUUUGGUUGCAGAGAAAAAAUUCAAGGAAUAAAAGUAGAUUUGAGUUUACAAUGUUUAACAUUAAAUGAUAUAUGUGUAUAUAUAUUAAAAAAAAUGCUUGAUUAAAUCCAAAAAAUAAUUAUUGAUUUUUCUAAAAUCACAUGACAUGUGAAAAAUAUAUUUGCCACCUGAGAUGCUUAAGACCAUUUUUUCUAAUUAAUUUGUGUGAAAUUAAUAUUAAAGUAACUUAAAUUAGGCUUAAUUUUAAUAUGGUAUAAUUCAAGACAAAAUUUAUGUCAAAAUCUUAUGGAAAAUCAUUUGUCAUGGAUAUAUGAUGUGGUUAAAUAUACUAUUUUUUCAUAAGUACAAAUUUCAUCUUUAAAAAAAUCUUUUUUAUCAUAAAAAAAAUUAAAAAAAAUCAUAUUUUUUCCAUAAAAAUUUAUCUAUGCAUAAAAUUAUGGUAGCAAAAUGUAAAAUUUGUUGUAGUGUAAAUAUCAUACCAUCCAACUAUAUAAACCUAAAAUAUAACCAAAUAGAUUGAGAUAGAGUGAUACAUACUGCAUUAGCAUGGUUAGAAAUUCAGUCACGAUAACAUUCCCAAGAACCAAAAAUGGCGCAAUCAUAAUGUUGAACCAACUCCUAAUUCCACAAUCUCAACCUCAACAUUACCUAAAAAAACGUAAAUAAAUCAUUAUGGACGUUUAAAAAAGUUAAAUAAACAUAUUAAAAUUACUAGUGACUGCAAAUGGUAUAUAUCAUAUAUCAUAUAUUGUAUUUGAUCGAAUUAGAAAAUAAGAAUUUAAGUUUAAUAGUCUAUAAUUAACAAAAUAAUCAAUUCAACAUGAUAAUAACUUAACUGAAUAAGAAUUAUCUCAAAAGAAUUAGUAUUAGCAAUAGAGUUUGGCCAAUCCAAGUCCACAAUUAUCUUGGCCUCCUUACUACAUGACAUCGGGAAUUAACAUCAUACUAUUAAGCAAUCAAUAUAUCUUAGGAUUGGAAGAUAGGACAACAUUUGGCAUAUGGAAAUCAUACAUCUUGCCAUUUAGAAGGUCAGAUGGCAUCCUCAAAUCAGGGAAAUUCACUUGUCUCAGCAUCAAAAGAUCACAAAGCAUCUAACAUUUGAAAGGUGACAAAAGAUCCUAGCAAUAGGUGACCGAUCCUCACCUAGUUUUUCACUCUAUACACAAAUUGCAGAACCCAAUUACUAGUUAAUGGUUUUGUGGUUUCAAGAGAGGUUUUCGAAACUACUUUGUUUUUUUUUUCAAAAUAGAAUAAAAGAACAUUUGAUAAUAUCAUUUCCUUUUAUUAUAGGAUAAUAUUUCAAAAAAUAGUCACAAGCUUUCAUUUUAAUGGUUGCUAAUUGGUAUAACUACAUGUCAAGUAUAAAUUGCACUUGAGGAAUCUAAUAAAAGUCUUGCAUCAUGAAAAUACUUGUAUCACAAUAACUUAAUAUAAUACUAAAAAAAAAUGAUACAACACCCUAGCUUGAUUGCACAUAAAAUAAGUUGCAAGAGCAAUAGCACUAUCUAUUGGCUGGCAAGGAGCAUGGCAACUUAAUAGGGGAUCGAUAUAUCAUUUAAAUAUAGAAAAACAAACAGAAAAUCGAGGAUAGGUAUGAAAAAUCUGAAGACACUGAAAGGUAAAAUUCUUUCAUAUUUGAUGGUCUCUCUAAUAGUCGCACUGUAAUCAUUCAUAGCAAGUAAAGAAAAUAUUAAAUCAUCCUUUGUAACUAAGAUUGGGGAAUCAAUACAUACCAUGUGUCUUUUUAAACAAAUUAUGGAUUGUGGUAUUUAGAUCAUUAUGCCAGUGCCACUCAUCAUCUGCCACUUCUACUCUUUCUAGCUUUGGUGUAGUUACGAGGCUUGGAGAGAAAAUUUUCAUCUUGGGGCAUUCUUCCACCACCAUAUGCUCCAAGGAUGGGAAUGAGAAUAUAUAGCCCCCUGAAUUGAAGCUUGUGAGGUUUGGCAAACAUAGAAGUACCAUGUGUUGUAAUUUGUAGAAAGCAAUCUCAUCGACUGCUUCCCCUCCUUCAUUGGCAACUACUUCUUCCAUCAUAUGCAAUCCACCUAUUUUGAGCUUUCUGAGUUUUACCAGACUUUUAGCUACCGAGGGUGAUAUCAAACUUCUCAGAUUGCUACAAGACCACACAUCUAGAGUAUCCAGAUUUUGGAAAGAUACUGAGCAUGGCACCAAACUUAUCAAACUGUCACAAUUCCACACUUCAAGACUCUCUAGACUUUGCAAAUCAAGGAUUGAUUUGGAGUUUUCCUUCCACAAAUGCGUCAACGCAGGAAGAUCACGCAACCAUAUUUCUCUUAACCGUCCAAGCCUCUGGGCUUGAUUUUCCUCGUCAAGUCCUUCAAGUUGGAAUAUCUCUUUGACUGAACUACAUCUUCUCACAUUUAGUUUUUCCAGAUUAUGUGAUCUUUGAAGCAUAAAGGAAGGAAUCACAACCAAAAUAUCUAUAUAUCCAUAUACUUUCAGAUAUCUUAGUCUAGGAAAGGAAUCCAUUGGAAAUUGCUCUUGCCAUAUUUCGGUAUUCCCGUUGUCAUUCAAUAUUAAUUCCUCCAAGUAAGGCAAUGCAACCUGGGAAAUGGUUCGAAUAAAACGAAUUUGUUCUGUCAGUUAUAACUAGCAUAUAAAUAAGAUAUGCAUAUCUACAAAGAAGUAAUGCUGUUUUAUUUCUCUAAUCCAAGCAAUGAACAUGGAAAAAUUAAUAUAAUAAUAUUUUAUGCUGUUUAUAGAAGAUGCACUGGACAGCAACCUCUCAAUGCCUAAUUAGGAUCAUUUGGCAUUUGAGAAGUUGGCUGGUUAUAUUGAUAGUUUUACAAAUUAAAUAAUUUUUGGACACCAAUAAAAUUUACUAUAAAUUGCAAUAUUGGUUUGUAUCAGAAUCGAUAAAAUGGGCAUUUCUUGUUAACGAAAAAACAGAGUUUACAACUUAAAUAACCCUCUCUCUAUCUAACUACUUCUAACAACAUGUGACAAACAGGUAACAGUGUGUAACAAAUUUCAUGACCAGAUUAGGUCAAAUUUUGACUUAAAAAGGUUCAACUGUGAAUCUAGGAAUUAGGUCAAAUUCUGGAUCAAGUGGGGGCCAACAACCGUGUUUCCAGCAUAUAGUUUUGGUCUCUGCAUCAGAUAAAUUCAAAUUCAAUCGCUAGGUUCUGUGAAGGGAUAUCUAGAAAAAUUAAUGAGCUAAAAUAAUAUCUGAUUGGACAGAUUUUAUAAACAUAUCUGGAGGUUUACAAAGUUGAAAUAAUUACGAGUGCAUUGUCCAUAAAGGCAAGGGGGGAAUCCAAUGCAUUGUCCGCUGAGCAAACUAAUUACGAGUGCCACAAUAACAUGAGAAUUUAAUGUACGAUUUAUCAAAACUUGGCAAUUAUGAAACUUGAUGAGGUGAACCAAAUCCAUAAAGGUUUAGGACCUUACCUGUUGGAGCAAGAAAAGGGGCUGGAGACUCGGCAUAUCAAAACUUCCCUCGUGAUGUCUUCGUUGGAAUGUUGGAGUUUCGGAUGCAAAUACAUUGACUUUAUCACACGCACGCACUAUCAGUUCUUUCAACAAUGGCCACUGUGAAGUAUGUGCCCCUGGGUAGAAACUCCUGAGUUGAUGUAGAUUGACGAGAAUGAGAGAGGUUACUUUAGGGAAUACAAACUUAGCUGCUGUCUCGGCUUCAUUGUCCUUUGCAACAAUUUCCUCUAUCCCACAAGAACGCAACUCCAGUUUCUCAAGUUGCACAAGAUCUUUGACUAAAGAUGCUGGAAAAAGGUUUUUCAGACUCUGACAUUUAUCAAUAAAUAUUGAUUUUAAGUUUUGAAAAUUGAGAAUUCCAUGGGGAUCCUUAUUCCAUAUCUUUUCAACUUUUGGCAGCAAUCGUAGAAUCAAUUGACUCAACUGGGUGACAGUUACACCUUCCUUCACAUUUACAUUCACAUUUGUCCCUUCCACAUCAAAAACCUCUUCUAAUAAACUACAAUCCACUACUUCCAUAAGCCGUAGACUCUGUGACCUUUUCAGCACACAAGAUGGAAAAAUAUUCAACAAUUCUCCACAUGAUGCUACCUUCACCACUUCUAGUUUGGAGAAGGAAUCUUGAGGAAUUUGGUUGUGCCAUAUUUUUUUCACAUUAUCCAGUCCCGAGAUGAUUAAGAACUUCAAGCUAGGAAAUGCAACCUGCAGAGUUCAUCCCACCAUUUUGUUAUUUAUAUAUUUUAAAGAACUAAAAAAAGAAAAUUAUCCAUGUCUAGAACCAGCUAGAAUUAGGGACCUCAAAAGAAAAACACAAUAAACUGCAUCUUAAAGAAGGGUGGAGGAAAAUGUACAUGCUUAAACAAGUUGAAUUUCAUCGUUUAAAACUGUAAGAAUUUGUAAGGAAAAAAUCAGUCAAGAAAUAGCAGAGUUCUCGUGGAAUUCAUUUUAAUACAACUAUUAUACAUUUGAAAUGUUCCAAAAGACUCGUUUGUUUGGUUUUUUUUUUCUCCAAUUUUUUAUUUAAUUGUUAAAACAAAUUACUUUAAGCCUUAAAUAUUUUGAUUGAUUCUUAUCUAAUUGUCUUAAAAAAAAUUAAACCACCACCGUGUAAUUUGGAUGAGAAUGAAUUCAUUAUAAAUUACAAAAAAUUAUCAUAAAAAAAAUAUGACUUAAAUAAUUUUUAUUUGUCUAUAAAAAAUUCCUUUAUCUACAUAAUAAAUUAAUAAAAAAUAAAUCCAUGAAAUUCUAAAUCAAACUAAAAUUCUAUACAUUUAUCACACAACAAAAUAAAAAUAAACUACCACUAAUUCUAAUAUAAAUUUUUUAAUUAAAAAAACCCAAAACGUUAUUCACAUUCAUCUAAAUAUUCAUUAGAGUAAAUAAUUCAAUGAGUUUUGUAAUUCAAAAAAUAGAAUUUGAUAUUCUUUCCCAAAUUAAAAAUAUAAAAGUUAAUGAAUUGAUUUCAAUAAUCAAACAUAUACUUCAAUUAUAAACCCAUUAUCCAAAGAUAUGUACACUAUAUAGAAGUGUUAACUUAGAAAAUUUUCUAACAGUUUUUUACUAAUCAAGUAUAAUUAGAAAUCAUUUUUAUUAUUCCAAUACAAAUGUUCAUAAUAAUCAUAUAAUUAAUUAUUAUAAAACUUUUAUAAUAUUAAUAAUUCAAAUAUUUUAGGAUAUUUGAAUAUAAUUUUUUCAAAUUAGAGUUAGAAGAAAUAUCAUAAUUAAUUUCAUAAAUAUUUUAAGAUAUACGAACUACAUUCUACGUCCAACAUUCAAACCUGUAUAAAAACAAAUAAAUUAAACAUUUAAUUAUAUUAAACUCUAUUAUUAAUAGUUAAGUUAAAUUUAGGUGGAAAAAAAAAAGAGAGAGAAACAAGAACCAGCUCAAUCUAAAUUUUCUUUAUUUUCCUCCAAUAAUUUGAUUGAUAACAAUGUUAAAAGGAAAAUUAAAAUCAUAAGAAUUAAAAAGAGAAGGAUUCUGAGAGAUAAACUGACCCUUUCAUCAAAGAGCACCGGGAAGGGGGUAUCAAGGUCUGCAUGGUGAAGCCUUUGGAGGGAAUGAUAUCCAGGGGAGACGAAGCUUGUGAGGUUGGGCAAAGAUUCCAGUUUAAUAUCGCUUAAUUUAGGGAAUAUGAUAUUGCCUACAGGAGCAGAAGCCAUGGAAGAAGGGAAAUGAUUUCUGGAGCUGCCACAGUUGCAUAUAUGCCUCAACUUUGGUAGACCAGACAACCUCAGUUCUUUUAAUUUAGGGAGGAGCUCAACAUGCCCAUCAUCAACAUUUAGCUCUUCAAGAUCAAAUACGUGUUCCAGCUGACCACAGUUUUCCACUAUUAGUUCUUCCAAAUUCUGUAACAAACUGGGUGGGAAUAGCUUCAAUAGUGACAUGCAAUUCUUCAACUUGAGAGACCGGAGGUUGCCGCCCAAGGAAAGCAGAAGUUGGCCAUCCCUAAUCUCCUGUAACAUGAGAACCUCUGAGAGCGUUGAAUACAACAUAGAUGUAUUACAGAUAUUAACAUAGAGUGAAAAUAAAAGCAUGAUGAUAAUAUGUUUGUCAAAUUAAAAAAUCAGUCUAUUAAUUGUGUUCAGUCAAUGCUCUGUUUUGACUGGUGACGUUUUAUCUUUGCUGGUAAAGUCUCAUCAGAUGGGUUUUGGGAUCGAUUUAAAUGAGGGGAUUCUUGCUGACUCAAAUCAAUUAAUGAGGAGCUAGUCUCCAAGUAUUUGAAUUGAAGUGAUUAAAAAAGCAUUGACUAGAUAGAAAGGAUUAUCAAGGUUUGACAUACCGGUUGGUUGAGAGGUGGUGUACUAGGACCAACAAUUGUGCUUGCAGGCUUGGAAAGCACUGGGUUCUCCUCAAAGCAGAAAUUACUGAGCUUGGGUAAGUCCUCUAAUGUCAAGUAUCUCAAUUCAGGGAAUAGAGGCACAUUAACAGCAUCUUCUUUUAUUUCUUUCCUUCCUUGGGAAACCAUCUCAACCAUACUCUUGCAUCUGGUUACUUUUGUUUCUUCAAGUCGGGAAAGGCCUCUAGCCACAGACAACGAGAAGAGAAAUUUCAAGCCAUCACAAUCUUCCACUUCCACUUUUCUCAAGCAACCUAAGGACCCUGCUGGAAAUUGGCCAUGGCAUACUUCUUGCAAGUUAAUCAGCUGAUUGAGAGACAAGGUCUCCAUAACAGGAAAGGCACCAUGUGAUGAAGUCAGAUCCAUCGAGUUCACAAUAUAUUGAAUCUCUGGACUGCUUUCAACAUUAAGAUGCUUUAAUUUAAGAAAACCCUCCCUAUUUAAUUUGGAAAGAACAUUAGUACCACCACACAAUUCACGCAAGUGUAGAUCUUCAGUUCUCUUCAACAACUUGCUGAUACCAUCCACCAGAUGAAGGCUUGUGUCGAACUUGUUGAGCUUCAAUGUACUAUUGGCUUCAAAAAUUUCUUCCCAGCUCCAGACAUCACCUACUAAUAUUCUAUAUCUCACCAAGUUUUCAAAGACUAUGUCUUUUGGCAGCAACUUGGCAUCUGGUAUUUGUAUGUCCAAAAAGGUUAAGUGAGACAAAUGUUUCAACUCAGCAAGGCAAGCAUUACUCUUUCCUUCCCCCUCCCAUUGAGUAAAGCUAUUUUCCAUACACAAAUCCUCUAAUCGGAACAAGCUUGAUAUGACACCUGACGGAAUUACUUUUAUCGUGGAAGAAUCGCUCAAAUCUAACAGCCUUAGAUGAGUCAACUGUGCUAUUUCUCUGGGCAACUGUUCCAUAUCAGAACUCAUAAGGCUAAGAAUUUCUAAUUUCUUUAGCUCUGCAAUUAUAACAAUGUCUCCCAACUUGCAUCCAUCCAAACACAAUGUUCGAAGAUUUGCAAGGCACUGAAUUGAUAAGGGCAGCGAUGGAAGUUGCAUUCUAGAAAAAUCUAAUACUUUGAGUUGUUUCAUCCCUUCAAAAAAUGUGUUUGGGAUUUUCACUGCCGAGUGGGUCUUUAGAAAACAUUCAAAAAAUUCAAGUUUUGGACAUACCAACCCUUCUGGAAGUUCAUGAAUAUCACAGUCAUGCAGUUUUACCCAGGUGACCUGGAGUUCAUCUAUCCUUGACCAUUCUUCCACUCUUACGGUAGUCUUCUGGUGUGUAAACACAUGACGUUGCUCGGAUGCAAUUUUUCUGGCAGUACUCCGAACAAGAUCAUGCAUUCUAACAUAUGCAUUAUGGUCAGUUUCUAGUAAAAAAUUUGAGGAUUUGAGGUUGUCAACCAAUGUAUCUAUUCUAUUUUUCGCCUCUUCCAAUGUAUUAGUUCCUUGAAAUAAUCGCAGACCCACACCAUAUUUCAACAAGUCCCCAAUAUGGAUAUCACUAGAAAAUAGGCCACAAAGCAAGCACAAUGACUUCACUUCAUCUCCCUCCAAGUGUUCGUAGCUCAACUUCAGACUUGAGUAUACCUUUGUCUCCAUUCCUGUUAUGUUUGUCGAGGUUUGCGAUUUCAGUUGUUGCAGGGCAUCCUUCCAAAUGGACACAUUCUUGUUUUUCAAUGCCUUCGCCACAGUUACUAUUGCAAUUGGCAAACCCGCGCAUUCUUUUGCUACAUCAACAGCUAUAGGUUGCAACUCUGGAUUUUUAAUGGAAUCGCCAGCUGUGUUCUUAAAUAAAAUCCAUGUUUCAUCUUCUUGCAAAUGUUGAACUCGAAAAUCUUUUUGAGUACUCAUCUCAUUCGACAAGACCUGUUUAUUUCUAGAAGUUAGCACUAAUUUGCAUCCCUUGUGAUCAUCUGGCGAAGGAAUUCCUACUUUCUCCAACUCAAGUUCGGCCCAAAGAUCAUCCAAGAUGAUGAGGAUGGUAUUCUCUUGCUUGAUCCUCUGAUGUAGUCGAUCUGCUCGUCCCUGUUCACUCACUUCCUCAAAUUUCAUACCUAGCUUGUCUGCAAUUUGUUGUUGAAUUCCUUUGAAGUCUGGAGUCUGGAACACAGGUACCAUGACCACCUUGCGGAAUAACUUCUCUUGUUCGGCUUGUUCAGCCACUUGUUUCACCAGCGUGGACUUCCCGACACCACCCAACCCCCAUACCCCGAUCCUAUUGAUAUUGGCAUCCCUUAAGGCCUCCAUGACUUCAUUCAAAGUCAACAUUCUUGAUUGUAGAGCUUCGGAAGGUGCAGACCUUAUCUCUUGCAGAGGGGCACGAUAUGAUACCUUCUCAAAUUGGCGAUCUCCAAGGAUUUGAACAGAAACCCCUGCCUUCUUCCUUGCUUCCCUACUUAGCUGGUACCGCGACUUCAAAUUAGGACACAACCCAUUGAAACAACUCUUCCGCGCCUCCUUCUCAUCUUCAAGGAAUUUACAAGCAUUUUGUAUGAACUCAUCAGCACGUUUCAUCCACUUGCAAGCAUCAUCUUCGAUUAUAUGUCCAUUCCCAAUAGCUUCAUCCACAGAGUGCUGCAGCCUAGCCCUGGCAUCCCUCAGCUUCUCAACCUGUAGAGAGAGGUGCUCAAUGUUGGCACGGUAGUUAAACAGAUAACCCAGCUGACGUACAGCUGGAUCAACCAGGUACUCUGAAACUUUUGCUGCAACCGAAACAACAAUUUCUACCAUUUUCUACUUGCUACUCCUUUCUUCUCUUUUGGAACACGAUCAGAUCGAUGACAGAAAACCAAAAAAAACAGCGGCAGUAAACUAACAACAGGCUGCUAGCUACGGGAAUCGGUGUCGCAAAAACAGAAAUCAAGGAAAUUGAAAGGUUUAGCAAGCAAAGGAGCAGAGCGACAUAGACAUAUGGGCAAAAUGAGUAUGAGGGUGAAGAGAGUUGCACAAAGUUCUAUGGAGGGGAAUCGACAGAAAAAGCAUAUGGAUGUUAUUGGAUUCAACUUGAAGAACAGAAGCAGAGCUGUUAAGGCUGAUGAUGUGAGAAAGGAAACAAGGAAAUGAAAGAUUUCAGCAAUGAAAUGUGAAGAAAGCUCUCACCAGCAAAAUGAAAAUGAAAAUCCCUGGCGAGAAUGAGGAUGAAAAUGUAGAGUCAGGAGACAAUGCUCAAACAAGGCCUCUCAAUUAUUCAAAAUUGAAACUGAAACCCAAGCCAGGUUAUCAAUUGUGUCUUCAAACCUGCCUUUAAUUACUGAUUCGCAUCCUUGUUAACUUAUUCGUAUUAUUUUGAUAUACAAUUGCAGUUUCUAAUGAUAAAUUGAUAUCUUUGAAUAUUUGGGUUAACCAAAGUAUAAUUGGUUUAAGGGUUGGUUGGCAUCAUGAAAAAGAAUUAUUUCACCAAAUUCUGAUGGUGGCUGCCAGCUCUAAAAGCCAAGUCACCCACAAUUAAUUAUAAAAUUAAAGAAAUGGAAAUCCACUCUCAUAAAGGAAUCCACGUGUCAACUCUCCUCUUUCGCCGACCGGCUUCCUACUUCUCUCUCAUCCUCUCUUUCCCUUUCUCUCCGUCUUCAUUCACCUUACCUUUCUCCCAUGGUGGGACCAUGUAAAUUAUUUCCUAACCACAAACGUCCCAAUAUUUCCACUAAUUAUUUUUCUCCCAAAAACCACACCUAGUAAAUUAAAUAUUGAAAAUCAAUAAUUAAAAAUAAUUAUUACUAUAUUUUUUAAUAAAUAUUUUUUAAAUACCUCUGUAGACCCCCCCUUCAUGUGGCAAGUUUUUGCAUUUUGGUUUUUGUUUCUAUUAUUAUUUAUUCAUCUUCUUGUCAACCCGAGGAUGGGCUGUAUGAAGGGCGACGGGACAAGACUGGAAAGGAAGAUUGAUGUGGGUUGCCUAGGACAAAGAUAAGGGGAGAUACCGAGGAACAGGACUAGGGAACAGGAAGAGGAGAGUUUUAGCUGGAGAGAAUCCUCAGAUUGUGAAAGGGAAGACACCUCCUACAAGGAGACGAAGGACUUCCUGGGAGCAUCUUCUUUUCAGUUUGCUUGUAAAUAAGCUUUUCAGGUAUGGAUUUUGCUCAUCAUUUUCACCAUCUUGUUAUGGGAUAUCUUUGUUUGUUUUAUGCAUGAAUCUCAAGCCAUAAGAUUAGCUUUUACUGAUUUUUAGGAUGAUUACGGUUUUGUUGUCAUUGCUAUAUCAUGUUUUUCUUCUUGAAAAGACCUUGGUUCUGUUUUAGCUCCUACGUGAGAUAUCUCAAUGCUUGCUCCUCUGUUUUUGUGUAAACCCCUGGAUCUCUCCACCCCCUUGCAAGCCCAUGGACGAAACGAGGAAAUGGGUCUCCAAUCAUUGCUUCUCUUGUCUUUGAACUCUGUUUUGUAAAUGCUCUUUUUCACAUUUUUCUUUGUUUUUAACGGAAUGAACCGUGAACAUGGUGAGUUAUGGUUUGAGUUGAUGAGCAUGGUUGCGGUAUGUGGCUUCUGGUGAAGAAUUCUGCAUGGGUAUAGGGUUAGUAGAGUCCUACUGCAUCUCCUAGUGUGUUGUGGGGUAUUUUGAAAUUGGCGACGUUAGCAUGCCGAUGGUCCACCUUUCCUACCCCCAUAUCUCUUCAUACCCGUAUCAUUUUCUCUCUCCACCAUACCACCAAACCUGUUUCUCUCUCUAAACCUUCACCUGCCUGUGGAAUCCUCCCUAAAAAAAUGUCACGUGACCCUCUCUCCCUUGCGCACGCAGACGGUCCCCCUUGCGACGCGUGGCAUAGCUCAUCCCACCCGGACGGAAAACAUCGCUCAUUCCACCCAGAUGUCUCACAUCCGAAAUUUUGCCCGGCCAGCGUUUUACUUUAUCUGGAUGUCUCACAUCCGAAAUUCUGCCCGGCCAAUGUUCUACUUUAACCGGAUGUCUCACAUCCGAAAUUCUGCCCGGCCAACGUCCUACCUUAUCCGGAUGUCUCACAUCCGGAAUUCUGCCCCUGGCCAACGUUCUACCUUAUCCGGACAUCUCACAUCCGAAAUUCUUACCCACCGACAUUCCACCCGGAUAUCUCACAUCCGGAAUUCUGUCCGACCGACGUUCAACCUUCUCCGGAUAUCUCACAACCGGAAUUCUGUCCGGCCAACGUUCAACCUUCUCCGGAUAUCUCGCAUCCGGAAUUCUGUCCGGCCGACGUUCAACCUUCUCCGGAUAUCUCGCAUCCGGAAUUCUGUCUGGCCGACGUUCCACCUUUUUCUUCAUCCUUAGAGCAUUUUCUUGAGGUUCCCAAGAUCUCAUUUUUAAUAAAUUUUGCCGCCAUUUUCUUCUCGGCAUGUAACUUUAACAACUUCCGUGAUUUUAAAAUGUUUUAAAAUAAGUGUGAAUUUAUUUUCGUAAUUCUUAGUGAUAGAAUUUGCGAAGCUGAUUCACCCAAUAGUAAACAGGCUUUGGUGGGGGCCCCACAUAUGUGACUGAUCGAUUGAUUGACUGACUGAUUGACUUGAUUAUCAUACAUAAUUGAUUUAUUCUACUCUAUGACAUGCUCAAAAUUAUUUCUUAAUUGUGCACUAACCUCACUUUUUGAUAGCUUAUUGUGGCUCGUCGCCCAGGUACGUAUCUAUUCCCACUCUGGUCUUUUUAUAUACAUGUUUUGAUUCUCAUAUGUGCAUGACAGUUCCGGGUAUUCAUCAUUUUCCUUAUUAGAUGCCAUGACUGCUUCAUUUUAGUAGUAGAGACCCGACUUUAGGGACUUAAAGGGGUGCUACGAUCUUUACCGUACCUUCCUGAUAAGUAACCUGAUCCCCGAACCCGAUCCGGUUUUUCACAGACCACCUUUUCCAAAAUAAGGAGUUACACUUAGGGUUUUUCUUUCUUAUUUUGUUUACCCUUUUAAAAAUAAAACAAAAAUAAGUGGCGACUCCAAGUCAAUUUUCUUAAUCAAAUAUGAAUCAAUUUUUCAAAAUAAAAAUUGAGCUCGCCAUCGAGUGGGGAACGCAUGAGCCGAAAUGCGGGGUCCACAACCCCAUAAUUUUUUUUCAAACUUACAAAUUAUAUAAUAAAUAUAUUUUAAACACCCUAAAAAAUAUUAUUAUUCUUUUUUUAUCUAAUAUAUAUACAUAUAUAUAUAUAUAUACACACACUAAAAGCUAAUUUUUAUAUAAAUAUUUAUAGAUAAUUAUUUAAAUAUUUUCUCUAUUUGAUGGAUAAUACAUAAAGAUUAUCUUAAUAUAUUAUUUUGUAACAUGACCAUCUUUUAAUUAAUGGUGAUAAUUUUAAAUUUUAAAUUGAAUAAUGUAUUAUAAUUUAAUAAUUUGAAAAAUAUUAUAAUACUCUUUUAAAUCUAAAAUAAAUGUGAACUUAGCAUGAUUUAAAUUUUUAAAAUACAAUGUCAUCAAGUCAAACAAAUGUAUUAUAUUAAAAUAUGUGCAUGUAAUUAUAUCAUAAAUUUCUCUUAUUUUUUUCCUCAUACAUGAUAUCUUUUGUAUAAAGUUUUAUAGAUGAAAAAUGAUAAAAUCUUUUGUUACGAUAAAGAGGCUUAGAAACACAUUAAAAUAAAAAAGAGAAUAUAAUGGAGCACAAAUUAGAUGAAAAUCACCUUAAAUAGGGAUAUAAUAUAAAACAUGAAAAUAUAAGAAAAAAACAAGUUGAGAUGAAAUUUAAGAUAAAGAAUCAAAGAAAAUAAAUUAUAAAUAAUCCAUUUAUAAAUAUGAAAACAUUUUAGUUGGAUAUUUAAGAUUAAAACUCUCAAUCCAUCCUAUUUUUCUCUUUUUCUUUUUCUUAUUUUAAUAAAUUUUCAAUUAAUUCAUCAUUAAAAAAAAUUCCUUAAUAAACAAAUUUACAAUAUUUCAUAUAACUUAUUACCAAAAGUCUAAAUUUAAAAAAUUAUUAAAAUUAGAAAAACAGAAUAUUAAAAAAAUUUAAUCUUUUCAUUUUAUAAUAGUAAAAAAAAAUUAAAAAUAGUUUUUAGUAUAAAAGAAAAAAAGUAGUAAAUAUAUUUAUUUUAAAUAGUAUUUUAAUUAUUAAAUUAUUUACUUCUAAAAUGUAAAAAAUAAUUUUUAUUCAUUUAAAUUAAUAUUUUUUUUUAAAAGUAUUUUCUAAAAUAGUUUUUGAAUUAUUAAUAUAAUUUUUGUUUAUUUAUAAUUUAAAAAUAAAAAAUAAUGUCGAUUUUUUAAUUAUUUUUAAAAGAGUUUUAAAAAAUAAUGAAAAAUAAAAAAAAUAAUUAAAUAAAGGAGAAUUUUAUAAAAGUGGCAUGUGAAGAAUGAUGGUAUAAAAAUAAAAAUAAAAAUAAUGGGUUUAAGUCAGGGAUAUUUUUAUCCAUUCCUACUGCAAAUCCUUUUAAUCAAUAAUGAAUAUUUGGAGUACUUUUUAUUAAUUAUCAAGUGCGAUAUAACGCACAAUUCUCCAAAAAAAAAAAAUCAGACCCAUUGACAGCCUGUCGCCUCCCAUUUUGAAUUGGGAGAAUUGUGUUUUGGGCCCAGCUGGGCCCAAAAAUUAACAUUUGGUCCAUAUAACUUCCAUAAUUGAUGGAAAUGAUAUGAGAUGUUAAAAGACCAAUAUAUCCUUCAAAUUUCUAUACAUUACCUUUUAAGGACAUAAAAUAGUGAUGGACUAAAAUACCCAAUGACCUUUCACAUAAUUUUUUUUUUUUUGUCUUUAUUGCACCAUUAUUCAUGCAACCAUAAUAAUUCUAUUUUAACAAUUUAGAUUUUUCAUUAUUUUAAUUUUUUUUAUUUAUAAAUAAUUGAAAAUCAACAUUAUUUUCUAUUUUAAAUUAUAAAUAAAGAAAAAUUAUGUUCAAAAGCUAUUUUAAAAAAUACUUUCUAAAAAAAUAGUAAUAUGAUUUAUAUUUUUUAUAUUUUCUUUUUGAAAAAACAUUUAUUUAAAAAAUGAAAACUAUUUUUAAAAAUAAAAAUUGAAAACCUUGUUUAGUACUAUUUUUUAUAUGAAAAUAAUAAAAAGAACUAAAUUUCAUUCAUUGAUUAUCCAUUUUUAUUUUUUUUCAUUAGUUAUUUUAAUAAUAAAAAAAAUUAUAGUAUGUUUACGAUUAAACAAAGAAAUUGAUCAAUUAUGUGUUUUUUGUGGGACUAUCUUUUACAUGAAAAAUAAUUAAAUAACUAAAUUAUAUAUAUUUAUUACUCUUUUUAAUUUUAUUUUCUUUAUUUAUUUUUUAUUAAAAUUUUAAUAUAUCCAUAAUUAACAAAGUAAUAAAUCAAUUGUGCACAUUUUAAUCUAUUAAAAUAAAUUAAUUUCUAAUUUAAUAAAUAAAAUGAAAUAAGUAAAUAAAAUUGGGGUUAUUUCUAUUUUUUUAAUAUAUCUUAUAUCAAUAUUUUUUAUGAUUAAAUAAUUUUUUUAUUUUUUAUUUCUUUAAUUCCAAAAAUAAAAUGAAAUAAAUAAAUAAAUUUAGAAUUUUCCAACUGAUCUUAUAUGCAUAUUUCUUAUGGUUAAAUAAUUUUUUUAUUCUUUUUUCUUUAUUUCCAAAAAUAAAAGGAAAUAAAUAAAUAAAUUUGACUUAAAUAAUAGUUUUUAAGUAAUUUCUUUGUCUUAUUUUUAAUUACAUUUUGCAUUGAAAAUAAAAUAAAAUAUUUUUUUAAUCACUGUACAAGGUAUUUACACUAAGUGUACAUGACAAAUAUAUUAACUGUACAAGGGUGUACAAGGCUAUUAUUUGUGAAGGAUUUUAAGUGAUUCUAAAAAACUUGUUUGUUUAUUUCCCUUAACCAAGGAUAAAUGACAUUCCUUACACACAUUGGUUAAGCAUACAUUCAUCUCAUGUAUUUUAUCUAACUUGUAUAUGGUCAUUUUAAUAGGUACCUCACUUAUGAUGAUUGUAAAACAAAAUUAUAUAACAAUUUUUUUUCCUUUUUAAACCAAACCGAUGCAAACAUGGUUAACCGACCUAUUGUUAGAUAUUCAUAAAAUGAUGUAUGAAAUUUGAGUUAUUGUACAAGGGUAUUACACUAACUGUACAAGGGUAUUACACUAACUGUACAAGACAAAUUUACUAAUUGUACAAGGGUGUACAAGACUACUUUUUGUUAAGGAUUUAAAGUGAUUUCGAAAAACUUUCCCAUUUUUUUCCACUCAAAUAUUUUUUCCCCACUCAAAUUCUCUCACUCAAGAAUUGUUUCGAAUUUUAUUUUUAAAUUUCAUCAUCAAAUUUUUGUAAUUGCAUAUUUUGUUUUUGUAGUUUUAGCAAUGUUCUUUCUUUCCACUAUUUUUUUUUUUUUGUGAAAUUUUAUCCACAUGAACCUAUAUUUAAAAUUAUAAUCAUAUUUAUCAAAUUUUUUACUAAGAUUAUCUUUAAUUUUUUUAAAUAUAUUUAUACUCAUUUAUUUAAAAAAUGAAAAACUAAUUUUUUUUUGUAAACAUGUUCUAUUACCUUUCAAGUAAAAAAUUAGAUAAGUUUCAAAGUCAAUAAAUAAAAAAAUUAAAUACCACUUUCAAUAAUUUUUAGAUAAAAUUUUAUAUAAUAUAUUUUAUUUGAAACUUAAUUUUUAAAGUUUAACUAAAAAAUUGUAUUGACAAUUUUCUUGUUGUGGGUCAAAAUACUUUGCAUUAGUCUAUCUAGAUAAGAAAAAUUAUUAAUAUAAUAUUAGAACUUCAUAUCUUAGUUAUUUUUUUUCAACAAAUUUAUCUUUUUAAAAAUUUUAAAAUUAAAACAUUAAAAAUUAAAAAUCUAAAAAGAUAUAAAAAAAUAUAAAAAAUAAGAGAAAAAUAUAGAUGAAAGGGUAAUAUAAAUUUAAAAUAAAAAAAUGAAAAUUAAACUAAAAGAUAAAUACAUAAAGAUAAAAAAUAUUUGGAUGAAAAAUCCCAAAAUUUUUAUCAUUGCUUUUAAUAAGAGCAAAAAGAUUCAAUAUCUUUAAAAAUGAAAAAUAAAAAAAUAUUAUUGUUUUUUAUUUGACAUAAAAUAGAAAUAUAUAUUGGAAUAAAAAGGAAAAAAAAAAGUUAGAAAUGAGUAAUAUUUAAUAGGGAAUAGAAAAGGAAAAAAAACACAAAAAAAAUUAAAAUUCACACUCACUUGUAGGCAUAUAAGGAAUAAGGGUAUUUUAGGAAUUAAUGAAAGACAAUAUCCUUCAUCUUAAUUUUCAUACUUUGUUUGGGUCUUGGGCUUAAAUAUGGGUGGUUGGAGGACCAAAUGUUAAUUUUUGGGCCCAGCUGGGCCGAAAACACAAUUCUCCCUUUUGAAUUGUUGUCUGCCUACUUCCUUUUUCUAUUUUUUUUUUAUUCAGGUCAAGGACAAGGAAUCUUUACUAUUUCGAGCCUGGUUGUGUACUUGCUGAGAGCUUUAUGUCGAGCCUGGUUCUAUUUUUUUUUUCUAUAUACUUUUUUUGCUUUGAAUAAUUAUUAUCUUAUAAUAAAUGCUUGUUGUACUUUUUGUAAGUAAUUUUCAAAAUUUUCUUGUAGUAAUCAAAAUUAUUAUUUUUUAUUUUUCUAAUAAUAUAAAUAUUUGUAUAUCAUUUUAUCAUAAAUGUCUAUGUAUUUUUUUUUUUUGGAAAAAGUAUUGUUUUAUCAUAAUUUAUCCCUUUUACAAUGAAUUUUUAUGUUUUUUUUUUUUAAUAAUUUAUUAAUAUUAAAAACGUUUUUAUGUUAUGUGAUGUAUUAUAAAAAAUACUACCAAAAUCACUUUCACUAUUCUCAUCGAAGUAUUAGGGACAAAAACACUAUAAAUUAAAAGUACUUUUAUGAUAAUCAUUAUUAAACAUGUGAUUUGAACGCGAUAGUGAUUUUAGAAAGUAUUUAUAAUAUUUUUAAUAUUUGAAUAAUUUUCUCUUUCUAGCAUUAAAAAAAUUAGAAAUACUUUCUUAAAUCAUUCUCAAAUACAGUAUUAUUUUGACAAUAUUUUCAAAAAUAGAUAUUAAAUAUAACAUCUAUUUGAUAAUUGUUUUUUAAAACAACUUUUUGUUAUUAAAAAAACAAAAAAAUACAUUUGAUAAUUAAAAAUUAUUUUUUAUUUUAUCUUCUUAAGAAUAAAAAAUAAAAUAUUUUCGGGUAACAUCUUUUAAUUGUUUUCUAUUGUUUUUAUUUGUUUUUCUACCAUUGUUUUAAAAAAUAAUCAUACAAGCAUAUAAAUUGAUUAAAAAUAAAAUUCUAUUUUAAAAAUAUAUUCAAAAAUAUUAGAAACAAGUAAAAAAUAAUAAAAGUGAAAAAUUAAUAUUUGUUUGCAUCCAUUUUGUAAAGAUUUAUAUUGAAAAUGUAAUGAUUUUUAAAAUUUGAUUAAAAAAUUAAGCUAUACUUUAUUUUGCUUUGAAAAAUUAUUAUCUUAUGAUAAAUGUUUGUUGUAAUUUAGAUCUUUUUAUAAGUAAUUUUCGAACUUUUUCUUCUUGUUAUAAAAUUAUUAUUUUCUAAUAAUGCAAAUAUUUAGAUAUUAUUUGUAUUCUUUUCUCACGGAAAAAAUAUUGGUUUAUUAUAAUUUUCCCUUUUAUAAUGAAUUUUUAUGUCUUUUUUUGAUAAUUUAUCAAUAUUAAAAGUAUUUUUAUUUUUAUGUGGUAUAUUAUAAAAAUUACUAUCAAAAUCAUUUUCACUAUCUUAUAAAAGCAUUACAAACAAAAGCACUAUAGAUUAAAAGUACUUUUGUGAGAAUUAGAAUCAAAUGGGGUGAUUAAUAAUGUGUUUGACAAUAUUUUUACUUGAAGUAUUUUUAGUGGAAGUGUUCUCUUUGAAAACGCUUUUAGGAUAAUCACCUAUAAAUGUCUCCUAAAAAACACUAUAAGUGAUUUUUCAAAUUUUAAAAAGUAUUUCUAAAAUUUUGUCAAAUACUUAUUUUUAUUUUUUCAAAAAGACUUUUUAUACUAAAAAUGUUUCCUAGAAUCACUAUCUAAUGAACUUCAAAUGCCUUUCAAAACAAAAUUGUCAACUUUAGCCAUAAUAGUAAACUAAAACUAACAAAUUCUAAUUUGUGACAUAAGAGAGAAUGAAAAAAAUCAGGUUUAUUCUUGCAUAUUAUUUUCAAUUAUACUCUAAAGUUCUAACCUCUCCGCAAUUUUAUUUCCUUAAUUUAUUGAGUCCACGAGUAAGGCAAAAGAGAUUAUCUAUGAUUUGUUUGUCCACAAACAUGUCUAUCUCUUCUCAUGUGGGUAUGAGGGCACAUGAGAGAAGGUGUUAAAGAGCAUGAUAUGCAUUAUGGACCUAAAUCCUAACAAUUUAGGAUUAUAUGAAAAUUGAUUGUUCAACAUGGUAUCAAAACAAGUUCAAAACCCUGACUCCUAGUUGUGAAACUAAUUUCAAUUGGACAUUGCUCUUUGCUCAUUUUAUUACUCAAGUUACUUCACUCUAUCAUUUGUUUAAAUUACUUCUAAUGAUAAUCUCCUUAUCAAAAGAAGUAAGAAAAACAUAAUGAAUUUUCUCCUAUUUUUCUCUUCUCCCAUCAUUUUUUUUUUCAUAUUGUUUUCUUUUUCUCAUAAUUUAUUUAAACAUUUGAAGAUCCCAAAAGAAAGAAACAGUCAAAAUUGUAUUAUUUGGUUUAUCAUCUAAAUGAAACAAUUCAAAUAUAAUAAAAAAUUAGUUAAAUAUUUUUUUCAAUUUUUUACUAUUUAUACACGAGAUAAAAAUAAAUAAAUAAAUAAAUGUAUAAAUACAAAUAGUAAAACCUUGAUAAAUAAAUAUUUAAUCAAUUAAUAAUCUUGUUUAAAUAAUAAAAUCUUUGGUCCUAACAUGAUCAAUGUAUUAAAUAAAUAAACUGGUAAUAGAUAAGUUAAUAAAUUUUUAAAAAAUCCUUAAGUGACAAUGUAUGGAAAAUCAUGGAAACAUAGUUUUAUACUUAUAAAAUUUCAUUAAUUUUUUUGAAGUUUAUUAAUUUUUUAGGUUACAUUUUGUUUGUGAAAAAUUUAAAGGAAAGAAAAUAAAGAAUAAAAAUAAAAAUAAAUAGAAAAUAAAAACAAAAAAAUUAAUAAAUUAUUUUUAUAUAUUAUUUCACACAUGUAACCGAAUUUUAACGGUUUAUAUAAGAAUUAAAUAAAUGUAAAAUAUAUAAAUUUUUAAUAAAUUUUAAUUGUAAUUAUUUUUUUAUUAUAUUUUUUAGAAUAAAAUCAAAUAUUAGUGUUCUAAAAUAAUAUUAGAGUGUGUUGGCAUUAUUUAUAUUCAAAGUGUUUUUGGUAGACUGUAUUCUCUAGAAGUAUUUUUAGAAGAAUCAUUUAUAAACGUUUCUUCAAAAAUCAUUACAAAUGAUUUUUGAAUAUUACAAGUGUUUUUUUGAAAUUUUUUUAAAAUCUCUUUUUCAAAAACAAUUUUUAUGUUAAAAGUAUUUUCCUAAAUUUUGCUUUCAAAAACACUUUUUAUGUAAAAGUGUUUUUUAAAAACGUGCUAAAAUGUGUUUUUUAAAAAGAUUAAAGAGUAGUCUUAGUUUAUGAACAAGAGAGAGAGAGAGUCCUAUCCUACCAUAGGGAAAUGACAAAAUGAAAUUGUUAGAGAGAAAAUAAUAGAGUGCUAUCAUACCAAAAGAAAAAGGAGAGAAAAUGACAUUGUUGGAGAAAGGGGUCCACAACAAUAAUUCGUAUAAGUGGAUAUUAUCAAUCUGUUAUGCAUAAAGAAGGUUUCAAAAGGAAAAGAACAAGAAAAGGAGAAAAAGUAAAAGAAAAUAAGAAAAAGGAAAAAGAAGAAGAUGACGUUGUUGGAGAAAGGGGUCAUAGUAAUAAUUGAUAUUGAUUUGAAAAUCAAUCUUUUAGGCACAAAAGGGGGCUCCAAAAGAAGAAAAGGACAAAAAAAAGGAAAAUGACAUUAUUGGAGAAAGAGACCACAACAAUAAUUCAUAUGGAUGGAUAUUGAGUUGGAAAUCAAUUGCUCAAGUACAAAAGGAGGCUCCAAAAAAUCAUCUUUAUUUAUUAGGAUUUUUUAGAAUCUUUGUCCUACUCUAACAAGAGAACGAUUUGAUAAUACAUCUUUUAUUUACAUCAACAUGUAAUUAAUUCUAUGGUUCCGUAUAUUUAAUUACCCAAAAGUAUUGUUUGAUUUAUUAAAAACAAAAAUUAUUACAUAGAAAAAAUAAGGAACAAAUAAAUGUGAAGAAUCAUAUGAUAAAUUUUAUCAACUUCAAACCCAAUUUUGUUUUUAUUUUUUCUAUAUUUUAUUUCAAUUUUAAUUUUUCUCAAAUUAUUUUAAAAUCUAAAUAGAGUCAAAAGACACUUUUAGCUUAUGUUCAAUGUUCAGUAUGUAUUAAGAAAAUAAUAGAAAAAAUUGUUAAAAAAAUGUUUUUUUUUUAUAUUUGAUUUUACCAUGAAAAAUAUAUAAAAAGUUAAAUAUAACUAUAAUUAGUUCAAAAUUUAUUUAUUUUUAAAUCAUUAAUUUUUCUUUUAUAUAUUAAAGAGUUAAAUUAAGCGAAAAUGGGUUUGAUAUAACAUAUAAAAAUAAUGUAUUAAGUUUAAAUCUAUUUUUUAUUUUUAGAUAAAUUAAGCUAAUAUGUAAUUAUGUACUUUAUUUUGCUUUGAAAAAAUAUUAUCUUAUGAUAAAUGUUUAUUAUAGUCUAGAUCUUUUUAUAAGUAAUUUCAAACUUUUCUUCUUGUAACAAAAUUAUUAAUUUAAUUUUUCUAAUAAUACAAAUAUUUAGAUAUUAUUUGUAUUCUUUUCUCACGGAAAAAAUAUUGGUUUGCUAUAAUUUUUCCCUUUUAUAAUGAAUUUUUAUUUUUAUGUGGUGUAUUAUAAAAAAUACUAUCAAAAUCACUUUCACUAUUCUCAUAAAAACAUUACAAACAAAAGCACUAUAGAUUAAAAGUAUUUUAUUGAGAAUUACCAUCAAACGGGUGAUUAAGAAUGUGUUGGAUACUAUUUUUAGUGAAAGUAAUCUCUUUGAAAGCGUUUUUAGAAGAAUCACUUAUCAAAUGUUUCCUAAAAAACACUACCAGUAAUUUUUUAAUACUACAAGUGAUUUUUCAAAUUUUAAAAAUUGUUUCCAAAAUUUUGCCAAACACCUAUUUUUUAUUUAUUUUUUUCCAAAAAGACUUUAUGUGUUAAAAGUACUUCCUAAAAUCACUAUCAAACGGACUCCAAAUGCUUUUCAAAACAAAUUGUCAACUUUAGCCAUGCUGAUAAACUAAAACUAACAAAUUCUUUGUUAAAUAGACCUAAAUUUAAUUAAGUGUUCUAACUUCAAUCCAACCCAAUUUGAUCAUAUGCACAAUCAACCAAUUUGUACCAACCUGAUCAAAUUUGAAUAUAUAUAAACGUAAUAAAAUGAAAUCCAAUUUCAAUCCAAGUUCAGAAAAAUGGGUAGAAUUGGGGUUUUAUUGGACAACUUAGGUUGAGAACAGAGCUUCACUCAAAUGCGCAUCAAGUUAGAUUGAACUCGGUUGAUUCUUGAAGUGGCAAGAGAAAACAAAAGACAGAUUAAAAAACAAUUAGUCUUUCUUAAAAAAGCCAGUGAAUGAGGUCAUUCAGUUUGGAAAUCUUCGGCCAAACAUCCAGCAAACAAACAUUGAUAUUUUAUCAUAUGUAAAGGACCAAACCAUGGAAAGUUCAGCCAUUGAAGAACAUGGAAGCCACAGUUGUAAUAGCAGCAGCUAAUUAUCAGUUUGAUGUGAUGAUUUUUCAAACUUUUUGUAAUAAUUGAUGAAAACAGCCGCUACUGUAAAUUUCAGCAGAAACUCGGAUUAAUCAUGACAGGGAAACCAUUAAAUUUCUAUAAUAUAUUCAGAAAUGUCCUGAGAAUUCCUCCAAAGUUCCUGCACUGAAGGAUUAGGGAGCUCAGAUUCAUGAGAAAAUUCAAAAAAGUCGUUAGAGGCUUUAUAUCUGGGCAUCCAUAGUCUAAAUUACGGAAAGAUUUCCAGAAAAAACAACCACAAAAUGUAAACUCUACCGACUCGGUUUUGUCG
rnacentral:lncRNA from 1 species